CAAGUUGGGGUGUGCGUCGUCUGUGUGCAACAACAUCAACGCUGGUAAGCACCUUUUGCUCAGACGGAGAAAACAAUAAUCAUUAAUUAGCGGCAGCUAGAAUCCUAUAAUCUAAUAUAUUUAUAUAUAUAUAUAAUUUUAUCAGCUCUGGGAAAUGAAGAGGCGAACGAUGCCGUUGAGAGUUGCGACCAAGCCUGCUCUAGCUUCUGCAGCGUGCAUGUUGGCAGCGCCACCGUGGUUGCUUAAGCAAAUGCAUGCAACUAGAUCGUCCUUGUGCUGAAUAAUUGGAUAUCGUAUCCACUUAAAGCUGCCUUGUGUAGUACGUCUUUGUUUGUGUCUCUCUUUAUAUUCCACUAAGGUCGGUGAUCUUGAUGCCACACACACUCAGAUGUGUGUUCAUCUCCAGAUACUACUCCAUGCUACCUGCCCUUUUUGUUUUGUUCAAUAACUGGGUAUCAUAUCCCGGCCAGUGUGCCAUCUAUUUUGUGUUUGUUUCCUUCUAGUUCCAAAGGGGUCAUCAUGAUGUUACCUUCUUUCGAUAUGGUGCUUUGCAUGACAACUGUUGUAUGGUACCAUCUUGUUGGCCAAUAAAUACAUCUUAUCCUAUGACCCUUUGCUAUGACCCUUUGCAAAUAAGUACAAGAUUGUUAUAAGCGUCAAUACUCAGUAUAAUUGAUCGCUGCUGUGAGUUCCCUUUCAGCUUAUCGUAGGCACACAUUAUUGCUAGCACGGUAAAGACAACCAACACGAAUGAUGAAGUAAACGUAGCGGUACUUUUGUAUACCAACACCCUUACUUAAAUGUACUGGUGUCAUUCCCUACUGGCACAUAUAUUCUUAUAUGCUAGCCAGAUUGGAAAAUUAACCAAUUAAAAUAAUUAUUUCAAGAUAGAAAUAACUUAUCGGCUUCUCGAAGCAUGUGUAAUUUUAAUUCAAGGACUCAAUGGAAGUUGAAUCACUUCAUCUAGAUUGCCUUCUGGAUUUUGGUUAACUAAAUUUAACAUUUGUGUCGGGGGGAAAUAUUAACGAUUUUCUUACGCUCUCUAAUUAACGGAUACAAGGGCUAGGGCCCACCCCUAAUACCCAUAAUCUCCGCUAACAACACAUCCCAGAGGCACUCCGCUCCGCCUCGCCCGACUUCAGGGUCGCAGGGUCGGACGUGCCCGACCCCCCAAGGCCUCGCCUCGUCUCAGCCGAUGGAGUUCCGCCUCGCCCGACCCUGAGCCCAACGGAUCGGACGCGCCCGACCCCUCGAAGCAGGACUCCGCCUCGCCCGACCCUGAGCGCAAGCGGUCGGACGUGUCCGGUCCCACCUGACAGAGCUCCGCCUACCCGAAGGUACGAGCAGGUCAUCAGACGGAAGCGCGGGCUCUGUGAGUCCCCCUGGGCUCACCCAACCGAUGGGACCGCGCAAGCUUCCAGAUACAGUUCUGACACAUGGAGAGGCGCCCGCGUUCCUCGACAUGACCUGUCAAAAUGUUGGUCUGCGCACUGCUGCCACGACUGCACAGGGCUACACCUGCACCGUCCUACCCCACUGUGACAUCUGUCAUAGGGCACUCAUCGCUCAUACCAUCUAAUGGAGGAGGGAAAACCGCCUAGUUUUCCACGUGGGCUAGCAAGAAGAGCACGUCAGCCACGCCGCCCCGUCAGGGUGCAUGGCUACAGUGGUUGACCAUCACCCGCGACGUGCACAGUCACAGUGGCCAGUCGUCACCACCAACUUGCACAGCUACAGUGGUCGGCCGCCAUGCACGACUCGCGUGUCCGGCUACAGUGACCGACCGCCGAGUCACCGAUGGGACCCAACGGCAACCCCUAUCCCUUAGUAGCAGUACCGACAAGACGCAGAGACAAGAAGGGAAGACGACGUCUCUAGUAGCCCCACUUGCUUCCCUUUUUACCUUUCUACCUGUUUACCUUCCUUACUCCCGGCUCAUUUGUAACCUCUGUAUCCUCCUUGCACUAUAAAAGGAGACCAGGGGGUCUGAGGGCAAGGGACCCUCGGAGACCGAACCCCGAAUUCACCCAAGUACAAACCAACCGAACCACCAGACGAGAAAGACUCACAGAGAUCUGGGAACCAGCUUCCCUCUCUCACCUAUUUGUAGCCUCUACUCCAGACUUGGUACGAGUAACACGAGCAGCCACCCGCACUGGACUCCUCCGCCAGAAACUGGUCCAACCAGUCGGGUCCCUCCCCCUGCUCUUCGUCCUCAUCAUCCUCAUCAUCGUCGUCCUCAUCCGUUGCCGUGUCUGGCCCCUCCGCAGCCUUCAGAACUCCGCUGCAGCUUUCUUUUUCUUCCUCACCGUCUCCUUGUCCUUCCUCUUCUUCUGUGCUUCGUCGAGGAGGCGGUUCCGCUGCCUCUGCACCACGUCCUCUGGCACCGGUGGACGGGAGGCUGUGACAUGGUUUAAGUUACCCUGCAGAUUCGAAGACUCCGCGUCAGAAUAGCAAACCAGGAAAUGCAGGAAAGAAGAACGAGAGUGCAAAUUUCUAACCAGCAGGACAUAGGCCUCGUCCGGGCGCAUCGGAGGGUGCCCCGGCACCGGGAACACGACAUCCCUGUCACCCAAUGCAUCCCGGACACGCUGCUCGAUCUCGGCGUCGGCAAUUGCACCCGUCGCAAGGACGGUGCUGUGGUACGCCCCAACAACUCCGGCCCCGGUCAGGCCCUCCUCCUUCAGAAGGUUGAUGGCUUCGAGGAGACCCCGGAUAUUCUUCUUCUCCUUCUCAACAGGGCCAUAUGUCCACGUUCCCGGUGCCUCCACGAUGACGCGGCCAGUGAACUCCGUCAAGAGGACAUCGGGGCGGUUCUUCACAUAGAGCCACUGCUGAUGCCACCCUUUGUGGGAUGACGGGGUCUUCAUCGAUGUAUACUCCUUGGGCCGAUGGCCACAGAGGUGGAUGCCGGCACACCCCAUCAGCAUCGGAAUCGUCCGCGUCUGGUUUCCUCUCUUCUCGGUCCUCUGAUGAAGAGUGACAGCGAAGAAGUACUUCCACAGGGCGAAGUUGGGCUCGAUCCCCAGGUAUCCCUCCCAAAGCACGACGAACGCCGCGAUGUGCUGGAUUCCGUUGGGGUUGAGGUGCUCCAGCUCAAUGCUAUAGUAGUGCAGCAGCCCCCGGAAGAAGCGACUUGGGGGAACCGCGAACCCCCUCUCGUGGAAGUGCGCGAAGGAGACGAUGUACCCGUCCUCCGGCUGUAGCACGGCCUUGUUCCCGGGAUACCGCCACUCGUUCUCGGCGAUCCUAUCGCGAAGAAGGCCCUUCUUCACGAGACCGAUCACGCGCGCGGUGUUGAAGAUUGACCAAGACCUUGAAUCCAUCGCCGAGGAAGGGGAAGGCUCGACGGCGGUGGUGGAAAGGUGAAUGCUCUGGCUCGAAAGAGGAUGAAAAGUGAACAAGGAGGCGAGAAAGGCUGAAGACGAGUGCGGAGCGGAGCAAGCAAGGUAAGCUCUCUCGUUUUACAGGGGGCGUGCGAGAAACGAAAGGCGAACCGAACGCAUUUAUUGCGACGUCAGGUAUGCCCCAUCGCCUCCGCCUUUCUUCGGAAACCGUACGCAUGAUUUCUUUUUAACCGCAGGGAACGCUACGCCCCCUCGCCCCACGAGCCCGGUGUUUUUUGCCGCUUCGUCUCCUGGAGGUCAUGCGCACAACUUCCUCCACAAGCGGCCCAGGGCCCGCUUCAGGUAAAAAAGGGAUACAGAGCUGAAAACACUCUAACGGCCCAUUACGGUCCAGGGGUUCGAAGGCUGGCCCUCUAGAGGGUUCGACAUCCACCCCAGGACAUUUCUUGAGCAAGGGGUGAGAAGGGACGGGUCCGCUAGCGACCACUACCCUGGUGAACAAAAGCCAAGGGCGUCCCGACCUCACAUUUGAGUCUCGAUUGGCGUUUAAGUUCAUGGUUUUUCCCCGAAGAAAGGCAAAGUGCCCCCGGAUCCGGUUGAACAGACCUGGGAACUAUAUGAACUGGCCGUCCGAAAUCUGGAGUACGCCACCAGCUUGGCCCAAGCCGGACCCGCCCGAACAGGGACCGGGACUCCACUCGAACUGACCCGUUAGCAGCUCACCGAGCACCAUGGUUCGUCCGAUGAGGAUAACAUGGCACGGCUCACCCCCUCCGUCCCAACGAACGGACGCUGAGGGGUAACGACUAAAAGACGAUCCGACCUCUCGAUCGGUCCCCUGCAAUGCGCGGGGGCUCGAGGGCUGGAAUCACAACGAAACGACCAUGCGCAUGGUUACGACUCGGAAUUUUGAGGCAGGAAUGGUCAUUGAAACAAUAGGGAAUCUUCCCAAACCGUACCAUCCUCAGAACACUCUGGCUACCCAAAACUCCCCGGCCAGGCCAAACAAGCAAAACUUUUCUCCUGAUCAAAUCAAGGUACAUGUUAAACAAGACCCCUGACAAACACUCUGCCGAGAGCCAAUCACAGCCUCUGGAGGAGCACCUUGCUCCACCAAAGGCUCGGGGCCUACUGUCAGGGGGAAAUAUUAACAAUUUUCUUACGCUCCCUAAUUAAUGGACACAAGGGCCAAGGCCCACCCCUGACACCCGUAAUCUCCACCAACAACACAUCCCAGAGGCACUCCGCUCCGCCUCGCCCGACUACAGGGUCACAGGGUCGGACACGCCCGACCCCCCGAGGUCUCGCCUCAUCUCAGCUGAUGGAGUUCCGCCUCACCCGACCCCAGGCGUAAGGGGUUGGACGCGCCCAACCCCUCAAAGCAGGACUCCGCCUCGCCCGACCCCGAGCGCAAGGGGUUGGACACAUCGGAUCCCACUAGACAGAGCUCCGCCUCGCCCGAAGGUAUGAGUAGGUCAUCAGACGGAAGCGCGGGCUUUAUGAGUCCCCCCAGGCUCACCUAACCGAUGGGACGCGCACAAUUCUAGAUACAGUUCUGACACGUGGAGAGGUGCCCGCGUUCCUCGACAUGACCUGUCGGAAUGUUGGUCUGCACACUACUGCCACGACUGCACAGGGCUACAACUGCACCGUCCUACCCCACUGUGACAUCUAUCAUAGGGCACUUAUCGCCCAUGCCGUCUAACGGAGGAGGGCAAACCGCUUGGUUUUCCGCGCAGCCUAGCAACUACAGCACGUCAGCCACGCUGCCCCGUCAGGAUGCAUGGCUACAGUGGUUGACCGUCGUCCGCGACGUGCACAGCUACAAUGGCCAGUCGUCACCACCAACUUGCACAGCUACAGUGGUCGGCCGCCAUGCACGACCCGCGUGUCCGGCUACAGUGGCCGACUGCCGAGUCACCAAUGGGAUCCAACGGCAACCCCCAUCCCUCAGUAGCAGUACCGACAAGACGCAAAGACAAUAAGGGAAGACGGUGUCUCCAGUAGCCCUACUUGCUUCGCUUUUUACCUUUCUACCUUUUUACCUUCCUUACUCCUGGCUCAUUUGUAACCCCUGUGUCCUCCUUGCACUAUAAAAGGAGACCAGGGGGCCCGAGGGCAGGGGACCCCCGGAGACCGAACCCCGAAUUCACCCAAGUACGAACCAACCGGACCACCAGACGAGAAACACUCACAAAGAUCUGGGAACCAGCUUCCCUCUCUUGCCUGUUUGUAGCCCCUACUAUAGACUUGGUACGAGUAACACGAGCAGCCACCCGCACUGGACGUAGGGCUAUUCCUGCCCGAACCAGUAUAAACCUCGCGCCCUCUCGUACAACCAUCCAAGCCUUACGCGUAGAGAAACAAAUUUACUAAGCCGGUAGUCUUGACCCGUGAUUCGUGAGACCGACAAUUUGCACAUACAAAUGUUAAAGUACAAAUGUUAAAUCUAGUUACCAAGCAGAAUACGAAAUAGCGGGCUAUAGUGAGGCUAUAGCGGCGCUAACUGCUGCAACAACAGUGUUGUACUAAUUAGCAGGCUAUAGCGGAGCUAUAGCGGUUGAGCACAGCUCUACGCUAAAUAUCAUAGCCCUCAAUUUUGUACAUUGUAUAUACUAUAUAAAUCUAGUUAACAUUUAGUCUAAAUGUUAAAUCGAGUUACCUAAAAUCCUGAAAGCAAAAUGUAUAAAUAUAUAUCUUUUAGGGUAGUAUAAGCUUCGAUUCCUUUUGCUGCUCUGUUAAAUCUCAUCUUUCGUUGUAGCCCAACACUCUAGUAUUGAUUUUGCACCAAGCUUCUUUGAGCCGCUCUGCCCUCUGAUUUUGCUGCGUAGGGGAAUCUUUAUCAGGUUGGGCUACUUCCAGUCGUGCGAUGUAUACCUUUGUAUCUUCUAGAAGGUAGACAGAAAACCCGCGUUCUCUUAAGGCAACAACCAGAAGAUUCUGCAGCGCACGGGGCAUAUCAUUGUUGUAGAAACGACCUUUAGUAUCGAUCUCCAACCCCUUAUAGUACUGGUUUUGCAACCAGUACCGUUAUGUCGGACCUUUAGUACCAGAUCAAAUAACCGGUUCUAAAGGGACUCCUUUAGUACCGGUUGGUAACCAGUAUCAACUUGUUUUGCGGCCAAAAAAAUAAAGAAAAAAAUAGCCAGAAGGCUAGCACACACACACAUCCCACGAAAUAUGCGCGUGCGCGGUCCAUGGGAUUCGAACCCAUGAAAUCAAGCUGCGCGCAACCCUUCGUUACCAUCUCACCUUCAGUACCGGGUCAUAACACCACCCGGUACUAGUAUCGGAUGCUGUAAUGACUCGAUACUAAAAGGCCUCUAGGGACCCUCAAAUUUGGACCCGAUACUAAUGCUAACAUUAGUACCGGGUCAAAGUGCAGCCAGUACUAAAGCAUGGGACGAAAGGUCAUAUUUCUAGUAGUGUAUAGUUGUUGUGUAGGACUGACUUGGCUGUCCUCUCUCUUCUCCAUCCCAUUGGUCUUACGCCGCCGCUCGCACGCGAGCCGGCACCCAACCAGAGGAGUGAGAGCUAGGGGCGGGUUGGGAGGUGGGGGUAGCGACUGGUGGCUAGGGUGAUGGUUGAUGUUGGCGGGGUUAGGGUUUCAUGGUUUUCAAGCUACCUACGGCCGGCGAACCUAGAGGAGGAGGUCGACAUCAGCUGCAACCCGCGGUGGUGGUGGUUUGGCCGGCGCCCCAGGCGAGGCAGCGUGGGAGUGCUGCUGGCGGGUUGGUGUUGGCGCUCAUUAUUGACACAUUUUUAGUACUAUUUUGUUCAUGGAAUAACACUCAAACGUGCUGGUGCUGCUGCCGCCAUCGCCGCCCUAGCCAUAAUAUAAAGGCAAAAUUUGCUAGAGGACAUGCAAAAUGAUGCUAGUUUGCUGGAGGGCACCGUUGACCAUGUAAUAUGCUACAAGACACUCUAGUUGUUCUAGAGUGUAUCAAUUUGCUGAAAGACAUUGCUACGACUAAAAUAAUGUUUCUGGACUGAGUUGGAGAGAGAGAUGGAGUGAAAUGUCUGUUUUGCCCAUGACCCCACUGAUCAGAUCCUUCUUCUUCCACCCUCCUUUCUUCUUUCUUCAACCAUUACCCAGCUCUAGUGUGUUGCAGAUCUACGAGGGUGGCGGCCCGGGGCGAGGGGCAUCGCUUGCCCUCAGACGAGCGCCGCGAGCGACGGCGCGGGGGCAGCAACGGCGCGUCGGAACCUGACCGUUCGUUAGCUCCUCUCGCUGCUGGGGAAGGAGGGGGAGGGGCCAUGGACGGGGUUCCCUCGAAAACCUUAGCCUCGAGCUCAGGCGGCUACGCGCAGGCAGCACUAGGCUCUUCGCGGGGAGGGGGCGCGGCCAAUCAUUGGCACCCCACUGGUCCAAUGCUGAUGAAGAUGGUGCCAGCGUCGUGAAGAUGGUGCCAGCGUCGUGUGAGGACCUCUCAUCUCCUCGAGUUCCAUGGCCAGCACAGGUGAGCGUCCGCUACCACAAAACAGAGGUGUCGUGAGAGUCAAAAAAACUCAUGAAAAUAGCUAAAACCAUCAUGAAAAUAAUCCAUGACACGACACUCUAACGAAAAUCCUCUCACAAAUAUGGUGCCAUCAAAAUACCAUUUUCAUGAGAGUGAACUGUCAUGAUUUUAUUUCGUGAGAGUAUUUCCUAUCAAUGACCUCCACGAAAUACUUUGUGCCACCAGGUCUUCAAGAUCAUUUUCAUGAGAGCCGAACGUCACGAAAGGUCCGCCACAAAUGUUUUUCCUGGGAGCCUCUAACUCUCAUCAAAAGCAUGUGGGCCGCCGCGAAAAACAGCCUGACCAAAUGACAAUUUUCAUUUUCAUGUGCUCUUACCGCCAUGAAAAUGGUCAUUUUCAUGAGAGUUGAUGAAACAAAAAAAUAGUGCCAUUUUCAUGAGAGUUCAAGCAACCAGGAAAAGGCACUAAUAAACAUCCAGAUCCCAUCCAGCACACAUCCAUGCACAUAUAUAACCCACAUAUUGCUCCAGCAACAUCCAUGCAUAUACAAGAUCCAAAUGUCUUGGUAUGAACCUACAUGCAUGUGAUGAACCAGUAACCUGCAAAAAGAGCUCAUAGGAUCUUGUCCUCAUAUUGUAGCUGUGAAAUUCUUGCAAGUAGUGUUGCAAUCAGUUCACUUUGAACCAAAAGAGCUCAAAGGAUCAUGUCCUCAAAGUUCCUCUUAAAGCUUAUGGGUUUGCUGGUGGAACUGGAAGGGCUUGAUGCAGCAUGCCAUUCUGCAAUAGAGAAAAAUUUAGAAAGCUGUACUAGUUAAAAUUGGAUGCAGCAGAGACACAUGAAACUAGUAUUUAUACAAUUCUAUAUAUAUAAUAAUUUGUCCCCUAAAUUUUUAGGAUCCUCUCGACGGUGGUGAGUCUUCCAGUAAGGCAAUUGAAUGUCCAUCGUGAUAAAAUUCUCCUUUGGAUUUAUCAUCUUCUCAACCAGAAAUCCUAGGAGUUCAUCCUUAAGCCUUACCAGUUGUAAUUUGGAAAUAUGUGAAAGUUAAACGAACAAUUAAAAUCUAAGGAUCCUUAUCAUCAUUUCCAUACGUUUGCGAAUUAAAAUAAUGAAGGAUACAAUGUUAGGUGAAAAUUCAAGAAACAAAAUUUUGUAUAGAGAUAAUGGUCCGACAUUAUUACAAGUUAAAGUUGUUUUAAAUAUCCUUGUAAUCUUCCUUUGGUUUCCUCGACGAUUCCAAGACAGUAACCUUGCUUCUAUCAAUGAUAAUUAUAAGGAGAACCCAAUGAAAACUGUGUAUUCAUAUUAGAACUAACUAAGGUUAAUUCGGAUAGGAAAGGAAAUCAAAAAUAGAUGGUACCCACACUUACUUAAAGUUGUAGGGUAGUAGUAUGUAAUGCUUGUAAUUCUGUUGCUCCAAGAAUUUGUAUAUGUGGUUCAAUGUAGACUUUGGUUGAUCCUGUAUCUGCUGUUGGUUGAAUAAGUGUUUCUAACCAUUUCUAGCCGUUAGAACUGGGACUAAAGGGAGCUCUUAGUGCUGGUUGAUAUUACUAGUCGGGACUAAAGAGCCCCCGUUAGAGUUGGUUUUCGGACGUGGAACUAACCACUCCUUUAGUCUCAAGUCCAAAAAUGAUUGAGACAUUUGUUGCUGGAUGGAACACUAGUAGAGAAUUGGCUUUCGAUGCGCCCCCUUUUGUCCCGGUUUAAAGUUGGACUGGGACAAAAGAGGGUGCGCCACGGUAGGUAAAAAUGGAGGGGGGAGUUAGUCCCGGUUGGUAAUUGCAACCGGGACUAGAGGCCCCCCUUUAGUCCCGGUUGCAAUGGCUAGCUGGGGGGCGUCGGUGGCGGCACCUUUUUGUCCCGGUUGGAGUCUCCAACCGGGAUAAAAGGUCCACCCUUUUAUCCCGGUUGGAGGCUCCAACCGGGACAAAAAGUUUAGUCCCGGUUGGAGCUUCCAACCGGGAUAAAAGGGUGUCCCUUUUGUCCUAGUUGGAGCCUCCAACCGGGACUAAACUUUCAACCGGGACAAAAGGUGUGGUUGGAGUUUUUAACUGGGAUAAAAACUCAUCCCCCAUUAUAUACCAAGACAGAGGACUUUCUUCCUCCUCCAGCCCGAGCCAGUCCAGCACAUUCACAGAGAGUUGACCUUCACCUACUCUCCGGUGGUGCCGAAGCAAGGAGGUGCUGCCCGAAGUUUUUUCCCUCAUUUUCGUGGGAAUUUCACUCAGCUAACACAAGUGUUGUGAAGGUUUGCUACUUCAUCCUCGUUUAUGCUUUGAUUUAUGCUUUGGAGAUGGAAAGAUUAUUUGUUAGAAUGUGAUGAAGUAGAAAAUGGAGAGAAUAUUUUGAGCUAGAAUGUGAGGGAGAUUGAUGUGUCAUAUAUAGUAUGCAUUCUUGCAGUGGUUUAAGAAUGAUGCUACCUUGUCCAGACAAUUUAUCUUAUCAAAUUCAAUAUAGUUUUUCAAAUCCAUACUUGUUGAACUUGCAUACCGUGUUCAUCUCUACGAGGAUAUUCUCUGCCGAGCAGCAACGUAUGUCAAGAAGGAGGUUCGAUUCUACGAGGAAGAGUGGAUACGGACAUCGUGACCGUGUCCCCUUUUCCGUAGCAUCUAACCUCUUUCAUGAUGAAGUGCGGUGCCGCCCAGUUGAGAACAUGCUCGCGAGAUGAACACAGUAUGCAAGUUCAACAACUUCUGCAGUAGUAAGGAAAGAAUUUUUGUACAUAGAUGACUUCUGCUACUUGUUGAACUUAUCAAAUUCAAGAAGGUUUUUCAAAUCCAUACUUGUUGAACUUGCAUACCGUGGUCAUCUCGCAGAGGAUGUUCUCCGCCGAGCAGCAACGUAUGUCAAGAAGGAGGUUCGAUUCUACGAGGAAGAGUGGAUACAGACAUCGUGACCGUGUCCCCUUUUCCGUAGAAUCGAACCUCUUUCAUGACGAAGUGCGGUGCCGCCCAGUUGAGGACAUGCUCGCGAGAUGAUCACGGUCUUUAAGUUUAACAACUUAUGCAGUGUUAAGGUAAUAAUUUUUGUACAUAGAUGGCUUCUGCUACUGGAGAAAGUGGCGAUGGUGGGGGUGAUCGUGGUUCCUCUUUCGGCAAGGGGAAAAUCAUAGUUGGCCCUCAGCAUAAGCCAAAGAAAAAGAGCGCACUGGAAAAAGCAAUGCUUCGUUAUUUGCAGCAACGUCAUGAAGAAGUUGUUGCCGCGGGUCAGGAACCUCCUUUUGGUCGUCGUUAUGCUCCACCCUUAGUCCCGGGUGUUUCACAUCCACUUAGUACUACCGUUUCAGGCGGCACAAAUAAACCUAAGGAUGAGGCUAGGUCAGCGGAACUUUCGUCUUCACUGUCCAAGGAUGCUUAAAGUCCUCCUAGAUAAUAACCAGUGGAUGGCUUGUUGUAUUGUAUCAUGUUGUUUGGAUCUUUAAUUUAAAUAUGUGUAUUUGGAUCUUCAUGUUGUUGUAUUGUACCAUGUUGUUUGGAUCUUUAAUCAAUUUUCACACGUAAUCCAUUGUCAAGUGUAAUCCAUUUUCAUGCAUAAUAAGAUGCAGAUGGACCGGCAAUGGAUGUAUAAUGCAGACAGGCAGAGCAAGGUGUUUAUUGAUGGCUUGCAUUAUUGUCUCGAAGUGGCCAAAGCGAACAAGCCAGAGAAUGGGUUCGUAUGUUGUCCAUGCUUCCAAUGCAAUAACAAGAAGGAGUAUUCAUAGGAUUCCUGGGGGACUAUUCACAGCCACUUGUUUAAAUACGGUUUCAUACUUAACUAUUUGGUUUGGACCAAGCACGGUGAACGAGGGGUCGUAAUGGAAGAUGGCGAGAAGGAGGAGGAAGAUGACACCAUUCCAGACUGGGUUGUAGGCCAAGCUUUUGCAGGUACUACAAUGGGCGAGGCUCAUGAAGAUGAGUUUGCAGAAAAUGGCCCUAUUGAUGACUUUGGUCAGGUGAUACGAGAUGCAUACAGAGAUUGCGAAAUUGAGAAGGAAGCAGCAAAGUUGCAGCGCAUGAUAGAUGAUCACCAAAAAUUAUUGUACCCAGGUUGCCAGCUGGGCCAUAAAAAACUAGGUACGACACUAGAAUUUGUGCAAUGGAAGGCAAAAAAUGGUGUGUCCGAUAAGGCAUUUCAGGGGAUGUUGACCAUUGUCAAGAAGAUUCUUCCCGAGAAUAAUGAAUUACCGUCCACAACAUAUGAAGCUAAACAGAUUAUUUGCCCUCUCGGAUUGGAUGUUCAGAAGAUACACGCAUGCCCUAAUGACUGUAUCCUCUAUCGUGGUGAUGACUACGAGAAAUUGGAUGCUUGUCCCGUGUGCGAAGCCCUGCGGUAUAAGAUUAGGUGAGAUGAUCCUUGUGAUGUCGAGGGGCAGUCUCCCAAUAAGAGAGUUCCCGUGAAGGUGAUGUGGUAUUUCCCUAUAAUACCACGCUUGAAGCGCUUGUUCAGGAAAAAGGCGAAUGCUAAGUUGAUGUGAUGGCACAAAGAAGACCGUAAGGAAGAUGAGAUGCUGAGACACCCCGCAGAUGGGGCACAGUGGAGAUCAAUUGAUAGAGCAUUCUCGGACUUUGAAAGUGAAGCAAGGACAUAAGGUUUGGUUUAAGUACUGAUGGAUUCAAUCCAUUCGGUGAGUUGAGUAGUGGCCAUAGUACUUGGCCUAUGACCCUAUUUAUGUUGAACCUUCCUCCUUGGCUAUGCAUGAAGUGGAAGUUCAUUAUGAUGCCGGCGCUUAUCCAAAGUUCAAAACAACCCGACAACGACAUUGACGUGUACCUAAGACUGUUGGUUGAUGACCUUUUACAGCUCUGGAAGGAAGAAGGUGUACGUGUGUGGGAUGAGGAUAGACAAGAGAUCUUUAAUCUACGAGUAUUGUUGUUUGUAACCAUCAAUGAUUGGCCUGCACUGAGUAACCUUUCGGGACAGACAAAUAAGGGAUAUCGGGCAUGCACCCACUGUUUAGACGACACAGACAGCAUGUAUUUGAAGCAUUGUAAGAAGGUCGUCUACAUGGGUCAUCGUCGAUUUCUCCCUGCUCACCACCAGCUGAGAAAGAGCAGGAUGCAUUUCAAAGGGGCGCCAGACCAUCGUAAAAAACCUGCACACCAUAAUGGAAAGUGUGUCUUCAAGAUGAUGAAGGAUGUAAAUGUAGUCUUUGGAAAGGGUCUUGGUAGCCAACCUAUUCCAAACGACAAUAACGGACAUGCACCCAUGUGGAAGAAAAAGUCAAUAUUUUGGGAGCUACCUUAUUGGGAAAUCCUAGAGGUUCGCAAUGCAAUAGACGUGAUGCACCUGACGAAGAAUAUUUGCAUGAACGUGCUAGGCUUCAUGGGUUUUUAUGGGACCUCAAAAGACACAUUGGAAGCACGACAGGACCUGAAAGCCAUGGGGCAACGAGAUGACCUACAUCCGAAAAAGAGAGAUAAUGGAUAGCACUACUUACGUCCUGCCAGUUACACUCUGAGCAAGGAAGAGAAGGAUAGCAUGUUUGAAUGCUUGAAUAGUAUGAAGGUCCCGUCUAGGUACUCCUCGAAUAUAAAGGGAAUAAUAAAUAUGAAAAAAAAGAAGUUUAUAAAUCUCAAGGCCCAUGACUGUCACAUGUUGAUGACCCAGUUGCUUCCGGUUGCACUGAGGGGUGUUCUACUAGAAAAUAUCCAGUUGCCGCUCGUAAAGCUAUGUGCGUUUCUAAAUGCGAUUUCACAGAAGGCAAUCGAUCCAUCCAAGCUAUCAAAGCUACAGAACGAUGUGGUGCAAUGUCUUGUCAGUUUUGAGUUGUUAUUUCCACCAUCCUUCUUCAAUAUUAUGACGCACUUACUGGUUGACCUAGUAAAAGAGAUUGGUAUUCUCGGACUUGUAUACCUGCACAAUAUGUGGCCUUUCAAGUGUUCAUGGCAGUCCUAAAAAACUAUGCUCUUAAUCGUGCCCAUCCAGAAGGAAGCAUCGCCAAGGGAUAUGGAACAGAGGAGGUGAUCGAGUUUUGUGUUGAUUUUAUUGAUUCAAUUGACUCGAUUGGGGUUCCAACUUCACGCCAUGAGGGGAGGCUCCGAGGAAUGGGCACCCUUGGAAGGAAAUCAAGUUUGAGCAAUGAUACUGAUUUGUUCGACAAGGCACACUACACGGUUCUACAACAGUCAUCCUUUGUGUCUCCAUAUAUUGAGCAGCACAGGCAGAUGGUAGUUUCCAAAAACCCGACCAAAUCCGAUGCUUGGCUUACCCGUCUUCACAUGGAAACUUUUCCCUCCUGGUUGCGCCAACAACUUAUGGGUAACUCUGAGAUUCACCCACAGCUUGCCUGGUUAGCCAGGGGACCUGCUAGCACAAUUGUGAAAUUUCAAGGCUAUGAGAUAAAUGGUUAUACAUUUUACACGAGAGCCCAGGACCAGAAAAGCACGAAACCAGAAUAGUGGUGUCCGCAUACAUGCCAUGGACAGAAAUAAUAGCAAGGAGUCGUAUUAUGGUUUCAUAUAGGAGAUAUGGGAACUUGAAUACGGACCGUUGUACAUCCCUCUAUUUCUUUGUAAUUGGGUGAAGCAAACUGCCGUAACCAAAGAUCAGUACGGAAUGACAAUAGUAGAUCUGAGCAAGACUGGAUACAGUGAUGACCCAUUCGUACUUGCCAACAAUGUGCAACAGGUGUUCUAUGUGAAGGACAUGUGUAGCAAACCCAAGAGAAAUCCAGAAGAGACAUGGGAGCCAAAGUGCCACAUAGUUUUUCCAGGUAGAAGAAAAAUCGUGGGAGUCGAGGAUAAAACAAACCAAUCAGAUGAUUAUGAUUAGUUUGAUGGCAUGCCUCCAUUCGCCGUUGAAGUUGAUCCAAGCAUCCUGCUAUCCAAAGAAGAGGCUCCGUACUUACGCCGCGAUCAUGAUCAAGGAACUUUCGUGAAGAAGAAAUUCUACAACGUUGUAUUGUAAUGCGCUAAAUUUACAUGACCUUUGUGUAGUAAUUGAUACAAUUUUUAAUUUACCCUAUGUAUGAUUUGAUGUGUUCUUAAAUUUGUUAGGUGAAGAUUUAUUAGAUAAACAUGAACAAUGUUAACCACAUACAUACAUGGAUUUUUCUGCGCAUUGAAAUUAUUUAAUGGAAUAAUUUCUUGAUCACAGCGAUGUAGUAAAAUAAAUAUUUUAGAGCCUAAAUGAACUGGUAUAGAAUUAAUGACUAACUCACACUUAUUGUCAAUUUACUCGCUAAUUAAAUAUAUUUUUGCAUGUACAAAAUAUGUGAAGGUUUUUGUUUUUCAUCCUGAAUUGCAGUGAAAAGAUAAAUAAAAUCCAUUUCCAAAAAACAGGCGGGAGAAGAAAACUGGGAAAAGGACCUUUUGUCCCGGGUGCCAACAGAAACCGGGACAAAAAGCCCCCCCCCUUUUAUCCCGGUUGGUGGUGGCACCCGAGAUAAAAGGGUAGGCUCCAAGCCCCACUUGGCGGACGCACCCUUUUGUCCCGGGUCCCGUCACCAACCGGGAUAAAAGGGGGGGCCUUUUAUCCCGGUUGGUGAGGGGACCCAGGACAAAAGGCCCUUUAGUCCCGGGUGUCAUUACGAACCGGGAUAAAAGGGGGGUUAAAAGGCACUAUAGCCCCUUCUACCCCCCACGCCAGUUACAGUUAGCAAAAUUUUCACCAAGAUCCCGCGCGCACUCUGCUCCGUCGCUGCCCGUCCGCCUUCCUCGCCAGCCGUCAUCGUCGUCGUCCCCCAUUGCCCCGGCCGUCGUCGUCCCGCCGGCUGACCGUGCCCAGAUAGCCUCCUCCUCCAUCGCCCCGGCCCGCCUCGAUCCUCCUGCGUCGUGCCCGGCCCCUACCUCAUCGACGCCGGCCACCUCCAUCGCGGGGCCUCAUCGCCGCCUCCAUCCUCGUCGCCACCUCGACGCCCUGGGUCGCCGCCUCGUCGCCCCUCGUCGCUGCCUCGUCGCCGUCCUGCCUCCGCCGUCUCGCCGUCCCGCGCGCCUUCGCUCCGUCGUCGCCUCCGCCGUCCCACCGCCCCAGCCACCGCCAUCCCGCCACCCCGGCCACCUCGUCGCCCCGACCACCGUCGACCGCGCGUGAGGUCCGCCGCACCGGCACUGGCGCCGGGAGUACCGCCUUGCUGACGCAAGCCCACCGGCUUGCGUCAACAAGGGCCUUUUUUAAGUUAGAAAAUAAAUAGAAAGGAGUAGUAAUUAGGUAGAAAUUCAAUAGAUUUUUGUAUAUGUGUUACAAAAUCAAAUUAGUGUAAAUUAGUUGUAAUUAGGUUCGUCGCUCUGCCUAGGUUAGAAAUGAAUCGUGUUUCGUCGUGGUUCCGUCCCCGCCUCCGCCGUCCCGCCACCCUGACCGUCGCCGUCCCAACCUAGGCACCGUCUGUGGUUCCGUCCCCGCCUCCGCCGUUCCGCCUCCAUCGCAAAUUCAUGUUAUUGCUAGAAAUUCCAAUAAAUAUGAACAAAUUAGUAGAAAUUUGGUAGAAAUUAAUCAUUGCUGCGGCCACCUCGCUCCACAAAUUCAUGUUAUUGCUAGAAAUUCAUAAAAAUUCAUGUUAUCACUAGAAAUUCGUACAAAAUUCAUGUUAUUGCUAGAAAUUCGUAAAAAUUCAUGUUAUUGCUAGAAAUUCGUACAAAAUUCAUGUUAUUGCUAGAAAUUCGUACAAAUUCAUGUUAUUGCUAGAAAUUCGUCACAAAGUACUACUAAUUUGCAAAAAUUUGUAUAAAUAUUCCGGACUUUGUGGGAUUCAUGUUAUUUUCUGAUUUCAUGUAUAUACCCUUAUGUACAUAUAACUAAGGAGAUUUCUAUGACUUUCAUGUAUGUUUCAAUCAAUAGUUGAAAUGGCAGACGAUGAGACCGCAAGGUAUCUCAUGGAGCAGAUAAUCGCUGGUGAUGGUAGUGGCGACAACCUUCCACUAUCGUACACCGAUGAAGAGGGCACCCAGGCGGACAUGUUCCUCAACAUGUCCGCCGAUGGGAAUGAAGAGCAAAAGCCCCAGCAACACCUUGCCGGGGCGGAAGGUUCCGGCGAGGUAUAUAUAACGAUUCUUGUAUUGUUUCACACCACCGUUACUACUACGUACUAAUUAACGAAUCAUGAACCGUUAGCCCUCUGGAUCGACGCAAGGGCAGAAGACACGAGGUCGUACAAAGGUGAUGGAAGGGAGGCUUGUCAUCACGGAAGUGAUAGAAGAGGGCAGGCCGGUUGCUCCCGAGAAAGUAGCAAAGAAGUACGUGAGUCAGAUCGGGGCAAUCGUCCGGGACAACGUGCCUAUCAGCAUCAGAGAAUGGAAGGGCAGAAGCACUAAUCCGUACGCCCUCCUGGAGACAGAAAGAAUAUGCUGUGGGAAGAUGUCAAGAGACAUUUCACAUUCACCGAAGGAUAUAUUGAGAAGGAUGUGAAAGCGUGGACGCUUAAGAAGAUGGCUACACAAUUUCCAGACAUUUAAGAAGAUGCUAGAUACCCACUACAUUAAGAAGGGCCGAACUCCAGACUUCAACGCGUGGUCAAAGUUGAGGGACCACUAGGAUGCAUUUGUUGAAUAUAAGAGGAGUGAAUACGAUGUGAAAAAGAUCACGACCAACACAACAAAUGCUAGUCAGAAGGGCUACCAUCAUCAUCUGGGGCGAGAUGGUUAUGGCUCAGCAAUUCCCAAGUCGAGGAAGAUGGAACAAGAUCUGAUUGAACGGGGAAUCGUACCGGCAACUAUUGAAUGGCCCGAACGAUCAAAAAAUUGGUACUACGCUCAUGGAGGCUCCCUGUGCCAAGAGGAUGGGACGUUGAUUUUCAAUAACACAAUACGUUAGAAGGCCAAACAUCUUGUGAAGAACAUUGAAGAUUCUAAGGCUGGGAGGUUGAAGGUGGACCGAGAAAAUGAUGAGCUCACAUUGGCCCUUGGUAAUCCAGAGCACCCAGGAUGUUGCCGAGGGUUCGGGGUCGUUCCGUGGAAGUUUGUUUUCCGAGGCGACAGCGCCUCGUACAGAAGCCGGAAGCGAAGAAAGGAACAGAUCGAGGAGAGCUGGUGGCAGAUGCUAGAAUCCAAAGUGCAGGCACAAGAACAAAGAAUGAUGGAGGAAAUCAAUCGUCGAGUGGCCCACGCAGUUGUGGAGUUGGCCCAAUCUGGAGCAUUGCCGAAUCCUAACAACGCCAGCCCUUCUCAAUGCCUCUUGAGCAGUUAUGCUUCUACAGGGGUCCCCGAUGCGCACACGCCCAGGUUACCCGUGGAGGAGCAACGGUUCCCCGUGGAUGCCAUCACGCAACACACCACAUGUGAGCUGCAUGCACCGGUCGGCAACCUCACUAUUAAGGUAUACUUAUACAUAAUAUUUAUGCAAUCUUGUCAAUUGAUCCACGCCUCGAUAUCGGAGUUUAACUUGUUUACUUCUACUAUAUGUACAGGUAGCGUACGGGAGUGCGUUAGCAACCCUGGCGGGGCAGAGCAGUCAUGGCAUGAAGAUUCCACCUGGCUACGCUAGCGUCCGCGUAGAGCAAAUAGUUGAUAGCCAAUAUGAAGGUCUAGAGCUCGACCUCCCGGGAGGUGACAGGGAAAGAACACUGGCAGAUGCGCUUCAUGGGAUCAUUCUAUGGCGAAAACGCUACAUCAUUAUUCCCGGCACGGAGCCAUCUCCUCAGAGCUCAAGACCACUCCCCGUAGAUCCCCAGCAGCGACCUUCUCCUCAUAGCUCGAGACCGUCAUCUCCUGCACAACCUGCUCCAGGACCGUCCCUUCCAUCUAUAUCAAGGUCUCCAUCUCCACCACAUCCUGGUGGUGGGAGCGACGACGACAAUAACAACACCCCUUCCUGAUCACCAUCGCCGGCACCAAGAGCGGCCCCCAUGAAGGAACCUGCACCACCACUAAAAAAGUCACGAGCACCGCCUCCCAAGCAAAGACAGAGAAAGAAGAAAACAAAGGAGCCUGAAGUGACUCGUAAGGAACGCUGGGAGACAAUGUCUCAUGCGGAACAGUGGGCAGAAAUCCAACAAGAGGCCAGUGAGUGGUUCAAGAAACAAGCCGAAGAAAAAAAAGCAACGGAGAUGCAGCCACCGCCAGUAAAUCGAAGAGAUUUAAACUUUUUUAUCAGGAUGGAAGAAGGAGCCAAGAAAAGGAUACCACUCUUAUCAAACUAUGAACGGGCUUUAGUAAAGGCUGAUGAAAAGGAUAAAAGGAAAGGAAAGUCAUCUUCCAGCGGUGCUGUCCCCGACCUCAGCCAUUUAUCAAAAAAAGAUGCUCAACGGGUAAAAGCAAUGCCCUUGGAUCAACAAGCAGAAGUAUUGAAGUUCAUGCAAGAAACAGGUCUGGGACUUGAUGAAUGCCUAGGGCAAGUUGAGACGCCAACUGCACCGCCCCCUGAGCCGAGAUGGCCUUAUGAGCUAGGCAAACCUCUAGUAAAGCCUUCAUUGGUACGAAAGCUAUCAACAAAGAUGUACGCAUUCCAUCAAUGGUACAUGAUGGCAUCCGCUGACUCAAGGGAGAUGCUCGGCCUGAAGGUAAAACCGAUGGAUUUUCACGACAGAGGCGAGAAAGUGCUGUGGCUAGACUUCAAGGAUAUAUACGAAGUGUACCAUCAUGAUGCCAUAGACGUCUCUCUGAUCCGCGCUUGGGUUCUGUAAGUGUCCGUUUAUCUCUACAUGUAAAUUUUGGCGUGCGUCACCGUACUAACUUCGUCUUCCAUUUCAUGUAGGAUGCUAAUUCAGACAUGCCGCCGAGAGGCGUACCUACAUAUAGGCUUCAUGGAUCCAUCUGUAGUUAACCAACAGCAGAUACAAUUAGCAUCGGAGAAAACCUUGGUGGAAGUAUACAAUUUCCUAGACAAACAAACAUUCAAGGAUUUCAUACUAUUUCCAUACAACUUCAAGUAAGUGUGUGUAUACCGUCUACUUUCGAUGUCUUUUUCCUUAUCUCUACAUGUUAGUUAGCUCUAAUAUGCAUGAACAUUUUACGCACGCAGCUUCCACUGGAUCCUUAUUAUAAUUGAGCCUCAAAGAAGCCACGUCACUGUCUUCAAUUCGUUGAGGAAAGAUCCAGUGGAGCACCAAGAAAUGCAACACAUGCUAGGCUUGUAAUAAUUCUGGACCUUUAUCUCUAUGCAAAAGUUUGUUUCCUAAAUUCUAUCCCUGUUACACUAUAUCAUUCAUUAUUCUAAUCCACAGCGUAUGGAAACAAUUCAUAAGGACACAAAAAGGUCCAUUCAAAGAAAAACUUACAUGGAACACAGACUUCCCGGUACAUAUGAAGUCUGCACAUUUAUUACAUUGUAUAACACGAAUAUUUCAUAACUUAUUUUUUUCCGUAUUGAAGUGCUUAAGACAGGAACUCGGAAAUAAUCUAUGUGGCUACUACAUCUGUGAGCACAUGCACAGUUUUAUGGGACCCAAGGGACUAAAGAUGACGCCGCACAACUUUAAAGUACGUAAAAUAAAACUAUUACUAGUUAAUUAUUUUCUAGCUCCUUAUAUGUAUUUGUUCACGUAACAUUCACAAAUUUCCAAAUUAUAGAUGUUAAAUAUUCAACAAGGACUCUUGAAGGAAGAAAGAGUAGCGGCAAUAUGUGAAGGUCUCAUUGGAUUCCUAAUGGACAAGGUGGUAGAUCCAAAAGGAGAAUUUUAUUUUGAUGGACGACAAUUAGACACUCUGAUCAGCAACACCUCGAUGGGAAGAUUGUAGAUAGAUACUUUGAUUUAUUUGUAUAUAUAAUACGCGCUAAUUAUGAUCGAUUUGUACUAGUUGAAUUCUGUAUAUGAAUUGUGUAUAAGAAUUGUGUAUAUAUAUAGUAACUGUAUAAUUACAAAUCCCAUUCGUUUAAAUACUAGUUAAUUUCAUUCUAAAAAAAUCUCAACUACUUAAGGUUAACAAAAGGGCUGCGGUACUACGUACGUGAUGCAUGCAUGAAAAAUUCAGGCGCCAGGCAGGUGCCAUGCAGGGCAUCAUUUAGUCCCGUUUGGAAUCCAGCCGGGACUAAAGGGUAACCCUUUACUCCCGGUUGGGAAACCCAACCGGGACUAAAGGGGGACCGUUACUCCCGGUUAAAAGACCCGGGACUAAAACCCCCCCUUUUGUCCCGGUUGGCUUAUCCCGGAUAAAUUUUCGGGAGAUAUGCACCCUACCAACCGGGACUAAAGGCCAAUUCUCCACUAGUGGAAGGUCCUUUCUCUACCAUGAAUAUUGCCAGAAAGAAUUGAAAGAGACCGCUUGCUAAAAACAUGUCAUAGAUGCGGACCAAGCUACCAAGGAGGUAGACCAAACAUGAUACACACCAUGCGUACCUUGCUGUGCAGACUAUGCAUGGACAAGAUACCCGACCACAUGUUGGCUUUGGUCACAUCAAAAGAAUCAUGUAGGCCAUUAAUAAACUACUUGAAGCGUCAUUCCGUAUCUUAUAUCCAUCAUCUGCAUUACAUUACAUUAAAUAUUAUUAACUAUUUGAAUAAAAUGAACCAAUUUAAAAAUAAUGAAUUGUACAUUACUACAAAAAGCCCUAGCACUGCCAGUUCCAAAAACAUCAUUGUUGACGGCCGUUAAGUACCAAAUAUGACGGUCAAUAUCCUAAAGAAUAAAGGACAAUUGGCAUUUCUUACACACAUAUUUGGUUUCGAAUAAUGUAGUUCUACAUGUCCUUGGAGAUUAUUUGGGUGUGGGUGAAAUAAUACAAAAAGAAGGAGAAAACACACUCCCAUGGCAAAGAAACAUAACUCCGACCAAUGAGAGAUAGCCACAGGGGCAGCACAUGGAUCCAUGGGCCCACAAACUGCAUCAAACCAUCUUACAAGGCGGGUAGCACCCACAACUGUCAUUAGGACCCACCUGGAAGUCUAGCAAAGAAGAAGGUUGUGAGUGGGGCCACGAGGGGUUCGGUUGAAUCAUCUCUAGCUCCCUUCAUCCCCAGCUGGCGCGUGGCGGUGGUUCAUGGUGUCCCGACAUCGGUUAGAGGACAUUCCCCCAAAUAUUCCUCCUGUAAACCAGCUCUAUGAACCUAUAAAUAGAGGGGUGUGCUCUCCAUUCCAACACACACCACAAGUUGAAGCACUCUCUCCCUCUUUAGUUUCCAAGUUUACGGAGAUAGGCUGGAGUAGCUCUGCUAAAGGUUCCAAGUCCACUUGGAGUUAAGCGUAUGUCUCUUGUAUCAUUAUUUCCUAGAGAGACUUUAUGCUAUUCAAGUUAUUUAUCUUCUUCAUAUAGUGUUAUGCUUAGUUCUUAUAUGCAUGAGUUAGUCUAAUACCCUUGCUCUAUUGAUAUGCUCAGCUUAUGUGCUCGUAUGCUAGUCAUGUACCCUUGCUGUCAUAGUAUAGGGUUAUAUGCUGUCAUGUGUGCCUAUAGACCUUGCUACAGUAUAUACUUGUUGUGUAUACAUACCAUUUGUAUAUACAUUAUUACAAGUUAAGGUAGUUUUAAAUAUCCUUGUGUUGACAACCAAAGCUUGAUCUUUUGUUUCCAUUGCCAGCGGAUUCAUCGGCUCAGAGUAGGAUCAAGACAUCAAGUUGAUGGAGUUCUUUAUAUUUCAAGAGGAGUCAUGGAGUUCUUUAUAUUUCAAGAGGAGUUGAUGGUGCUUUCAAUAUUGCAACCAGACAUCAUUGGCUCUGAAGACACCGAAUCAUCGGAGUUCUAUGAUCAGUUUCGGAACAUGAAGCCUUCAUACUCCGAAACUGGGGGGCCUGUGUUGACACCGAAUUAUCGGACUUCUAUAAUUAGUUUCGGAACAUGAAGCCUUCAUACUUCGAAACUGGGGGGUAUGUGUUUACACCAAAAUUUAGAAAUGUGCUCUGAAAGGAAGGACCUGGGAGAUCUAUUGGCUGAAAUACAAAUCCAUCGAAACUAGCCUUAUGCUAAGAGAUCAGAAUAUUGUACAAAGUCUAGAAAGUUCUAUUUACAUCUAAGUAACUCGAUAACUAGCCUUACGCUAAGAGAUCAGAAUAUUGGACAAAGCCUACAAAGUUCUAAUAUAGGUAACGUAAUGACCAGGUGAGGAUAGUUACAAGCUCGCUUGAGAUCGAAGCCGAUGUAGCCCUGCGCGCAAGAAGAAACUCACCUAUUUCUACUCUACUCUUACUCCUAGGGUUUGAUGGCGUGGCGUCAAAAGAUUGUAUUGAUUGAUUGAUUAUUUGAUACAAAGCUCAUGGGCCUAUAUUUAUACCCUUGAGAAAGCUAAAAUCCUAAUCAGUUAUGACAUGAAUCGUGACAGAAAAUCUAACUAAAGAUAGAUCUCCAUGCUUUCCCUUAUUUGGUGGAGUCGAUUUCACUUCAUAUCGGAUCCCUCCCGAUCUUCUAUCGGCUUCUAGCAUCCGGUCAUCUGCGACUGGCCUUGGUCAACAUCAGGUGUCAACAGACUUAUUUCUUCUACAAGUUCAUCGGCUGUCAGAGCCUUGUCUUAGUCAGUUGACUCUAGUAAAAAAUCGAUGUCAAUACAUGCCCCCCAAUUUUUGAAUAAAAUAUUAUAUUUCAAAAUUCUCUUCUCUUGUCAACAGCUUUUGAAAGAAAAAGAGUCACUGCUGCAAUCAUAAUCUUUUUCCCCGGGUUUUGUGAUAGCACCCUCCUCAUUUUAAGGGAUUCACCAUGUGGAAAUUAUAAUAUAACUGCUUCACCCAUUUCGUUUUCUUCACCAAACCAACUAUUGUCAGCCGCUACAACCAAAAAUCAAUUAUUCCCUUCACAUGCCUAGCGACUGCAUCCAUCACUCAUCGUCACCAUUAGUCUCCAUGUGUCAAGGCUUCUUCAACCAGCAAUGGCGACAUUAUCUUCCAUUCCACAGGUACCAUGUAUCCUAGCCAUUCCUUUCCCCUUUCAACCUGAAAUCCAAUCUAGUCACUAUAUAUCAAACCUGUGUUCUUAAUCAAUACUUGCCCCCUUGUACUUAGAAACACCCUUUUGAUCCCCAUAUCCGAUACGCAAGCAGAAUACUUUCUAGGCCCCAUGGGUAGUGAAGACCCAAUAGAAUCUAUUAAUGCUGAAAUACUUGGACAAAGUCUAGAAAGUUCUAUUUACAUCUAAGUAACUCGAUAACUAGCCUUACGCUAAGAGAUUUAAAUAUUGGAUAAAGCCUAGAAAGUUCUUAUAUAGGUAACUGAAAAGUGUGUUGACGCAAAAAUUGGAUGGUUGACUCCUGCGUACUAACACACGGAACCAGGGAGAAUCUGCUUAGCUACUGUUCGGGUUAUAGCCCUCUCGAUCCGUAGCGUGCCAGUUAAUCUGACCUGCUGAUUGACAAGUAAAAAUGUCAAAUUAAGAGCAAAUCAGCUGGUGUUCCGAAUCGCUCCACGGGACGUAUCAGUAGACAGCCGAUACGGGCAAACGACAAUCAGCUAGAUCAGCCGAUUUGCUCUUGUAUUUGACGUUUUACUUGUCCUUCUCAAUCAGCAGGUCAGAUUGACUCGCACGACGCAGAUCGAGAGGGCUAUAACCUAAACAAGAGCUAAGCAGAUUCUCCCGGGUUUCAUGUCUUAGUACACAGAAGUCAACCGUCUGAUUUUAUCAUCAACACGCUUUUUGGCACGCUCAGUGGGACCCGAUUCAUAUCUUAAUGGUAAUUGGUGAUCAAGUUUCAAACAACGUAUCCACUGGUAGAAAACUGAGCAUUAGUCCCGGUUGGUAAGGGUCAUAUCUCUCGGAUAUCCAUCCGGGAUAAACCAACCGGGACAAAAGGGGGGGGUCUUUAGUCCCGGGUAUUUUAACCGGGAGUAAAGGACCCCCUUUAGUCCCGGUUGGUGUCACCAACCGGGACUAAAGGGCCUGCCACGCCAGGCGCGGGACAGGCCCUUUAGUCCCGGUUGGUGACACCAACCGGGACUAAAGGGGGUCCCUUUAGUCCCGGUUGGAUUUCCCAACCGGGACUAAAGGGGUCCCCUUUAGUCCCGGCUCAAUUCCAACCGGGACUAAAUUGCGCUUGCAUGGCACUGGUGACGCCUGAAUUUUUCAUGCAUGCAUCACGUAUACGUAUAGUAGUACCGCGGCCCUUUUAAUUUGUUAACCUUGUAGUUGAGAUUUUUUUAGAAUGAAUUAAAUCAACUAGUAUUUAAACGAAUGGGAUUUGUAAUUACACAACUACUAUAUAUAUACACAAUCCUUAUACACAAUUCAUAUACACAAUUCAACUAGCUUAAUUAGUACAAAUCGAUCAUAUAUACAAAUAAAUCAAAGUAUCUUCCUACGAUCUUCCCGUCGUGGUGUUGCUGAGAGGAGUGUCUAAUUGUCGUCCAUCGUAAUAAAAUUCUCCUCUUGGAUUUACCACCUCGUCCAUUAUGAAUCCAAUGAGACCUUCACAUAUUGCCGCUACUCUUUCUUCCUUCAAGAGUCCUUGUUGAAUAUUUAACAUCUAUAAUUUGGAAAUUUGUGAAUGUUACAUGAACAAAUACAUAUAAGGAGCUAGAAAAUAAUUAACUAGUAAUAUAUUUAUUUUACGUACUUUAAAGUUGUGCGGCGUCAUCUUCGGUCCCUUGGGUCCCAAAAAACUGUGCAUGUGCUCACAGAUGUAGUAGCCACAUAGGUUAUUCCCGGGUUCCUGUCUUAAGCACUUCAGUGCGGAAAAAAAAUAAGUUAUGAAAUAUUCGUGUUAUACAAUGUAAUAAAUGUGCAGACUUCAUACGUACCGGGAAGUCUGUGUUCCAUGUAAGAUCUUCUUUGAAUGGACCUUUGUGUGUCCUUAUGAAUUGUUUCCAUACGCUGCGGAUUAGAAUAAUGAAUGACAUAGUGUAACAGGGAUAAAAUUUAGGAAAUAAAUUUUUGCAUAGAGAUAAAGGUCCAGAAUUAUUACAAGCCUAGCAUGUCUUGCAAUUCUUGGUAGUCCACCGGAUCUUUCCGUAACGAAUCAAAGACAGUGACGUGGCUUCUUUCAGGCUCAAUUAUAAUAAGGAUCCAGUGGAAGCUGCGUGCGUAAAAUGUUCAUGCAUAUUAGAGCUAACUAACAUGUAGAGAUAAGGAAAAAGACAUCGAAAGUAGACGGUAUACACACACUUACUUGAAGUUGUAUGGAAGUAGUAUGAAAUCCUUGAAUGUUUGUUUGUGUAGGAAAUUGUAUAUUUCGGCAAAGGUUUUUUCCGGCGCUAAUUGUAUCUGUUGUUGGUUAACUACAGAUGGAUCCAUGAAGCCUACAUGUAGGUACGCCUCUCGGCGGCAUGUCUGAAUUAGCAUCCUACAUGAAAUGGAAGAUGAAGUUAGUACGGUGACGCACGCCAAAAUUUACAUGUAGAGAUAAUAAACGGACACUUACAGAAUCCAAGCGCUGAUCAGAGAGACGUCCAGGGCAUCAUGAUGGUACACUUCGUAUAUAUCCUUGAAGUCUAGCCACAGCACUUUCUCCCCUUCACCGUGAAAAUCUAUCGGUUUUACCUUCAUGCCGAUCAUCUCCCUCGAUUUGGCGGAUGCCGUCAUGUACCAUUGAUGGAAUUCGUACAUCUUUGUUGACAGCUUCCGUACCAUUGCCGGCUUCACUAGAGGCUUGCCUAGCUCAUAAGGCCAUCUCGGCUCAGGGGGCGGUGCAGUUGGCGUCUCGACUUGCCCUAUGCAUUCUUCAAGUCCCAGACCUGUUUCUUCCAUGAACUUCAAUAUAUUUUCUUGUUGAUCCAAGGGCAUUGCUUUUACCCGUUGAGCAUCUUUCUUUGAUAAAUGGCUGAGGUCGGGGACUGAACCGCUGGAGGAUGAUUUUCCUUUUCUUUUAUCCUUUUCAUCAGCCUUUACUAGAGCCCGUUCAUAGUUUGACAAGAGUGGUAUCCUUUUCUUGGCUCCUUCCUCCAUCCUGAUAAAAAAGUUUAAAUCCCGCCGACUUACUGGCGGUGGCUCCAUCUCCCUUGCCCUUUUUAAUUCGGCUUGUUUCUUGAACCACUCACUGGCCUCUCGUUGGAUUUCUGCCCACUGUUCCGCAUGAGACAUUGCCUCAAAGCGUUCCUUGCGAGCCACUUCAGGGUCGACCUUUGUUUUCUUCUUUCGAGGCUGUCUUUGCUUGGGAGGCGGUGCUCGUGACUUCUUGAGUGGUGCUGCAGGUUCCUUCGAGGGGGCCGCUCUUGGUGCCAGCGACGGUGAUCGGGGAGGGGUGUUGUUAUUGUCGUCGUCGCUCCCAGCACCAGGAUGUGGUGGAGAUGGAGACCUUGAUAUAGAUGGAAGCGACGGUCCUGGAGCAGGAGAUGCCGGUCUCGAGGUAUGAGGAGAAGGUCGCUGCUCGGGAUCUACGGGGAGCGGUCUUGAGGUCUGAGGAGAUGGCUCCGUGCGGGAAAUAAUGAUGUAGCGUUUCUUCCAUAGAAUGAUCCCAUGAAGCGCAUCUGCCAAUGUCUUUUCCCCGUCGCCUCCCGGGAAGUCGAGCUCUAGACCUUCAUACUGGGCAUCUACUAUUUGCUCGACGCAGACGCUGGCGUAGCCUGUUGGAAUGUCCAUGCCAUGACUGCUCUGCCCUGCCAGCGUUGGUAACGCACUCCCAUACGCUACCUGUACAUAUAGCAGAAGUAAACAAGUUGAACUCCGAUCUCGAGGCCUGGAUCAAUUGACAAGAUUGCAUAAAUAUUAUGUAUAAGUAUACCUUAAUAGUGAGGUUGCCGACCGGUGCAUGCAGCUCACAUGAGGUCCGUUGCGUGAUGGCAUCCACGGGGAACCGUUGCUCCUCCACGGGUAACCUGGGCGUCUGCGCAUCGGGGACCCCUGUAGAAGCACAACUGCUCCCGAGGCGUUGAGAAGGGCUGGCGGUGUGAGGAUUCGGCAGUGCUCCAGAUUGCGCCAACUCCGCAACUGCGUCGGCCACCCGCCGAUUGAUUUCAUCCAUCAUUCGUUGUUCUAGCAUCUGCCGCCAGCUCUCCUCCAUCUGUUCCUUUCUUCGCUUCCGGCUUCUGUAAGAGGCGCUGUCGCCUCGGAAAGCGAACUUCCACGGAACCACCCCGAACCCCCGGCAACGUCCUGGGUGCUCUGGAUUACCGAGGGCCAAUGUGAGCUCAUCAUUUUCUCGGUCCACCCUCAACCUCCCAGCCUUGGAAUCUUCAAUGUUCUUCAUGAGAUGUUCGGCCUUCUCACGUAUUCUGUCAUUGAAAAUCAGCGUCCCAUCCUCUUGGCUUAGGGAGCCUCCAUGAGCGUAGUACCAGUUCUUUGAUCGUUCGGGCCAUUCAAUAGUUGCAGGUAUGAUUCCCCGUUCGAUCAGAUCUUGUUCCAUCUUUCUCCACUUGGGAAUUGCUGAGCCAUACCCACCUCGCCCCAAAUGAUGGUGGUAGCCCUUCUGACUAGCAUUUGCAACGUUGGUCGUGAUCUUUUUCACACCUUCUUCACUCCUCUUGUAUUCAACAAAUGCAUCCCAGUGGUCCCUCAACUUGGGCCACGCGUUGAAGUCUGGAGUUUUGCCCUUCUUGAUGUAGUGGGUGUCCAGCAUCUUCUUGAAUGUCUGGAAUUGAGUAGCCAUCUUCUUAAGUGUCCACGCUUUGACAUCCUUCUCGCUAUAAUCUUCGGGGAAUGUGAAAUGCCUCUUCACGUCUUCCCACAGCAUAUUCUUUUCUGUCUCUGGAAGGGCGUACGGAUUAUCGCUUCUGCCCUUCCAUUCUCUGAUGCUGAUAGGCACGUUGUCCCGGACAAUUGCCCCGAUUUGACUAACGUACUUCUUUGCGACUUUCUCGGGAGCAACCGGCCUGCCCUCAUCUGUAACUUCGGUGAUGACAAGCCUCCCUUCCAUCACCUUUGUACGACCUCGGGUCUUCUGCCCUUGUGUCGAUCCGGAGGGCUAACAGUUUAAGAUUCGUUAAUUAGUACGUACUAGUAGCGGUGGCGUGAAACAAUACAAGAAUGGUUGUAUAUACCUCGCCGGAACCUUCCGCCACGGCAAGUUGUUGCUGCGGCUGUUGCUCUUCAUUCACAUCGGCAGACAUGUUGAGGAACAUGUCCGCCUGGGUGCCCUCUUCAUCCGUGUAUGAUAGUGGAACGUUGUCGCCACUAUCAUCACCAGCGAUUAUCUGCUCCAUGAUAUACCUUGCGGUCUCAUCGUCUGCCAUUUCAACUAUUGCUGCAAACAUACAUGGAAUCAUACAUGACAGUCAUAGAAAUCGUCUUAAUACAAAUUUGUAUAUAAUCACAGUUCGGAAUCAUACAUGUAUAUAAUGAAAUCAUAAAAUAACAUGAAUCGUACAAAGUCCGGAAUCUUUAUACAAAUUUCUAUGAAUUUAUACAAAUUUCUAUGAAUUUAUACAAAUUUCUAUGAAUUUCUAUGAAUUUCUAUGAAUUUCUAUGAAUUUCUAUGAAUUUCUAUGAAUUUAUACAAAUUUCUACGAAUUUCUAUGAAUUUCUAUGAAUUUCUAUGAAUUUAUACAAAUUUCUACGAAUUUCUAUGAAUUUCUACAAAUUUCUACGAUUUUCUAUGAAUUUCUACAAAUUUCUACGAAUUCCUACGAAUUUUGACGAAUUUCUACGAAUUUUGACGAAUUUCUACGAAUUUCUACGACGGCGAUAAGGGCGGCGAAGGCGGGACGGCGGCGGUCAGGGCGGCGGAGGCGGGACGGCGGCGGUCAGGGCGGCGGAGGCGGUUCACCGGAACCACGGGCGGUGCCUAAGCUACUACGUUGUGAUGGGCGGCAGGACGGCGGCGAUCACGGCGGCUACUCGGCGGCGAUCACGACGGCUACAAGGCGACUGUCACGGUAGCUACUCGGCGGGACGGCGGCGAUCACGACGGCGGGACGGUAGUUAACAACCUAACUACAAAUCUAACUUAACAAACUAACUAGAAAUCUAAAAAUCUAACUUAACAAAAUUAGAAAUCUAAAAAUCUAACUUAACAAAAUUACAAUUCCAUCUAAAAAAACAAAAUUAAAAAUUAAAAGAAAACGGCCAGCUCUCCCGGCGCACCGGCCGGCGCGGCAGACCUCUCGCGCGCGGGGCGGCGGCCGGGGCGGCGGGACGGCGGCGGCCGGGGCGGCCUGACGGCGGCGGCUGGGGCGGCGACGAGGACGAAGACGACGACGGCGGGAUGACGGCGGCCGAGGCGAAGACGACGACGGCGGCCGGCGAGGGGCGACGAGGAUGGAGCUGGCGACGAGGGGCGAUGCAGCCGGCGAGGGAGGCGGACGGGCGGCGACGGGCGGAGAGGGAGGCGGACGGGCGGCGACGGGCGAGGGAGGCGGACGGGCGACGACGACGGCGCAAUGCGGGACUUCGACGGCGCAAUGGGGGACGACGACGGCGGCGGCCGGCGAGGGAGGCGGACGGGCGGCGACGGGCGGAGAGCGCGGGACUUGCGAAAAUUUCGCUAAGUGUGGAACUGGCGGGGGGUAGAAGGGAGUACAGUGCUUUUAACCCCCCCCCCCUUUUAUCCCGGUUCGUAAUGGCACCCGGGACAAAAAGGGCCUUUUGUCCCGGGUCCUGUCACCAACCGGGACAAAAGGCCCCCCCUUUUAUCCCGGUUGGUGACGGGACCCGGGAUAAAAGGGUGCGCUCCCAGCCCCACCUGGCGGGGGCACCCUUUUAUCUCGGGUCCCGUUACCAACCGGGACAAAAGGCCCCCCCUUUUAUCCCGGUUGGUAACGGGACCCGGGACAAAAGGGUGCCCCCGCCAGGUGGGGCUGGGAGCGCACCCUUUUAUCCCGGGUCCCGUCACCAACCGGGAUAAAAGGGGGGGGCCUUUUAUCCCUGUUGCAAAUGGCAACCGGGAUAAAAGGGUACGUUCGGGCGGGAGACGAAACGUACCCUUUUAUCCCGGUUGCCGUUUGCAACCAGGAUAAAAGGGGGGCCUUUUAUCCCGGUUGCUGUUAGCACCCGGGACAAAAGGUCCUUUUUCCUAUUUUUCUUCUCCCGCCUGUUUUUUGGAAAUGGAUUUUAUUUAACCUUUUCACUGCAUUCCAGGAUGAAAAACAAAACCUUCUCAGAUUUUGUACAUGCAAAAAUAUAUUUAAUUAACGAGUAAAUUGACAAUAAGUAUGAAGUAAUCAUUAUUUCUAUACCAACUCAUAUAGCCUGUAAAAUAUUUAUUUUACUGCAUUGCUGUGAUCAAUAAAUUAUUCAAUUAAAUUUUUUGAAUGCGCAGAAAAAUCCAUGUUAGUAUGUGGUUAACAAUGUUCAUGUAUAUCUAAAAAAUCUUCACCUAACAAAUUUAAUUACAAAUUUUAUCAAUUAAUACACAAAGGUCAUGCACAUUUAACGCAUUACAAUACAACGUUGUAAAAUUUCUUCUUCACGAAAGUUCCUUGAUCAUGAUCGCGGCGUAAGUACGGAGCCUCUUCUUUGGACAGCAGGAUGCUUGGAUCAACUUCAACGUCGAAUGGAGGCAUGCCAUCAAACUGAUCAUAAUCAUCUGAUUGGUCUGUUUUAUCCUCGACUCCCACGAUUUUUCUUUUACCUAGAAGAACUAUGUGGCACUUUGGCUCCCAUGUCUCUUCUGGAUUCCUCUUGGGUUUGCUGCACAUGUCCUUCACAUAGAACACCUGAUGCACAUCAUUGGCAAGUACGAAUGGGUCAUCACUGUAUCCAGUCUUGCUCAGAUCUACUAUUGUCAUUCCGUACUGAUCUUUGGUGACGGCAGUUAGCUUCACCCAAUUGCAAAGAAAUAGAGGGAUGUACAGCGGUCCGUAUUCGAGUUCCCAUAUCUCCUGUAUGAAACCAUAAUACGACUCCUUGCUAUUAUUUCUGUCCAUGGCAUCUAUGCGGACACCACUAUUCUGGUUCGUGCUUUUCUGGUCCUGGGCUCUCGUGUAAAAUGUGUAACCAUUUAUCUCAUAGCCUUGGAAUUUGACGAUUGUGGUAGCAGGUCCCCUGGCUAACCAAGCAAGCUGUGGGUGAAUCUCAGAGUUACCCAUAAGUUGUUGGCGCAACCAGGAGGGAAAAGUUUCCAUGUGAUGACGGGUAAGCCAAGCAUCGGAUUUGGUCGGGUUUUUGGAAGCUACCAUCUGCCUGUGCUGCUCGAUAUACGGAGACACAAAGGAUGACUGUUGUAGAACAGUGUAGUGUGCCUUGUCGAACAAAUUAGUAUCAUUGCUCAAACUUGAUUUCCUUCCAAGGGUGCCCAUUCCUCGGAGCCUCCCCUCGUGGCGUGAAGUUGGAACCCCAAUCGAGUCAAUUGAAUCAAUAAAAUCAACACAAAACUCGAUCACCUCCUCUGUUCCAUAUCCCCUGGCGAUGCUUCCUUCUGGACGAGCACGAUUACGAACAUAGUUUUUUAGGACUGCCAUGAACCUCUCGAAAGGCCACAUAUUGUGCAGGUAUACAGGUCCGAGAAUACCAAUCUCUUUUACUAGGUGAACCAGUAAGUGCGUCAUAUUAUUGAAGAAGGAUGGUGGAAAUAACAACUCAAAACUGACAAGACAUUGCACCACAUCGUUCUGUAGCUUUGAUAGCUUGGAUGGAUCGAUUGCCUUCUGCGAAAUCGCAUUGAGAAACGCGCAUAGCUUUACGAGCGGCAACCGGACAUUUUCGGGUAGAACACCCCUCAGUGCAACCGGAAGCAACUGGGUCAUCAACAUGUGGCAGUCAUGAGCCUUGAGAUUUGUAAACUUCUUUUGUUUCAUAUUUAUUAUUCCCUUUAUAUUCGAGGAGUACCCAGACGGGACCUUCAUACUAUUCAAGCAUUCAAACAUACUAUCCUUCUCCUCCUUGCUGAGAGUGUAACUGGCAGGACGUAAGUAGUGCUGUCCAUUAUCUCUCUUUUCCGGAUGUAGGUCAUCUCGUUGCCCCAUGGCUUUCAGGUCCUGUCUUGCUUCCAAUGUAUCUUUUGAGGUUCCAUAAACACCCAUGAAGCCUAGCACGUUCACGCAAAGAUUCUUCGUCAGGUGCAUCACGUCUAUUGCGUUGCGAACCUCUAGGAUUUCCCAAUAAGGUAGCUCCCAAAAUAUUGACUUUUUCUUCCACAUGGGUGCAUGUCCGUUAUCAUCGUUCGGAAUAGGUUGGCUACCAAGUCCCUUUCCAAAGACUACAUGUACAUCCUUCAUCAUCUCGAACACACGCUUUCCAUUACGGUGUGCAGGUUUUUUACGAUGGUCUGGCGUCCCUUUGAAAUGCAUCCCGCUCUUUCUCAGCUGGUGGUGAGCAGGGAGAAAUCGACGAUGACCCAUAUAGACGACCUUCUUACAGUGCUUCAAGUACAUGCUAUCUGUGUCAUCUAAACAGUGGGUGCAUGCCCGAUAUCCCUUAUUUGUCUAUCCUGAAAGGUUACUCAAUGCAGGCCAAUCGUUGAUGGUUACGAACAACAGUGCUCGUAGAUUAAAGAUCUCUUGUCUAUCCUCAUCCCACACACGUACACCUUCUUCCUUCCAGAGCUGUAAAAGGUCAUCAACCAACGGCCUUAGGUACACGUCAAUGUCGUUGCCGGGUUGUUUUAGGCCUUGGAUAAGCGCCGGCAUCAUAAUGAACUUCCGCUUCAUGCACAGCCAAGGAGGAAGGUUGAACAUACAAAGGGUCACAGGCCAAGUACUAUGACCACUACUCAACUCACCGAAUGGAUUGAAUCCAUCAGUGCUUAAACCAAACCUUAUGUUCCUUGCUUCACUUUCAAAGUCUGGGAAUGUUCUAUCAAUUGAUCUCCACUGUGCCCCAUCUGCGGGGUGUCUCAGCAUCUCAUCUUCCUUACGGUCUUCUUUGUGCCAUCGCAUCAACUUAGCAUUCGCCUUGUUCCUGAACAAGCGCUUCAAGCGUGGUAUUAUAGGGAAAUACCACAUCACCUUCACGGGAACUCUCUUCUUGGGAGACUGCCCCUCGACAUCACCAGGAUCAUCUCGCCUGAUCUUAUACCGCAGGGCUUCGCAGACGGGACAAGCAUCCAAUUCCUCGUAUUCAUCACCACGAUAGAGGAUACAGUCAUUAGGGCAUGCGUGUAUCUUCUGAACAUCCAAUCCGAGAGGGCAAAUAAUCUGUUUAGCUUCAUAUGUUGUGGACGGUAAUUCAUUAUUCUCGGGGAGAAUCUUCUUGACAAUUCUCAACAUCCCCUGAAAUGCCUUAUCGGACACACCAUUUUUUGCCUUCCAUUGCACAAAUUCUAGUGUCGUACCUAGUUUUUUAUGGCCCUGCUGGCAACCUGGGUACAACAAUUUUUGGUGAUCAUCUAUCAUGCGCUGCAACUUUGCUGCUUCCUUCUCAGUUUCGCAAUCUCUGUAUGCAUCUCGUAUCACCUGACCAAGGUCAUCAGUAGGGUCAUUUUCUGCAAACUCAUCUUCAUCAGCCUCGCCCAUUGUAGUACCUGCAAAAGCUUGGCCUGCAACCCAGUCCGGAAUGGUGUCAUCUUCCUCCUCCUCCUCGCCAUCUUCCAUUACAACCCCUAGUUCACCGUGCUUGGUCCAAACCAAAUAGUUAGGCAUGAAACCGUAUUUAAACAAGUGGCUGUGAAUAGUCCCCCAGGAAUUCUUUGAAUACUCCUUCCUGUUAUUGCAUUGGAAGCAUGGACAACAUACGAACCCAUUCUCUGGCUUGUUCGCUUUUGCCACUUCGAGAAAAUAAUGCAAGCCAUCAAUAAACACCUUGCUCCGCCUGUCUGCAUUAUACAUCCAAUGCCGGUCCAUCUGCAUCGUAUUACGCACGAAAAUGGAUUACACUUGACAAUGGAUUACGCGUGAAAAUCGAUUAAAGAUCCAAACAACAUGGUACAAUACAACAACAUGAAGAUCCAAAUACACAUAUUUAAAUUAAAGUCCCAAACACUGCAUAAGUUGUUCAACUUGAAGACCGUGAUCAUCUCGUGAGGAUGUCCUCAACUGGGCGGCACCGCACUUCGUCAUUAAAGAGGUUAGAUGCUACGGAAAAGGGGACACGGUCACAAUGUCCGUAUCCACUCUUUCUCGUAGAAUCGAACCUCCUUCUUGACAUACGUUGCUGCUCGGCGGAGAACAUCCUCGGCGAGAUGAACACGGUAUGCAAGUUCAACAAGUAGCAGAAGUCAUCUAUGUACAAAAAUUCUUUCCUUACCACUACAGAAGUUGUUGAACUUGAAGACCGUGUUCAUUUCGCGAGGAUGUCCUCAGCUAGGCGGCACCGCACUUCGUCAUGAAAGAGGUUAGAUGCUACGGAAAAGGGGACACGGUCACGAUGUCCGUAUCCACUCUUUCUCGUAGAAUCGAACCUCCUUCUUGACAUACGUUGCUGCUCGGCGGAGAACAUUCUCGCCGAAAUGAACACGGUAUGCAAGUUCAACAAGUAUAUGGAUUUAAAAAACCAUAUUGAAUUUGAUAAGAUAAACCGUCUAGACAAGGUAGCAUCAUUUUUAAACCACUGAAAUAAUGCAUACUAUAUAUGACACAUCAAUCUCCCUCACAUUCUAGCUCAAAAUACCUCUCCAUUUUUCUACUUCAUCAUCACAUUGUAGCAAAUAAUCUUUCCAUCUCCAAAGCAUAAAUCAAAGCAUAACACGAGGAUGAAGUAGCAAACCUUCGCAGCACUUGUUGGCUGAGUCAAAUUCCCACGAAAAUGAGGGAAAAAAGUUCGGGCAGCACCUCCCUUGCUUGGGCACCACCGGAGAGUAGGUGAAGCUCAGCUCUCUAUCAAUGUGCUGGACUGCUCGGGCUGGAGGAAGAAGAAAGUCUCUGUCUCGGGGUAUAGUGGGGGAUGAGUUUUAAUCCCGGUUAAAAACUCCAACCGAGACAAAAGGAAACACCUUUUGUCCCGGUUGGAAAGUUAGUCCCGGUUGGAGGAUCCAACCGGGAUAAAAGGGACACCCUUUUAUCCCGGUUGGAGGCACCAACCGGGACUAACCCUUUUAUCCCGGUUGGUGCCUCCAACCGGGAUAAAAGGGUGUCCCUUUUAUCCCGGUUGGAUCCUCCAACCGGGAUAAAAGGGUCCCGCCACCGACGGCCCCCGCUAGCCGUUGCAACCGGGACUAAAGGGGGGCCUUUAGUCCCGGUUGCAAUUACCAACCGGGACUAAUGCUCCCCUCCAAAUUCCCGCACCCCGGCGCACCCCCUUUUGUCCCGGGCCACUUUUAAACCGGGAUAAAAGGGGGUUGAUCGAAAGUCAGUUCUCUACUAGUGAUCGGUGACUCCGCUCGAGGAGAAUUGUUUAUAUCAAGCAUAGAAAUGACAACGUUGGAAGUGGAGGAUAUAUUUUGCUCUGUUGAUUUAAUUGCCGCGAGAGUGGCGGACAAGUUCUAAUGAUUGAAGAUCAGAAGCGUCUCGUGGAGAAUUUUUCAGAAGCUAUAUUUGGAAUUAUUAUAUUAUCUCAGGAGCAGAUUAAAUAUAACGCCACCACUGAAAGCCGAUGAGAUGUAUCUAUCGGCUACAUGCUAUUCAGAUGAAUUUGAUGACAGAUUAAUUACGGAGGAGACCGACCGAUACAACAUUAUGGUUUCUUACUGCUGAUCUGUUAUGAAAGAGGAUGUGAGAAGCUGAUAAUCAAGCAACAAUAAAAUGAUAUACACGCAGGGCAUUAAAUAUUGAGUUAAUGAUUGGGAGUACUACCAUUAUCUUAUGAAAAGUCCAUCGGCUAACCAAACAGCGUCAGCCGAUGGAAGCAAAUAGUGUCAGCCGAUAGAAUGAUGUUAUAUAAGUAUAUAUAUCGGCCUCCGAGCCAAUGGGAAGUAGGAACUAUCAGCCGAUGCACACAUCCAUGGACAUAGCCGAUAAGACAUUGUAUCGGCUGCUUGGCAAAUAAAAAUAGCAUCGGCUGACCGCUUGUUAAAAUAUUAUCGGCCGAUUGCUUGGCAAAAUAGUAUUGGCUGACUGCUUGGCAAAUAAAAAAAUAAUAGGUUGACCAAAAAAGGAUAGCAUUGCCUGAUUGCUUGGCAAAUAAAAAAAAUUACGUCGGCUGAUUGGUUCCAGCAAAAUAGUAUCGGCUGCUUGUUGAUCAGAAAAAGCCGAUACUGUUACAGCUCCCGCAACUGUGCUUUGCUGUCAUCGGCUGGGUUGUUCGUGCUCCAUCUGCAAAUAUUUGUCCCGGCUAGAAAGUAUCGUACGUGCAUUGGGAUUCGGCAGUACAAAUCACGUACACGCGUAUGGUCUGCUCAGAAGCUGUCUGUUCGACGAAGUUCCAGGCCAAUGGUGGAGACUUGAUGACCAUGGUGACCUGCAUUAAUCAACAUGAAGUAUGUAUCGGCUGUUCGGUGAUUGGUAGCAAAUCAGCUUUCUCAUAGCCGGUGACAUAUGGGGCAAGAAAUAUCAGGCUUAAAAAAGGACAGUACGAUCAAUGUCGAAAGUUGUAGCCGACGGUUCUAUUAUUGUGCAGUCGAUGGAACAUAGAAGAUGCAUCUGAAUGAGCAAAAGGAAGGGAGCCGAUAGAAGGGAAUUUAAGUUGCAUGAGAUCCAAUUAAAUUAAGAUGACGAGAGGUGUUGACAUCGAAUCAUCGGACUUCUACGAAGUCUUCAUACUCCGAAACUAGGGAGUCUGUGUUAACACCAAAAUUUAGAAAUAUGCUGAUGCAAAAAAAUAAUGAAAUCUCCUAAAUAAGGCUCAAGAAAGAAAAAGCAAGAAAAGAAAAUCAAUCGCACGCGGCAAGAAUUGAAUAAAAUAUUCUAGAGGUAGAGUUGGUUAGGAUAAGCUUAAUUAGGGAUAGAGUUGGAUUAGUUAGAGAUAGUAUUUUGAUUAGAAAAGAUUGUGUACAUGACUUGUACGUGGUGCGUCAGAGGCCAUCCGCCCUAUAAAUAUAAGGGGUCGUGGCCAUUGUAAUUAUCAUCACACGAUCAAUAUACAACAUAUUUAUCUUUUACCUUUUCGGCUUCACGCCAUUGUAUUAGGAGUAGGAGUAAUGUAGCUUCCUGACGAGUUCCUUCUAGCAAGCUGUGCUGCAUUGACCUUGAUCUCUGGCGAGCUGCAAAGUUCCGUCACCAGGUGUUCUAGGCUUUAACCACCGGGCGCAUCGCUUGUGGUUUCGUCUAGUUUCAUCUACAAGGUAUCGAAUAUCAUGGAUCUUUAACUUACGCAUCGCUUCUGUCUUGAUCUACGGUAUUCACCAGUUAUCCUGCCUUGGUUAAGUCUGCAUCGGCUGAUAUUUAUCUGUUCUAUCAUCUUGCCGUUCAGUUUGCUUUAAUUAGCUUUAGAUCGGUUCAUUAUAGAUGAUAGAUCGCUUAAUAGCCUGUUGCAUCUUAAUCUUGGUUACCCCUUCAAGUGCUGUUGGGAUUAAGUUUCGUUAUGAUUGGAUUCAUCGGCUGGUGGGGUUGGUGGGGUUCAGAUUAACAUCGUGCUAAAUAUUUCUAGACUGCAACUACUGGACGCAUCGCUGUGGUUUCAUCUAGAGAUAUUGGUAGAGAGUUUAGUUUAGAUCUCAUCGGUUCGUGGCUCUAGCUAUGGUGGAGCGGCAGCUGAAUAGCAUCCUGUUUUCUAUCGGUCGCCUGGCCGAUAGUUAUUGCAAAAUAUAUUAAAUCGCCUGGAUGGCCGAUGGAUCACUCACGCUCGUCAAGGAUCAUAUCGGCCUGAUCGGCCAGUUGCCUCGGACUUCAAAGGAUUAUUUUCACCUUGUCAGUUGAAUGGUCAAACUGGCUGGCACGCCCGCGCACACCAUGCGCGCCGAUUUGGAUUUUGCACUGGAGUUAAGUAGAUCUUCCAGGUCCUCAUGUGGUGACGAAGGAUCCACCACCAUCAGGAUUUUGCGUCAACACAUUUUGGCACGCCCAGUGGGACACGGUUAUAAGGUUCAUAUUUUUAUUCAUAUAAAAAAGCAUCUUCGGCAUCAUCGGCCAAAUGAGUGUUCAUCGGCUUGUUAGAAUUAAUUCAAUAUAAUAUUUCAGCAAAAGCAGCCGAUGUAGCGAUUGGAGAUAAGGCCAAGUCAAGUCUGCGUGUAUACGCAUGUUCCGGUGGGAUCAUCUUCAUAAAUGCCAAUGACGAUUAGAGAUGAAGCUUCCUGCAAAAUGAUUGGCUACUCUAUCCGGGAAGAAUUGCUUUUUUAUGAGGCAUAUAUAGAGACCCAUGUUGCAAUUAGGGGGCGUAUUCGUGCAUUGGCUGAAAUAAAAAAAUGCAUCGGCAUAUUGAAAAUUGCAUCGGCCGAUUGACAGUCGUAUCAGCUGAUUGGAAAAAUAAAAAGGGAUCAGGGAUCCGCCGAUUGAAAAUUGCAUCAGCUGAUGGAAAAUGAGAGCAACAGUUACAAUAUUUUUUUUAAAAGAAAGCAAGUAUCGGCAAGCAGUAGCCGAUGGAUUUGUAUUUCAGCCAAUGGGGUUUUUGUUUCAGCUGAUAGUACUACUGGCUGAUGGCAAGUCCAAUGGAGUUAAAAUUGCAUUGACUGAUUGAAAUAAAAAUUAAGUAUCGGCUAAUUUAUGGCCAAGUAGCAUCUGCUGAUUUGUUGCAAAGUAGUUUCGGCUGAUUUAUGGCAAAAUAGAAUCGGCCGAUUUAUGGCAAAGAAGCCAAUAGACAAAAGCAUCGGCUGGUAGAGAAGCCGAUUGAGCAAGCAUCUGUUGAUGAGCUAUGUAUGGGAAAAAGUAUUGGCUGCUUAAACAAUUGACAAAAGCCAAUUGGUCAGACUGAGAAGCCAACUGGGAAAGCAUCGAUCGAUGGAUUGCGUAUGGGAGAGAGUAUCGGUUGAAGUCUUUAGUAUUGACUGCUAGAUAUUUGAGCAAGCGUCGGCCGAUUGACUGCUUGGUAAAAAAAACAUCGGGCUGAUUGCUUGGUUAAUAAAAAAAUUGCAUCGUUCAAGCAAAGAUUGCAUGGGCUGAUUGGUUCAAGCAGAAUAGUAUCGGUUGCUUAUAGAAUAUAUCGGAUAUUAAUUUCGAAGCAUGAAAAUAUUCAUACUCCGAAACUGGGGGGCCUGUGUUGACAACAAAAGCUUGCUGGUUACUGCAUCAAGUUUUGGUGUCAACAUACUUGAUCUUUUGUUUCCAUUGCCAGCGGAUUCAUCGGCUCAGAGUGGGAUCAAGACAUCAAGCUGAUGGAGUUCUUUAUAUUUCAAGAGGAGUCAUGGAGUUCUUUAUAUUUCAAGAGUAGUCGAUGGUGCUUUGAAUAUUGCAACCAGACGUCAUUGGCUCUAAAGAUACCGAAUCAUCGGACUUCUAUGAUCAGUUUCGGAACAUGAAGCCUUCAUACUACGAAACUGGGGGCCUGUGUUGACACCGAAUCAUCGGACUUCUAUAAUUAGUUUUGGAACAUGAAGCCUUCAUACUUCGAAACUGGGGGGCCUAUGUUAACACCAAAAUUUAGAAAUGUGCUCUGAAAGGAAGGUAUCGGCCGAUGAUGCAAAAAAAUAAUGAAAUCUCCUAAAUAAGGCUGAAGAAAGAAAAGCAAGAAAAGGAAAUCAACGCACACGGCAAGAAUUGAAUAAAAUAUUCUGGAGAUAGAGUUGGUUAGGAUAAGCUUGAUUAGAGAUAGAGUUGGAUUAUUUAGAGAUAGUAUUUUGAUUAGAAAAAAUUGUGUACAUGACUUGCCUUGUACGUGGUGCGUCAGAGGCCAUCCGCCCUAUAAAUAUAAGGGGUCGUGGCCAUUGUAAUUAUCAUCACACGAUCAAUAUACAACAUAUUUAUCUUUUACCUUUUCGGCUUCACGCCAUUGCAUUAGGAGUAGGAGUAAUGUAGCUUCUCGACGAGUUCCUUCUAGCAAGCUGGGCUGCAUCGACUUCGAUCUUCGGUGAGCUGCAAGUUCCGUCACCAGGUGUUCUAGGCUUUAACCACUGGGCGCAUCGCUGUGGUUUCGUCUAGUUUCUUCUACCAGUUACCGAGUAUCUUGGAUCUUUGACUUAUGGCACAUCGCUUCUGUCUCGAUCUACGGUAUUCACCAGUUAUCCCGCCUUGAUUAAGCUUGCAUCGGCUGAUAUGUAUCUGUUCUUUCAUCUUGCCGUUCAAUUUGCUUUAGUUAGCUUUAGAUCGGUUCAUCAUAGACAAUAGAUCAUUUAAUAGCAUGUUGCAUCUUGAUCUUAGCUAUCCUUCGAGUGUUGUUGGGAGUAAGUUCCGUUGUGAUUGGAUCCAUCAGCUAGCAGGGUUUAGAUUAACAUCCUGCUAAAUAUUUCUAGACUGCAACUACCGGGCACAUUGUUGUGGUUUCACCUAGAGAUAUUGGUGGUGACGUUAGUUUAGAUCUCAUCGGCUUGUGGCUCUAGCUAUGGCGGGGCAACAACUCAACAACAUCCUGUUUUCAAUCGACCGUCUAACUGAUAGCUAUUGUAAAUUAUAUUAAAUCGGCUGGAUGACGAUGAAUCACUCACAUUCAUCAAGGUACUGGAAUCGGCUUCACAGCCGAUAUAUUUGUCAUGAUUUAUUUUGUUGCACCAUUAUCGCUACUGUGCUAGGAUUAUAUCGGCCUAAUCGGCCAGUUUCCUCGGACUUCACAACGACUAUCAUCUCCUUGUCAGUUGAAUGGUCAAACUGACUGGCAUGCCCGCGCACACCACACGUGCCGAUUUGGAUUCUGCACUGGAAUUAAGCAGAUCUCCCAGGUUCUCAUGUGCUGAUGCAGGGUCCACCACCGCCAGGAUUUUGUGUCAACACCUUGUAAUCUUCCUUUGAUUUCCUCAAUGAUUCGAAGACAAUAACCUUGCUUGUAUAAAUGAUAAUUAUAAGGAGAACCUAGUGGAAACUGUGUAUUCAUAUUAGAACUACCUAUGGUUAAUUAGGUUAGGAAAGGAAAUCGAAAAUAGACCGUACCCACACUUACUUAAAGUUGUUGGGCAGUAGUAUGUAAUGCUUGUAAUUCUGUUACUCCAAGAAUUUGUAUAUGUGGUCCAAUGUAGACUUUGGUUGAUCCCAUAUCUGUUGUUGGUUAAAUAAGUGUUUCUGGCCAUUUCUAGCCGUUAGAACCGGAACUAAAGGGGGCUCUUUAGUACGGGUUGAUAUUACUAACCGGGACUGAAGAGCCCCCAUUACAGUUGGUUUUUGGACGCGGAACUAACAACUCCUUUAGUCCCGAGUCCAAAAACGACUGAGAUAGAAGAUCCUUUCUCUACCGUGAAUAUUGCCAGAAAGAAUUGAAAGAGACCGCUUGCUAAAAAUAUGUCAUAGAUGUAGACCAAGCUACCAAGGAGGUAGACCAAACAUGAUACACACCAUGCGUACCUUGCUGUGCAGACUAUGCAUAGACAAGACACCCGACCACAUGUUGGCCUCGGUCACAUCAAAAGAAUCAUGUAGGCCACCAAUAAACUACUUGAAGCGUCAUUCCGUAUCGUAUAUGCAUUGCCGGUUCAUCUGCAUUACAUUACAUAAAGUAGUAUUAACUAUUUGAAUAAAAUGAACCAAUUUAAAAGUAAUGUGUUGUACUCUACUAUAGAAAGCCCUAUCACUGUCGGAUCCAGAAACAUCAUUGUUGAUGGUCGUUAAGUACCAAGACGGUCAAUAUUCUCAAGAAUAAUGGAGAAUUGGCAUUUCUUACACACAUAUUUGGUUUUGAACAAUGUAGUCCCACAUGUCCUUGGAGAUUAUUUGGGUGUGGGUGAAAUAAUACAAAAAGAAGGAGAAAACACACUCCCAUGGUGAAGAAACAAAACUCCGACCAAUGAGAGAUAGCCACAGGGGCAGCACACGGAUCCAUGGGCCCACAAACCGCAUCAAACUGUCUUACCAAGGCGGGUAGCACCCACAACCAUGAUUAGGACCCACCUGGAUGUCUACCAAGAAGAAGGUUGUGAGUGGGGCCAGGAGGGGUUCGGCUGAAUCAUCUCUAGCUCCCCUCAUCCCCAGCUGGUGCAUGGCGGUGGUUAAUGGUGUCCCUACAUCGGUUAGAGGAGAUUCCCCCAAAUAUUCCUCCUGUAAACCACCUGUAUGGACCUAUACAUAGAGGGGUGUGCUCUCCAAUCCAACACACACCACAAGUUUAAUCACUCUCUCCCUCUUUAAUUUCCAUGUUUAUGGAGUUAGCCUAGAGUAGCUCUGCUCAAGGUUCCAAGUCCACUUGGAGUUAAGCAUAUGUCUCUUGUAUCGUUAUUUCCCAGAUUGACUUUAUGCUUAGUUCUUAUAUGCAUGAGUUAGUCUAAUAGCCUUGCUCUAUUGAUAUGCUCGGCUUAUAUGCUCGUAUGCUAGUCAUAUACCCUUGCUGCCGUAGUAUAGGCUUAUAUGCUCUCAUGUGUGCCUUUAGACCUUGCUACAAUAUAUACUUGUUGUGUAUACAUACCAUGUAUAGGCUAGUCGAUCUAUACCAUGGCAUUGGUUCAAUAGCCAUGUUUUUGGUGGCUCCAACCCUAGUCAGAAUAGCUCGGGACAGCUAGAGUGUUGUUAAAAAUGCAAGAGUGAUGGUUGGGUUGUUUAGCAUCGUUGGAUAUGGGUUUUCCCCACGGGUUUCUAAGAGUAGGCGGCAGCUAGUGACAGCCCUGUCCGUCCUUCGUAAUCCCCCCACAUUCAAGUACGCCAUAGAAGUUCAUAAAUUAGCAGUAACUACACCGGCAGACCGGUAGGGUAUUGUCUCCCUAUAGUACCUUGGUGCAUAGAACUAGGUCAUAUACACUGUGUGUCUAUGUUUACGCUGAUAUGAUCUGUGCAGUAUAUAGCAUGUAUAUAUGAACCUAGAGCUAACUCCUAGUCCAUUCUCCGUAGCUUAGUUAUCUUGAGAUGAUUCUUCUGUGUGUGUAACACUACCCAUCUUAUCAUUAUCCUUAAUCCUGUCUUGUGUAAUAUAUCUACUCAUCCUAUGAUAUACUCAUAUGCAUAGUAAACUAUUUUGACCUACCCGCCUUCCUUUGGGAAAUACGAUACCCUGGAAUAAUCCUAGGUGAAAUGCUACAACGGUAUAUCCAUGUGCUUACGGAAUUAUUCCUGACCAUUAAAUAUACCAACAAUCAUCACUAUCUAUUUUGGGCAUCGUUAGUGAAGGGUCGGCAGUGAUGGGCAUCCCCUUCACCAAUGGAGCUGGAACUGGCGGUGAUGGCCAUUAAAAAAAAUGGGACCCCACCCAGCGUACCCCGCAACCCGGCCGGCUGCGCCUCCCAUCAUCCCCGCCGGUCGCCCUUCCUCUUUGCCGGCCGAGCAUGGUUCCGGCCCUCGUCCCUACCGCCUCGCCUCCAUCGCGACCCCCUGCCGAUGCCCUCAUGCCUGGCCCCCCUCGUCUGGCCGGCCACCCUCCCGAUGCAUCCACCGGGGCCCUCGCACCACCAACCACCCUAGCCUAGAGAGAGAGAGGAGGAGGGAGGUGAGGCCACGCACCUCGUCCUACAACGCCGCUGUUGCUCCUCGGCCCACCGCGCCUCACCCCACACCACAGCCGCACCUCGCCAUCUUACCGGCCGCGACGCCCCAUCUCACCGGCCACCGUUCCUCACCCCCACAUCGGUCAUCGCUGCUCCUUGCCCUACUGCUGCUCUUUGCAGCCGCGAAUGAGGGGCGAGUGGAGGGGGAGGGGCGGGGCAGGAGGAGGGCAAGAUCCGGGAGGAAGGGAGAGAUUUUGGGAGGUGGAGAUGGAAGGAUAUGGCGGAAGGUAGAGAUCUAGAGGGAGAGAGCGGGGGGGAGAGGGGGGCAUGUGGGGAGAGAGCGCAUGUGGGGUGGGGCCGGGCUGGUGGGAUGGAAGGUAGAGGGGCCGGAGGGCGCAGUGCAUUCAACUGGAUUAAGUAAAUAUUUCGGAUUCGAGACCCCAGCUUUAUUAUCACCGCUGGUCCGUAGUACCAUUCGGUGCCGGCUCAUAAUUUAAUUUGAACCGGUGGUGAUGUUUUAUUAUCACUGCUGGUUUCAAUUUUCACCAUCGGAUCAUAUAAAAAUCCGGCGGUUAAAAAUCCGCUGGUUUCGAUGAAAACCGACAGUGAUAGGACGACUGUGAUAGUCUCUUCUCUAGUAGUAGUAUAUUAGUACCGGCUGCCGGAUGGUGUUGCCGACGAGUACUUCUCCAGGGGCGAUUCAGUACUGAUGUUAGCAAAGCUUGUUCUCUAUGAAUUUGGGGAUGGAAAGCUAGUUCUCUAGUUGUGAUUUGUUACAUAUAUCUCUAUGAUAGUCUAGAAAUUGCAUGUCCUUCGUUGACAUAGUUGAAGCUGCUUCAAGAAUUUACUUCGUGCAGUCGUGCAGCAUAUUGGAUUAUCACCUAGACAGGAUACAUAGGUGAAGCAUUGCAUGUGAUUGUGGCUGAUAAUUAUGCAGGACGCUGUUGCAAUCAACCAUCAAGAAGACUGGAGCGAUGGGGUUGCCUCAUCAACAAUUUUUAUAUAUGGCUGCAGUAUUAUUAAGCCCACGUCAAUAAUUUUUUCUCCGCAGCAUAUAUAUGGUUACUCAGUUCGCUGGAGUAUCGCUGUGGAAAAACAUACGUACUGCGCCUCGGAACUAACUGGCAUUCAGGCCAUCAACGACCAGAUAUUUGGGACAACCAACAAAUAGUAGGUGGUUCCUAAGUUGUAGUCGUAUGUACUAAUGCGCCUCGAUGGGGUUUUCUUCAGAUAUUUUAUUGCCGUUCAAUGAACAAGCAGAUACAUAACCUGUGCAGAAAAUUCCAUCUCCACGCAUGCCACUGCACCAACAAGAUCCUCAGUCGACGAUGAUGGCUCAGCCUGUUCCUUCUGCCACCAAAUCCUCAAUCUUCCCUCCAGCAACGGAGAAUGCACCUUUAGUACCUUCAGUAUCAGAUGUUGCAAUCGGUACCGUGAAACCGAGACUAAAAUCCUUACUUUGCAGGGGGCAAAACAAUCUUGCAAAUAUAUAUUUUGAAUUCCAACAAAAUUUAAGAAAUGUUAAAGAUGACUAGCUGAGAGUCAACAGACAAGAUAUGAUAUUAGGAAUGUGGGAGGAUGAAUGCAUUUGUACAGGGGUCAUACUAUUUCCAGACUCUUCUAUAUUUCCAUAUGACUACCUACUUCAAUGUCACGCGAGCCAUUCAAAAAGAUACAUGGUACACUUGUAUGUCUAAUCCAUUAUUGAUUAUUUCCUCUUGUCAUCUCUUACAAGUAUUUCUCCAUACUAUAGAAACGUGCAACACAUUUUUAGGAUAUGGACACGCAUGAUUAAUAUGCUUGGACUAGUAUACAGGUCAUCUUUGGAUGAGUACAUAUGAAUGCCAGGGAGGGACUGAUGGAUAUAAGGAAAAGGGACCAUGCAUAAAUAAUGACAUAUGUAACAUGGCAAUCUUCAUUGCCAUGCAACUCCUAUCAACAAUCAUGGAAUACAUACUACUGCUCCAGAAGGGUGGUGUGCAAAUUUAUUUUACCUCGCGGUGAAAAUCUCCAGAGCAGGCCUGAAGUUAAAAUAAGAGGCAGUCACUAUCGAUCAUGACAGUCUCGAAACUGUACAGCACUAUGCUAGUCCUAGUCCUCAUGUCGUUCGUGCUGUCGUGUAGCAUGAUGGAUUAUUAACUGGGCAGGACACGGAGAUGGCUAGCGAUGACAGAGGAUGACGUACAUGAUAUUCACCUCUGAAAUGAAGCGUAGGCUAAUGAAGCACAAUUGCAUGUGAGUGUGGCAGAUAUUUAUACAGGACAGUGAUUGCAAUAAUCGACCAUCGAGAUCGAAGACAGGGGCGAUGGGGUUGCCUCAUCAAUAAUUCGCGCAACCAGACAAGCUGCAGACUCAAUAUGGUACGAAGCUAUUUGGUCAGCCCACAUGCUCUGAUAUAACAUUGGCAUCUGCUGAUCUACAGUAUAUAUGACCAGAAAUAUUGUGCCACCUCAAUAAUUUUCCGAAGUAUCGUUGGGGAAGCACCUACAUACUAUGCCUCGGAACUAACUGACAUGUUGGCCUAGGCGGUCCAGGCCGAUUGGACAGGCUCUUCCUUAUGGCUCCUCACGUCCCCUUCGUUUCCGAGUAAUCUCAGGUGUUCUGAAGUUUUCUUUUCACUUGCAUGUGGACCUUAUAUAUCAAUAGCUUCGGGAUAAGAAUGCCUCUUGAUAACCUUCCAAAUCGUCGCUUGAUUCACUUUGAUUCCAAAAUCAUCUUGCCAUAUCUUUUGAGACUUAGGCCCUAAGGCAUCAUGGAGGAUUGCUCGCCAAGAAUGAGCACCAUUGGGCUCCUGAGGACCCUAGGCCGAUCAGCCUGGGCUCUAUAGGUUGAUUGGCCCAGGCCCUCUCUGGGCCCAUUGGCCUUCAUCUUUCUCUGAGUCGACGCUUAUUGAGGGCUUUGUCCAAUUAUAGUCCAUUAUAGUCUAAUUUCCAAAAAAAUAGAAUAUCCUCCAAAAUACAAUACAUUUGUGAAAACAGCCCAAUUAUUAGGUAUGAUCAAUAGUCUAGGUAUUAAAUUAAUGUUAUUAUUUAAGAUAAAUAGGGAUAAAGGGUGUCAUUAAUAACGAGCACCAACCAGCGUACCAGCUGUUAACACUAACCGAUGCUAAUAUGUACCCUUUAGUACCGGCUAUUUCACCCGGUACUAAACGAGACAAGAGCACCCUAACAGAGGUUAAUACCAUCCAUUUCAUGAGUAAAAUACUAUGAUUCAAAAAUAAUUCAAAUCCCUUAAGACAAUACCUAUCAAAUGAGUAGAUUGUAAAUAGAGUAAAACAAUGUCCUAAUGAAACGGAACACUUCUGGUUCGUGUAGAGCACAAUAUAGAAAACAGUAGGGUAGCUGUACGAUUGACACGUGGUCCAUUAAUUAUUGAGCCAUCACUAUGGACAUGUCUUCAUGAGUAGUGUACUAGUCAUGACACAUGGUAUGUAGUAGGUGGAGGUAUUGAGUUAGCCAUGCCAUGAGCACUUAGUUACAACAAACACUUUGCCAUUAUCGAGCAUCCCAAAUCACUACAAAAUCCAUAGUUUACCAUAUACUACAAAAUCUGAGUUAAAAUAAGAGCAUACACGGAAGAGUCCGAAUGCACCGGUUUAGGACCAGGCACAUUGAAUUACUAGAAAAAGUUAUCGGACAAGGUUUUGGGUAACCGCAUGAAAAAUGUUGGAUUUUACUGAACACUUAGUUACAAUUACCAUGCCGUGAGCACUUAGUCACCACAAACAUUUAACCACUUUAGAUCAUCCUGAAUCCCUAUAAAUUCUGUACCUUACACCGUACCAUGAAAACGACAAGAACAGAGACAGAUGCAGUGAAAAUCUCCAGAGCAGGCCUGAAAUUAAAAUAAGAGGAGGCAGUCUCUAUCGAUCAGGACACGGAGAUUGCUAGCCAUGACAGAGGAAGACAUGAUAUGAUAUUCACCUCUGAAAUGCAGCGUAGACUAAUGAAGCACAAUUGCAUGUGAGUGUGGCAGAUAAUGGACCAUCGAGACCAUCGAAUGGUAUGAAGCAUGAUUAUCACCUAGACAUGAUAUCCUAGACAGGACGGUGAAUUGUAAAAAGAGUAAUCUUGAUCAAAGAAUGUCCUAAUGAAACGGAACAUUUUUGGUACGUGUAGAGCACAAUAUAGAAAACAGUAGAGUAGUUGUACGAUUGAAACUGCAUCCAUCCACGUGGUCCAUGAAUUGUUGAGCCAACACUGUGGACAUGUCUUCAUGAACACCAUCUAGUGAGGACAGGAUGCAGAAAAAUAUAAAAACAUGUCAUAGGGAGGCAGACCAAUCUUGCAAGGAGGUAAACGAAACGUGAUACACGAUCUGCCUACCUUGUCGUGGAUACCCCAAGAGAAGAUGUCAUAGAGGUGCAGACCAAGCUAGCAAGGAGGUAGAUGAAACGUGAUACACGGCCUGCCUACCUUGCCGUGGAUAUUAGCCCUGAUAUCAUUCUAUUGUUCAAGGAAUAACACUCAAUGCUGCUGCUGCUGCUGACCUGGCUCCAUAAAGUUGUAUUCCUCUAGCCGCUUGCACUAACUUUAUCUGAAGUAUUAUUCUCUCUGCCCUGAUAUCUGAAGUAUUAUUCUCUCUGCUGACUUUGCUGAAGAACCUACAUAAUAUGUCUUGGAACUAACUGACAUUGAUUCACAGACAAACUCUACAAGGUGCUGUUGUUGCCAUAUUUUAGAGCAUCCCAAAGGACUAUAAAUAAUAUAGUUUACCAUAUACCGUAUACCAUUAUAUGUUAGCUAAAAUAAGAGCAUAACAUGUCGCAGGAGUCCAAAAGCACCGGUUGAGGACCAGGUACAUUGAAUUACUAGAAAAAGACAGGGGGCAAUGUUUAGGUAGCCACAUGAAAAACAUUUGAAUUUACUGUUCCAUGAACACUUAGUUACCAUGCCGGGAGCACCUAGUUAACACUAAAAUUUAGCCACUUUAGAUCAUCCCGAAACACCCUCAAUAGCGACAAAUUUUGAUUUAAAUGCCGUCACCAAUGAUCCUCAAUAGCGACGUGUUUAGGUUUAAAUCCCGUCACUAAUAACCCUUGGUAGUGACGUGUUUUGGUUUAAAUCUCAUCCCACUGAUCCUCAAUAGUGACGUGUUUUUAGCAACACACGCUAUGAAUGACUUGUCAUUGGUGACAUGUUAAAUGCGUUAUCUCAAUGGCAAAUCAUUGGUGACGUGUUUUAAAAAAACAUGUCACUGUGAGAGUUAUUGGUGAAGGGUAAUUAAAAUGCAUCACUAAUUUUGUAGCAUUAGUUAUGAUAUAAUUUAGUAACGCAAAAAUCUACCAUCAGUAAUGAGGUUUAGAGCCGUCGCUAAUGUGGGUUUCUUACGAGUGAUGCAAGCUCUACAAGGUGCUGUUGUUGCCAUUUUAAAGCAUCCCAAGUGACUACAAGUUAAUAGCAUAGUUUACCAUAUACCAUAAAAAUAUUAGUUACAAUAAGCACAUCCGCAUGUGGAAGAGUCCGAAUGCACCAGUUGAGGACUAAACACAUUGAAUUACUAGAACCAAAUGUAAGACAAAGAAAGGGGUCAAGGUUUGGGUAACCGCAUUAAAAACAUUGGAUUUUACUGUACCAUGAACACUUAGUUACCAUUACCAUACCUUGAGCAUCUAGUUACCACAAACAAUAAUUUAGCCACUUUAGAGGUUCCAGAAUCACUAUAAAUAAUAUACCAACACCGUACCAUGAAAACAUCAAGAAGAGAGACGGGUACAUGGACCACCAUCAAGUGAGUAGUGACAGCACGCACAAGAAUACCCGGAACCUGUUAGCUUGUCUGUAGUGAUCUGUUUUCUUCCCCAUAAAAUCCAUGAGUAUUGCCACAAAUAAUGAAAGAGGCUGACCAAGCUAACAAGGAGGUAGAGAAAACGUGAUACACGUAGGUUUCAUUCAAGACAUCCAUGUAAGAUUCAUUCAAAACAUUCAUGGAAAUUUCUUGUAAGUUUUCAUGUAAAUUUCAUUCAAGACAUUUGUUAGAGGUGUUGUAUAUAUAUACCUUAACGUACAUAUAUCUAUGAUUUCAUGGUUGUUAGUGAUGGCAGAUGAGGAGCAUGCAAGGUAUUUAAUGGAGCAGAUUAUUGCUAGUGGUAGUGGCUCCAACCUGCCCGUAACGUACACCAACGAAGAGAGCAGCCAGGCGGACAUGUUCCUCAACAUAUCCGGUGAUGGCAAUGAAGAGCCCGAGCAAAACCUUGCCGUGACGGAAGGUUCCAGUGAGGUAUAUAUCAUUUCCAUUGUUUUACCCCAUCUAUAAUUUCAUAUUCAUUAUUACUAUGUACUAAUUAAUGGAUCUUGAACCAUUAGCCCUCUAGAUCAACGAACCGAAAUAAGCCCCGAGGUCUUACAAAGAUAAUGCAGGGAAGGCAUCACAUCACGGAAGUCACAGAAGAGGGCACAUCAGUUGCUCCCGAACAUGUGGCAAGAAAGUACGUGAGUCAAACCGGGCAAUGUGCCCAUCAGCAUUAGGGAAUGAAAGGGCAAUAGAAAUGAUCUAUACACGCCCCCGGAUACACAAAAGGAUAUGCUGUGGGCAAAUAUCAAGAAACACUUCACAUUUCCCAAAGGAUAUGUUGAAAAAGAUGUGAAAGCGUGGAUGCUGAAGAAGAUGGUCACCGAAUUCCAGACAUUCAAGAAGAUGUUGGAUGUCAACUUCAUCAAGAAGGGUCGAACUCCGGGUUUCGAUGAGUGGCCAAAGUUAAGGGACCACUGGGAGUCAUUUGUCAAAUACAAGACGAGUGAAGGUGGUGCGAGUAAGGUUCGCAUCAAUGUUGCCAAUGCUAGCAAGGAGUACCAUCAUCAUCUAGGGCGACGUGGUUACAGCACUGCAAUUCCCAGAUGGCGCAAGAUGGAACAAGACCUGAUCGAUCGGGGUAUCGUACCAGCAACUCCUGACUGGCCUGAUCGAUUGAAAAAUUGGUAUUAUGCUCAUGAAGGCAAUCUGAGCCAACAGGAUGCGACAUUGGUCUUCAAUAAAACAAUACGUCAGAAGGCCGGAAGGCUUAUUAGGAACAUUGAAAAUGCUAAAUCUGGGAGGUUCAAGGUGGAUAGAGAGAAUGAUGAGCUCACAUUGGCCCUUGGGACUAUCAUCUCUAGCAUUUCCAGCUCCAGGACUGUCGUCACCACCGGGACCGUCGCUUCUUGCUCGAUCACAGUCUCCAUCUCCAGCACAUCCUGGUGGUGCGAACGAUGACGACAACAACACCCCUCCCUGCCCACCAUCGCCGGGACUAAGACCCGCAUCGAGUAAGGAACCUGCAGCACCACUGAAGAAGUCGCGACCACCGCCUUCCAAGCCAAGUCAGCAAAAGAAGAAAGCAGAGAAGCCUAAGCCCACUGAGAAGCCAACAACCGAUAUGACCGAUGCGGAAAGAUGGAAGGCACUCAAAGAAGAAUGCAGGGAGUGGUUCUGUAAAAAGAACCAAAGAAAGAAAAGGAAAGCAGAUGGAGCCACCGCCAGUAGAUCCAAGAAAAUUAUAAUUUUUUAUUAAGAUGUCAAAAGGAGCCAAGAAGAUGAUUCCACAACUAUCAAACUACGACCGGGCGUUAGUCAAGGCUGAUGAGAGUUAAAAAAGGAAAGGAAAGUCAUCUUCAAGUGGUACUGUCCCCCACCUCGAGGAUCUACCAGAAAAAGACGCUAAAAAGAUAGUAGCAAUGCUCUUGGAUCAACAAACACAUAUAUCAUGAGAUUCAUGCAAGAAACAGGUAUGUGCCUUGCUGAAUGUCUAGGGCAAGUUGAUAUGCUAGCUCUAGAGCCAUUUGUACCGAAAUGGACCUUUGAGCUAGGCAAGCCUCUAGUAAGGCCUGAGCUGGUACAGAAGCUAUCCACAUAGCUAUAUGAAUACCAUGAAUGGUACAUGAAGCAGUCUGCCAAUGAGAGGAAAAUGUUCGGUCUCAGGGAAAAACUGAUAUUUUUUUUCGGCGAAGGCGAGAAAGUCUUGUGAUGGAAUUCAAGGAUAUAUAUGAAGUGUACCAUCAGGAUGCCCUUGAUGUCUCUCUCAUCAGCGCCUAGGUUAUGUAAGUGUAUGUUUAUCUAUACGUAAUUUUUGUCUCAUAUCAUUAUUUCUUUUGCGUGCGUCACCCUACUAACUUCGUCUUCCAUUUUAUGUAGGAUGCUAAUUCAGAUGUGCCGCAUAGAAGCGCACUUCCAUGUUGGCUUCAUGGAUCCAUCCCUAGUUAACCAAAAGCAGAUACGGAAGUAGCUAGAGAAAAUGUUGGAGGUGGUAUACAACUUCCUGGACAAACAAAACUAUAGAAUAGGGGCAAUAUGUGAAGGUCUUGUAGGAUUCCUAGUGGACAAGGUGAUAAAUCCAUAAGGAGAAUAUCAUUACAACGGACGAGCAUUAGACACACUGAGCAACACCUAGACGGGAGGAUCCUAGGAAUGACCUAGACAGAUUUUGGUAUAAAUAGUAAUUGUGUAAAUACUAGUUUGAUUUGUAUAGGAAUAUACUAAGAAUUGUAUAUAUAGUAAUUGUACAAAUACUAGUUUGAUUUGUAUAAAUACUAGAUUGAUUUUAUUAUAAAAAAGUUUUAAGUCGUACGUGCAUGCGCCUACAAAGGCGCGUAUGCCCUUUAAUCCCGGUUGGAAAAACAAACCGGUACUAAAGGGGCUCGUGCCGCACCUGGCAUGACCGCCCCUUUAGUCCCGGUUGAACGACCCAGGACCAAAGAUCUGCCCCGUCUCAUAAAUUUUAUCCUGGAUGCUUUUUAGAGAGAUUUGAGGCCUAUCAACCAAGACUAAUAUCGAGUUUUCUACCAGUGGAACUAACUAACGUUCACAUGCUUCUGACAUUCACCUGCCAUUUGGUGUAGACAAGGGCACCCUAACAUAUGGUUAAUAUUAUUCAUGAAAGAAAAUCCUUUGAUUCAAAAAUACUUCAAACCUAAUAAUACAAUACUUCUCACAUCUGAAAAAUAUGAGAUGGCCCGACAGUAUUCUAACCGACGCAAUAAUAUUUUGAGGGCAGCACUACUACAGCGACCCUCAUUCGUGCCGGUGCUGGAACCCCUAUCACGACCCUGAUACAAAUGAGGGUACAUUAUUGUUGCCAGUGCUAGAAUAGCCACGAAUAACUUGCUAAACAUGCUGUUACACUCACUACUAGAAAAAUAACCUCUCGUCCUGAGGCUUAGUACCGGUCACUUUUUUGCCCAGUACUAAUGUUAGUAUUAGUACCGGAUCCAAAUUUGGGAUCCCCCAGAGACCCUUUAGUACCAGGUGGAGUCUCCACCCGAUACUAAAGGCUUUGUUACCGGGUGAAGGAUCCUCCCGGUACUAAUGGGGGAUUUUUAGUACCGGGUGGGAACCCCACCCGAAACUAAAAUCUCCCAUGCGGACCCCUCCCCCCCCCACGCGUUGCCUCUGUCCUCCCUCCUCCUCCUCUGAGUAGUUAUCCCUUCCUCAUCCCUCCUCCUCCUCCCACACGUGGGGUGAGGUGAGGUGGCAGUAGCAACGACAGGUGGUGUGGCGGGUCACGGCGGGCCGGAUGCGGAGCCGCAACGGUGGUCGGCGGGAUGGGGUGGGGCAGAGCGGCAUGGCAGGGCGGAGCGGUGGGACGGGGCCGAGGUGGAGGUGCCGGGCGGAGGUGGAGUGGCAGGACAGAGGCGGAGGCGGAGCGGCGGGUCGGCGAGCGGGUGGAGGGUGGCGACGAUGGGGCGGGCAGAGGCAGAGGGGUGGGUGGAGGGGCGGCGUGGUCCACCGGCGGGGGGGGGGGGGGGAGAGGGAGGCGUGGGGGGUGCGGUUGGUGAUUUCAAUUUUCUUUUAAUUUUUUAACACCCUUCAGUACCAGUUAUUUUAACCGGGUCUAAAGGGAUCCCCUCUUGUACCGAAUUGCUAGUACAGGAUGCACAACCGGUACUAGAGGGAGGUUCCCAACCGGUACUAGAGCCACUUUCCCCGGUAGUGACUUUUUCACCGAUUAGAAUAUGUUAUUAUUCUAAUCAGCUUUUGUUGAUCUCCUGUAUAAUUUAGUACCUAAUUCUACUAGCAAUUGUUAACGCCGACACGUAUUGGGUAUAGUCCUAACAGUGUCUAACUAGGGCACUACAUUUGUUAACCUAUAACUACUGGUAUCGAUUAGCCCUGGUUAGAAUACUGUCAAGGCAGCCAGAAAAAAUUGUUUGCCAAUUCUGCUAUCCAUCAGAACCAUGACUAGUACCGUAUUGUAAUAAACGAAUUACACAAAUAACUGAUGCACACAAAGGAAUAUGCACUCGCAUGUGCUAGACGUUCGUAGCAACAACAAAUUACUCUCAUCAUCAAUUAAACAUAAUAGAUUAAACAUUAACUGAACAUAGUUCAACACGUACAUCAACAAGACAAAGCAGUUUAAACAUCAACUGAACAGAACUGAAAACAUACAUCAACUGAUGAUAAACUUCGACAUGAACACAACACAUAAACAUCAACUUCAAUAGAACUUAAUAGAGCAUAUUAAACAACAACAUCGACAAAACAUAUAAACCCAGCUCAGUAGCUCAAGCAUCAACUAAAACUGCUGAAUUAAAAUAACAUAACAUAGUGUAGUUCAUCAUGAUGAUAACUAACAGAACCGAAAAGCCUAACUGGGUAAAAGAGCAAUUCAUUCAUAAUGCUUCAGCACUUACAUCACCGGAGUAUGCAACUGGCGGCGUCGCUUACGUCACUAUCACCGCGCUUGGCGAGUAAAGGAGGAGGAGGUGGCAUAGUAAUCGAAGAGGAGGCCGCUGUCGGCGGGUUUAGACUACGUGGAGGUGUGGGUAGGGUUAAGGUGGCUCUGUGGACGAGUAUAUAUAAGAGGUCUGGGCUUGUUAGAAUAAGAUAACAUUCUAACUGGCCAAAUUCGGAUCCGGUUAGAAUAAAUUGUUCUAACCAGCCUUAAUUCGAGGUGGUAAGGAUAAGUUAACAUUCUAAUCAGCUCUAUUUGGAGCCCGAUUGAAUGUUCUUGUUAUUCAAAAAAAGAUCAAGUUCAUCAAUUUUUUUCUAGAAAAACAUCAAGAUAAUUUAAACACGAUAUAUAACAAGAUUAAUACAUUUAAAAAUUGUUUUCUCCAAUAAUUAACGAUAUUUAACAAAUUCAAAAAAAAUCCAAAUUAACAGAACAUAAUAACCAAUUGUUCGAAAAAAUCAAAAUAGUCCACACAGUAUCAUAUUACAAAUUCAGAAAAAUAUCAAAAUAAUCCCUGAUCCACUCGAUACCGUCGUAGAACUUUGAAAUACUGAGCUUCUUGAUUCAUCUGAGGUCCACGUACUCGUCUCAGUAACACUAGUGGUGGCCAUGCAUCUUGUAGAUGUCUUCUAAUGAAUUAAGCUUGACAUACAAGGUCGUGCCUUCCACUCCUUGAGGAUUGCUUAUGACGUUUCUGCAAAUAACGAAGCAUUGCUUUCUCCAACAUGAUUAUUUUCUUCGGCUUAUCCCAAGGGACAACUAUGGUUUUCCCCUUGCCGGAAGAGGAACGAUGAUCGCCCCCACCAUCGCCACUUCCUCCAGUAGCAGAAGCCAUCUAUGUACAAAAAUUCAUACCUUAGCACUACAGAACUUGUUGAACUUGAAGACUGUGAUCAUUAGGCGAGCAUGUUCUCAACUAGGUGGCACCGCACUUCGUCAUGGAAGAGCUUCGAUUUUACAAAAAAGGGGACAUGAUCUUCCAUGAUGUCCGUAUCCGCUCUUUCUCGUAGAAUCAGAGCUCCUCCUUGAUAUACGAUGCUGCUCGGCGGAGAACAUGCUCACCGAGAUGAACACGGUAUGCAAGUUCAACAAGUAUGGAUUUGAAAAACCAUAUUGAAUUUGACAAGACAAACUAUCUAGAUAAGCGUAGCAUCAUUCUUAAACCACUGCAAGGAUACGUACUAUAUAUGACACAUCAAUCUCCCUCACAUUCUAGCUCAAAAUACCUCUCCAUUUUCUACUUCACAUUCUAGCAAAUAAACUAUCUAUCUCCAUUCUACACAUCAAGUUGUUUUAACUAAUACAAAUCGUAUAUAACAAGCAAAAUAUCCAUCACAUUCUAGCUCAAAAACAUGUAUAAAUACAAAUCCUCUUCAUUCUCCCUUUUUCUAACAAACAAACUCAUUUUUCUCCCUCUCCAAAGCAUAAAUUAAAGCGUAACAUGAGGAUGAGGUAGCAAACCUUCACAACACAUUGGAUGAGUGAAAUUCCCACGAAAAUGAGGGAAAAAAAUUCGGGCAGCACCUCCCUUGCUUCGGCACCUCUAGAGAGUAGGUGAAGCUCAGUUCUCUAUUUUUGUGGUGGACUAGCUUGGGCUGGAGGAGGAAGAAAGGCCUCUGUCUUGGUAUAUAAUGGGGGAUGAGUUUUUAUCCCAGUUAAAAGCUCCAACUGAGACAAAACGGCCAAUCUUUUGUCCCGGUUGGAGCCUCCAACCGGGACAAAAGGGGCACGCCAUCGACGCACGGGAGCUAGCCGUUACAACCGGGACUAAAGGGGGGCCUUUAGUCCCGGUUGCAAAUACCAACUGGGAUUAAAUCUCCCCUCCAUUUUUGCCUACCGUGGUGCGCCCCCUUUUAUCCCGGGUCAACUUUAAACCGGGACAAAAGGGGGCGUCGAAGAUCAGUUCUCUACUAGUGACCCCUCCCCACCUAUCUCUCUCCCUCCAUGCUCCUCGAUCUGUGCCUCCCCUCCCCUCCCCUUCCACUCGCCCCUCACCGACGGUAAGGAGCAGCGGCGGGGCGAGGUGAGGUGGCAGCAGCAAUGGCAGGUGGUGGGUCGCAGCGGAGCGGCUACGGUAGGCAGCCGGACGGGGCAGAGCGGCGGGGCGGGGUGGAGGCGGAGGUGGCGGGUAGAGGCGGAGCGGCGAGGCGGAGGCGGAGGUGGAGGCGGAGUGGUGGGACGGCAGGGCCGGGCGACUAGUAUAGGUGGGCGGGCGGAGGGCGGCGACGGCGGAGCGGGCGGAGGCAGAGGGGCAGCGGGGGCCGCCGGCGGGGGGUGUGAUCGGGGAUUUCAAUUUUUUUUAAAUUUUUUAACACCUUUUAGUCCAACUGGUUCUAAAGGGACCCCUCUAGUAUCAAAAUUGCUAGUACCGGUUGCACAACCGGUACCAGAAGUGGUUCCUAACUGGUACUAGAGCCACUUUCCCUGGUAGAGACUUUUUUACCAGUUAGAAUAUGUUAUUAUUUUAAUCAGCUUUCGCUGAUCGCCAGUAUGAUUUAGUACCUAAUUUUACUGGCGAUUGUUACCGCUGACACGGAUUGGGUAUAGUCCUAACAGUGUAUAACUACGGCACUACAUUUGUUAACCUAUAACUACUUGUAUCGAUUAGCCCUGGUUAGAAUACUGUCAAGGCAGCCAGAAUUUUUUUUUUUUGCCAAUUCUGCUAUCCAUGAGAUCCAUGACUAGUACCGCAAUGUAAUGAAUGAACUGCACAAAUAACUGAUGCACACAAAAGAAUAUGCACUUGCACGCUAGACGUUCGUAACAACAAAUUACUCUCAUCACCAAUUGAACAUAAUAGAUUAAACAUUAACUGAACAGAAUUCAACACGUACAUCAACACGACAAAGCAGUUUAAACAUCAACUGAACUGAACUGAACACAUACAUCAACUGAUGAUAAUUAUCGACAUCAACAGAACACAUGAACAUCAACAUCAAUAGAACUUAAUAGAGCAUAUUAAACAACAACAUCGACAAAACAUAUAAACCCAGCUUAGUAGCUCAGGCAUCAACUAAAAUUGCUGAAUUAAAACAACACAACGUAGUGUAGUUCAUAAUGCUUCGGCGCUUACACCACUGGCGGGUCGCUUACGUCGGCAUCACCGCGCUGGCUGAACCUCCGACACCCCCACCACGGCAAACGGAGGUGAUGGCGGAAGGUGAGGCAACGACAGUAGCUGGUGAGCUCCCGCUCCAAUGUCUCGCGAGUAAAGGAGGAGGAGGUGGCAUGGGAAUCGAAGAGGACACUAGUAGAGAAACGACUUUCCAUCCACCCCCUUUUGUCCCGGUUUAAAGUUGGCCCGGGACAAAAGGUUCACCAACCGGGAUUAAAACUCGGUCACUGGUGGGGGGCUCACCAACCGGGACCUUUUAUCCCGGUUGCAAAGGCUAGUGGGAAAAAAUUACUCUGAGAGGCCUUUUAUCCCGGUUUGAAACACCAACCGGGAUAAAAGACCCCCCCUUUUAUCCCGGUUGGUAACACCAACCGAGAUAAAAGGGUCAAGAGCCUUUUAUCCCGGUUGGAAACACCAACCGGGAUAAAAGGGGGUCUUUUAUCCCGGUUGGUGUUUCCAACCGGGAUAAAAGGGUCCCCCACGAGUUAAUACAAAAGGAUAGUAUCCCCUACAUAGUCAGAUGUGGUGUGUAGGUGGGAUGGUAAGGAAGCUACGCGCGAGGCUGGAGGUUGUGGGUUCGAAUCCCACGAACCGCGCACGCGCAUAUUUCGCGUGAAAAAUCGCGUGACUUGCGACUUGCGCGUGUGGGGGGGCCUCCUGGGAGCUCGGGAAUUUUUUUUUUUUGCAGCGCCGGCCGUGGGUGAACCCUUUUAUCCCGGUUGGUAUUACCAACCGGGAUAAAAGGGGGUCUUUUGUCCCGGUUGAGUGACCCGGGAUAAAAGACCCCCCCUUUUGUCCCGGUUGGUUUAUCCCGGAUGCAUUUUCGAGAUCUUUGCACCCUACCAACCGGGAUAAUAGGUGAGUUCUCCACCAGUGGGAGGCCGCCGCUGGCGGGUUUAGACUACGUGGAUGUGUGGGUAGGGUUAAGGUGACGGUGUGGACUAGUAUAUAUAAGAUGUCUGGGCUUGUUAGAAUAAGAUAACAUUCUAACCGGCCAAAUUCGGACCCGGUUAGAUUAAAUUGAUAUUCUAACCGGUCCUAUUUCUAGGUGGUAAGAAUAAGUUAACAUUGUAAUUGGCUUUAUUUGGAACCCGAUUGAAUCUUCUUGUUAUUCAAAAAAACAUCAAGUUCAUCAAUUUUAAUCCAGGAAAACAUCAAGAUAAUUUAAGCACGAUAUAUAACAAGAUUAAUACAUUUAAAAAUUGUUUGAUUCACAAAUUAACGAUAUUUAACAAAUUCAAAAAAUCCAAAUUAACAGAACACAAUAACCAAUUGUUCGAAAAAAUCAAAAUAAUCCACACACAUUAAUAUAUUACAAAUUCAGAAAUAUAUCAAAAUAAUCCCCGAUCCACUCGAUACCGUCAUAGGACUUUUAAAUACUGAGCUUCUUGAUUCGUCUGAGGUCCACCUACUCGUCUCAGUAACACUAGUGAUGGCCAUGCAUCUUGUAGAUGUCUUCUAACGAAUCAAGCUUGACGUACAAGGUCAUGCCUUCCGCUCCUUGAGGAUAACCAUCUUUGGUGAUCUUGAAAUGGCAGACGGUGGAUGUGCCAAAGGUACGUGACGAUCCUUCUAAAUGUAUGCCACCACAACUUCCGUCUGAUCGCCAUGGGUGACACCAAGAAGAGCUACCAUGCGGCAAGGGACGAACAAUUUAUCAAUUAGUGCCGCUGUCCAUCGCCAUCAUCUAAUCCAGCCAUAUCUUGUUGUAUAUUUAAGUAUAGAAAUUAAGAUUUAAAAAUAAACAGAAUAAAUUGAGAUCGAUUAUGUAUGUAUAUCAGAACAUUAGCUUUUGGAAAAAGGGCUUCGAUGGAAGAGAGGCACGGGGCAUAGAGACAACAACGAGUGACAAUAUGUCAGAAGAAUACCCGAUCACAAUUAUUGGCACACACAGCCGAUAUUUACAGUAGUCAAUACCCCUGGUAAAUAACCACACCAUCAAGAGUAAAUAGUGACAAUAUGCAGUAUAUACACGACAUAGCCUUGGCUGCCGUGGAAGCACCAGAAGGGAGACAAAUAACAGGGACCACUACAUCAAGUAGAUAGUGACAAUAUGCAAAAGAAUACCCGCGCCUGUUAGCAUGUGUGAACUGACCACACCACGAAACGUGAUACACGGCAAGCGUACCAAGGCCUUGCUGUGCAGACUAUGCAUGGACAACACAUGGUACCUGACCGCUUUUGGCCUCAGACACAUCAAAAACUGCAUCGUUCCACGUUGUACAUCCAUUGCUAGUUUAUCUAUAUUACAUAAUAUAUUAUUAGCUAUUUGAAUAGAAUGAACCAAUUAAAAAAUUACGUUGUAUUUUAGUACCGGCUGCAGGAUGGUGUUACCAACCAGUACUAAUUGGCCUGUAGGAGUGAUGGUUAUUAGACUUGGUACUGUUGUUAGCAUCAUUAACCUAAUUGUGCGCCGUAUGAAUUUGGGGAUGCAAAGCUAGCUCUCUAUGAAUGUGAGGGAUGGAAAGCUAGUUCUCUAGUAGUAAUUAUAUAUAUGACAGUCAGGAAAUCGAACACUAUGCUGCUACGAGUCACCAUCAUUUCCUUCAUUGACAAUCUGACAUAGGUGAAGCUGCUUCAAUAAUUUCCUUCGCGCAGUCGUGGAGCUUAUUGGAUUAUCACCAGGACGGGACACGGAAAUGGCCAGCAAUGAAGCUGAUUGCCGUCUGAGGAAGACUACAUACUUACCUAUGAAAUGAAGCGAUUGCAUAGACUAAUGAAGCAUUGCAUAUUUGCAUGUGAGUGUGGCAGAUAAUUCUGCAGGACAUGAUUGCAAUCCACGCACCAUCGAGAAGACUGGGGCGAUGGGGUUGCCUCAUCAAUAAUCACGUGGAUGCAUGCAUGCAUGUUCCCUCAACCGGACAAGGGUCUGAUAUAUGGCUAUAGUAUUACUGAGCCCACAUCAAUAAUUUCCGCUGGUGUAUCGUGUGGGAAGAAUCAACAUACUACACCUCUGAGUUCUUGGAACUAACUGACGUUCACAUGCAACCUCCACAAGGUGCUGUAUGCUUUUGACAUUCACCUGCCAGUUCGUGUAGAGGACACCCUAACGUAUGGUUAAUAUUAUCCAUUUCAUGAGUAAAAUACUGUGAUUCAAAAAUACUUCAAAUCCCUUGAGACAAUACUUCUCACUUGACUAACCACUAACCAACCCCGAAACCCUAACUCAACUCCGAACCCUAACCCCUAACGGCAUAACCACUCCGUUUUGCCGGCGAGAUGGAGGAACUGGCUGGAAGGUAGAGAGGGCAGCGGUCCAGGGUUGAAAACGACGGGCGAGCGCAGUAACAUGUGGAGGAGGAAGUGCCACGUAUUCGUUCACCGCUAUUGGGCAGCGACACACGACACGCCCAAUAAGAUCUUCGCACGGUAGAAGGACGUCAUGUAUUCAAUAAUGUUAUUGGUCCCCCAUGUGCAGAAGGGCGCGCGCGUAUGGAAUAACAAGUAGGGACACUGCAACUAAUCUACUCUGCUCGUCCAGUCCCUAGCCUAUAAAUAGAUGCCAUGCUAGCUCUUGUUGUGCUCACAAUUAAUCCGAUUACACACGAGCUUCUCUCCCUGGCCAAGACACAACCAUAGUAUGAUGAAGAACAUGGCACUAGCCGGCAAUGGUAUGAAGAAGUUAAUCCUCGCUGUUCUCUUACUGUGUCUAGUUAUAGGGCAGAUACAAGUGGAAGCUAAGAGCUGCUGCCCAUCCACCACUGCAAGAAAUGUCUACAAUACCUGCCGUUUCACGGGUACAUCCCGUCCAACGUGUGCAAAACUGUCAGGCUGCAAAAUUAUCAGCGGGAACAAAUGCAAGCCCCCUAACGACCACCUCACCCUUGACCCGGACACUGGUAAAUAAUAAAUUUAUCUCACUUGAUUUCUUCGUGAUUUGAGUCGUUAAUGUAUUUUCCAUCUGAUGAAACGUAUUGGUUUUGCAUUGAAGAGGAAGUUAAUGUGCUUAACUUCUGCAAGUUGGGGUGUGCGUCGUCUGUGUGCAACAACAUCAACGCUGGUAAGCAACUUUUGCUCAGACAGAGAAAACAAUAAUCAUUAAUUAGCGGCAGCUAGAAUCCUAUAAUCUAAUAUAUAUAUAUAUAUAUAAUUUUAUCAGCUCUGGGAAAUGAAGAGGCGAACGAUGCCGUUGAGAGUUGCGACCAAGCCUGCUCUAGCUUCUGCAGCGUGCAUGUUGGCAGCGCCACCGUGGUUGCUUAAGCAAAUGCAUCCAACUAGAUCGUCCUUGUGCUGAAUAAUUGGAUAUCGUAUCCACUUAAAGCUGCCUUGUGUAGUACGUCUUUGUGUCUCUCUUUAUAUUCCAAUAAGGUCGGUGAUCUUGAUGCCACACACUCAGAUGUGUGUUCAUCUCCAGAUACUACUCCAUGCUACCUGCCCUUUGUGUUUUGUUCAAUAACUGGGUAUCAUAUCCCAGCCAGUAUGCCGUCUGUUUUGUGUUUGUUUCCUUCUAGUUCCAAAGGGGUCAUCAUGAUGUUACCUUCUUUCAAUAUGGUGCUUUGCAUGACUACUGUUGUAUGGUACCAUCUUGUGGCCAAUAAGUACAUCUUAUCCUAUGACCUUUGCUAUGACCCUUUGCAAAUAAGUAGAAGAUUGUUAUAAGCGUCAAUACUCCGUAUAAAUUGAUCGCUGCUGUGAGUUCCCUUUCAGCUUAUCGUAGGCAUACAUUAUUGCUAGCACGGUAAAGCCAACCAACACGAAUGAUGAAGUAAACGUAGCGGUACUUCUGUAUACCAACACCCUUACUUAAAUGUACCGGUGUCAUUCCCUACUGGCACAUAUAUUCUUAUAUGCUAGCCAGCUUGUAAAAUUAACCAAUUAAAAUAAUUAUUUCAAGAUAGAAAUAACUUAUCGGUUUCUGGAAGCAUGUGUAAUGUGAAUUCAAGGACUCGACGGAAGUUGAAUCACUUCAUCUAUAUUGCUUUCAGUAUUUUGGGUAACUAAAUUUAACAUUUGCACAUACAAAUGUUAAAGUACAAAUGUUAAAUCUAGUUACCCAAGCAGAAUAUGAAGAUAGUUUAUAGUAUAUAUAUACUAUAUAAAUCUAGUUAACAUUUAGUCUAAAUGUUAAAUCUAGUUACCUAAAAUCCUGAAAGCAAAAUGUAUAAAUAUAUAUCUUUUAAGGCAGUAUAAGCUUCGAUUCCUAUUGCUGCUCUGUUAAAUCUCAUCUUUCGUUGUGGCCCAACACUCUAGUAUGCAUGUUGCACCAAGCUUCUUUGAGCCGCUCUGCCCUCUGAUUUUGCUGCGUAGGGGAAUCUUUAUCAGGUUGGGCUACUUCCAGUUGUGCGAUGUAAAGAUUCGUAUUUUCUAGAAGGUAGACAAAAAACUCGCGUUCUCUUAAGGCAACAACCGGAAGAUUCUGCAGCGCACAGGGCAUACCAUUAUUGUAGAAACGACCUUUAGUACCGAUCUCCAACCCCCUUUAAAACUGGUUUUGCAACCGGUACCGUUAUGUCGGUCCUUUAGUACCAGAUCAAAUAAGUACCGGUUGGUAACCAGUAUCAACUUGUUUUGCGGCCAAAAAAAUAAAGAAAAAAACAGUCAGAAGGCUCGCGCACACGCGCAUCACAUGAAAUAUGCGUGUGCGGGGUCCAUGGGAUUCGAACCCAUGAAAUCAAGCUGCGCGCGACCCUUCGUUACCAUCUCACCUACAUAGCGCAUAUGCUUUCCUGAAGUAACCCGUGGAGGAGGCUUUAGUACCGGGUCAUAACACCACCCGGUACUAAAAAUGACUCUUCAGUACCGGGUCAUAACACCACCCGAUACUAGUAUCGGAUGGUGUAAUGACCCGAUACUAAAAGGCCUCUAGGGACCCUCAAAUUUGAACCCGGUACUAAUGCUAAUAUUAGUAGCGGGUCAAAGUGCAGCCAGAACUAAAGCAUGGGAUGAAAGGUCAUAUUUCUAGUAGUGUAUAGUUGUUGUGAAGGACUGACUUGGCUGUCCUCUCUCUUCUCCAUCCCCUUGGUCUUACGCCGCCGCUCGCACGCGAGCCGGUGCCCAACCAGAGGAGUGAGAGCUAGGGGCAGGUUGGGAGGUGGGGAUAGUGACUGGUGGCCAGGGUGAUGGUUGAUCCUGGUGGGGUUAGGGUUUUAGGGUUUUCGAGCUUCCUAUGGUCGGCGAACCUAGAGGAGGAGCUCAACAUCAGCUGCAACCCGCGAUGGUGGUGGUUUGGCCGGCGCCCGAGGCGAGGCAGCGCGGGAGUGCUGCCGGUGGGUUGGUGUUGGCACUCAUUAUUGACAACUAUUUUGUUCAUAAAAUAACACUCAAACUUGCUGCUGCUGCUGCUGCUGCCAUCGCCACCCUAGCCAUAAUAUAAAGGCAAAAUUUGCUAAAGGACAUGCAAAAUGAUGCUAGUUUGCUGGCGGGCAUCGUUGACCUUGUAAUAUGCUACAAGACACUCUAGUUGUGUAUCAAUUUGCUGAAAGACAUUGCUAUGACUAAAAUAAUGUUUCUGGACUGAGUUGGAGAGAGAGAUGGAGUGAAAUGUCUGUUUUGCCCAUGACCCCACUGGUCAGAUCCUUCUUCUUCCACCCUCCUUUGUUCUUUCUUCAACCAUUACCCAGCUCCAGCGUGUUGCAGAUCUACGAGGGUGGCGGCCUGGGGCGAGGGGCAUCGCUCGCCCUUGGAGGAGCGCUGCGAGCGACGGCGCGGGGGCGGCAACAGCGCGUCAGAACCUGACUGUUCGUUAGCUCCUCUCGCUGCUGGGGAAGGAGGGGGAUGGGCCAUGGACGGGGUUCCCUUGAAAACCUCAGCGUCGAGCUCGGGCGGCUACGCGCAGGCAGCACUAGGCUGCUUCACGGGGAGGGGGCGCGGCCAAUCAUUGGCACCCCACUGGUCCAAUGCUGAUGAAGAUGGUGCCAGCGUCGUGUGAGGACAUCUCAUCUCCUCGAGUUCCAUGGCCAGCACAGGUGAGCUGCCGCUACCACAAAACAGAGGUUUCGUGAGAGUCAAAAAACCUUAUGAAAAUAGCUAAAACCAUCAUGAAAAUAAUCCGUGACAUGACACUCUCACGAAAAUCCUCUCACAAAUAUGGUGCCAUGAAAAUACCAUUUUCAUGAGAGUGAACUGUCAUGAUUUUAUUUCGUGAGAGUAUUUCCUAUCAAUGACCUCCACGAAAUACUUUGUGCCACCAGGUCUUCAAGAUCAUUUUCAUGAGAGCUGAACAUCAGGAAAAGUCCGCCACAAAUGUUUUUCUUGGAGCCCCUAACUCUCAUGAAAAUCAUGCGGGCCGCCACGAAAAACAGCAUGACCAAAUGACAAAUUUCAUUUUCAUGUGUUCAUACCGCCAUGAAAAUGGUCAUUUUCAUGAGAGUUGAUGAAACAAAAAAUAGUGCCAUUUUCAUGAGAGUUCAAGCAACCAGGAAAAGACACUAAUAAACAUCCAGAUCCCAUCCAGCACACAUCCAUGCACAUAUAUAACCCACAUAUUGCUCCAGCACACAUCCAUGCAUAUACAAGAUCCAAAUGUUAAUAUAGUAGACAUCCAUGCCUGAACUAGUCUGCCACACAAGUCAUUGAUGCUACAAAUCCUACAAUCGCAGCAUGUGCAUACAAGUCACAGAAUGAGACAAUGUACCCAAAACUAAAAGGUUAGCAUCAACUGUGCUUCAACCAAAGUUGUCAUCCCAACUCUCCUCUUCAUCCAUGCCAUUCUUGUCGUGGCCGUCACUGUCAGUCCCCAUGGCAUUGCCAAUGCUGUGCAUGUCUUGGUAGGAACCUACAUGUGAUGAACUAGUAACCUGCAAAAAGAGCUCAAAGGAUCUUGUUCUCAUAUUGUAGCUGUGAAAUUCUUACAAGUAGUGUUGCAAUCAGUUCACUUUGAACCAAAAGAGCUCAAAGGAUCUUGUCCUAAAAGUUCCUCAUAAAGCUUAUGGGUUUGCUGGUGGAACUGGAAGGGCUUGAUGCAGCAGAUGCCAUUCUGCAAUAGAGAAAAAUUUAGAGAGCAGUACUAGUUAAAAUUGGAUGCAGAAGAUACACAUGAAACUAGUAUUUAUACAAGUCUAUACAAUUAAAAUCUAAGGAGACUUAUCAUCGUUUUCAUGUGUUGUGAAUUAAAAUAAUGAAGGAUACACUGUUAGGUGAAAAUUCAAGAAACAAAAUUUUGCAUAGAGAUAAAGGUCCAACAUUAUUACAAGUUAAGGUAGUUUUAAAUAUCCUUGUAAUCUUCCUUUGGUUUCCUCAACGAUUCGAAGACAAUAACCUUGCUUCUAUCAAUGAUAAUUAUAAGGAGAAUCCAGUGGAAACUGUGUAUUCGUAUUAGAACUACCUAAGGUUAAUUAGGUUAGGAAAGGAAAUUGAAAAUAGAUGGUACCCACACUUACUUAAAGUUGUCGGGCAAUAGUAUGUAAUGCUUGUAAUUCCGUUGCUCCAAGAAUUUGUAUAUGUGGUCCAAUGUAGACUUUGGUUGAUCCCGUAUCUGCUGUUGGUUAAAUAAGUGUUUCUAGCCAUUUCUAGCCAUUAGAACCGGGACUAAAGGGGGCUCUUUAGUACGGGUUGAUAUUACUAACCGGGAUUAAAGAGCCCCCAUUAGAGUUGGUUUUUGGAUGCGGAACUAACAACUCCUUUAGUCCUGAGUACGAAAACAACUGACAUAUUUGUUGCUGGAUGGAAGGUCCUUUCUCUACCGUGAAUAUUGCCAGAAAGAAUUGAAAGAGACUGCUUGCUAAAAAUAUGUCAUAGAUGUAGACCAAGCUACCAAGGAGGUAGACCAAACAUGAUACACACCAUGCGUACCUUGCUGUGCAGACUAUGCAUUGACAAGAUACCCGACCACAUGUUGGCCUCGGUCACAUCAAAAGAAUCAUGUAGGCCACCAAUAAACUACUUGAAGCGGCAUUCCGUAUCGUAUAUGCAUUGCCGGUUCAUCUGCAUUACAUUACAUAAAGCACUAUUAACUAUUUGAAUAAAAUGAACCAAUUUAAAAGUAAUGUGUUGUACUCUACUAUAGAAAGCCCUAUCACUGCCGGAUCCAAAAACAUCAUUGUUAAUGGUGGUUAAGUACCAAAUAUGACGGUCAAUAUUCUCAAGAAUAAUGGAGAAUUAGCAUUUCUUAGACACAUAUUUGGUUUUGAACAAUGUAGUUCCACAUGUCUUUGGAGAUUAUUUGGGUGUGGGUGAAAUAAUACAAAAAUAAGGAGAAAACACACUCCCAUGGCGAAGAAACACAACUCCAACCAAUGAGAGAUAGCCACAGGGGCAGCACACGGAUCCAUGGGCCCACUAACCGCAUCAAACCAUCUUACCAAGGCAGGUAGCACCCACAACCGUCAUUAGGACCCACCUGGAAGUCUACCAAGAAGAAGGUUGCGAGUGGGGCCAGGAGGGGUUCGGUUGAAUCAUCUCUAGCUAGCUCCCCUCAUCCCCAGCUGGUGGGUGGUGGUGGUUGAUGGUGUCCCUACAUCAGUUAGAGGAGAUUCCCCCAAAUAUUCCUCCUGUAAACCACCUCUAUGGACCUAUACAUAGAGGGGUGUGCUCUCCAUUCCAACACACACCACAAGUUGAAUCACUCUCUCCCUCUUUAGUUUCCAAGUUUAUGGAGUUAGGCUAGAGUAGCUCUGCUCAAGGUUCCAAGUCCACUUGGAGUUAAGCAUAUGUCUCUUGUAUCGUUAUUUCCUAAAUUGACUUUAUGCUUAGUUCUUAUAUGCAUGAGUUAGUCUAAUACCCUUGCUAUAUUGAUAUGCUCGGCUUAUAUGCUCGUAUGCUAGUCAUAUACCCUUGCUGUCGUAGUAUAGGCUUAUAUGCUCUCAUGUGUGCCUGUAGACCUUGCUAUAGUAUAUACUUGUUGUGCAUACAUACCAUGUAUAGGCUAGUCGAUCUAUACCAUGGCAUUGGUUCAAUAGCCAUGUUUUUGGUGGCUCCAACCCUAGUCACAAUAGCUCGGGACAGCUGGAGUGUUGUUAAAAAUGCAAGAGUGGUGCUUGGGUUGUUUAGCAUCGUUGGAUAUGGGUUUGCCCCACGGGUUUCUAACGGUAGGCGGCAGCUAGUGACAUCCCUGUCCGUCCUUCGUAAUCCCCCCACAUUCAGGUACGCCAUAAAUGUUCGUAAAUUAGCAGUAACUACGCCGGUACACCUGUAGGGUAUUGUCUCCCUGUAGUACCUUGGUGCAUAGAACUAAGUCCUAUACACUGUGUGUGUAUGUUUACGCUGAUAUGAUCUGUGCAGUAUAUAGGAUGUAUAUAUGAACCUAGAGCUAACUCCUAGUCCGUUCUCCAUAGCUUAGUUAUCUUGAGAUGAUUCUUCUGUAUGUGUAACACUACCCAUCUUAUCAUUAUCCUUGAUCCUGUCUUGUGUAAUAUAUCUACUCAUCCUAUGAUAUACUCAUAUGCAUAGUAAACUAUUUUGACCUACCCGCCUUCCUUUGGGAAAUAUGAUACCUUGGAAUAAUCCUAGGUGAAAUCCUACAACGGUAUAUCCAUGUAAAUGCGGAUUUAUUCAUGACCAUUAAAUAUACCAACAAUCAUCACUGUGAGUUUUGGGCGUCGUUAGUGAAGGGUUGGUAGUGAUGGGCAUCCCCUUCACCAAUGGACCUGGAACCGGCGGUGAUGGCUAUUAUAAAAAAGGGGACACCACCCAGCGUACCCCACGACCCGGCCGGCCGCACCUCCCAUCAUCCCCGCCAGCCGCCCUUCCUUUUCGCCGGCCGAGCAUGGUCCCGGCCUUUGUCCCUACCACCUCGCCUCCACCGCGACCCCCCGCCGAUGCCCUCGUGCCUGGCCCCCCUCAUCUUGCCGGCCACCCUCCCGAUGCGUCCACUGGGGCCCUCGCACCACCAACCGCCCUUGCUUAGAGAGGGAGAGAGAGGAGGGAGGUGAGGCCACGCACCUCGUCCUACACCGCCGCUGUUUCUCCUCGGCCCACCGCGCCUCACCCCACACCACAGCCGCGCCUUGCCAUCUUACCGGCUGUGACGCCUCAUCUCACCGGCCACCGUUCCUCACCCCCACUUCGGUCGUCGCCGCUCCUUGCCCUACCGCUGCUCUUUGCCGCUGCGAAUGAGCGCCGAGUGGAGGAGGAGGGAUGGGGCAGGAGGAGGGCAAGAUCCGGGAGGAAGGGAGAGAUCUCGGGAGGUGGAGAUGGAAGGAUAUGGCGGAAGGGAGAGAUCCAGAGGGAGAGAGCAGGGGAGAGAGGGGGGCGUGUGGGGAGAGAGCGCGUGUGGGGUGGGGCCGGGCUGGUGGGAUGGAAGGGAGAGGGGCUAGACGGGCGCAGUGCAUUCAACUGGAUGAAGUAAAUAUUUUGGAUUCGAGACCCCAGCUUUAUUAUCACCGCUGGUCCGUAGUACCAUCCGGUGCCUGCUCGUAAUUUAAUUUGAAUCUGCGGUGAUGUUUUAUUAUCACCAUCGGAUCAUAUAAAAAUCCGGCGGUUAAAAAUCCGCUGGUUUCGAUGAAAACCGACGGUGAUAGGAUGACUGUGAUAGUCUCUUCUCUAGUAGUGGUAUAUUAGUACCGGCUGCCGGAUGGUGUUGCCGACCAGUACUUCUCCGGGGGCGAUUCAGUACUGCUGUUAGCAAAGCUUGUUCUCUAUGAAUUUGGGGAUGGAAAGCUAGUUCUCUAGUUGUGAUUUGUUACAUAUAUAUCUAUGAUAGUCUAGAAAUUGCAUGUCCUUCGUUGACAUAGUUGAAGCUGCUUCAAGAAUUUACUUCGUGCAGUCGUGCAGCAUAUUGGAUUAUCACCUAGACAGGAUACAUAGGUGAAGCAUUGGAUGUGAUUGUGGCCGAUAAUUAUGCAGGACGCUGUUGCAAUCAACCACCAAGAAGUCUGGAGUGAUGGGGUUGCCUCAUCAAUAAUUUUUAUAUAUGGCUGCAGUAUUAUUAAGCCCACGUCAAUAAUUUUUUGUCCGCACCAUAUAUCGAUGGGGUUGCCUCAUCAAUAAUUCGCGCAACCAGACAAGCUGCAGACUCAAUAUGGUACGAAGCUAGUUGCUCAGCCCACAUGCUCUGAUAUAACAUUGACAUCUGCUGAUCUACAGUAUAUAUGACCAGAAAUAUUGUGCCCACCUCAAUAACUUUCUGAAGUAUCGUGGGGAAGAACCUACGCGUACUAUGCCUCGGAACUAACUGACAUAUCGGCCCAGGCGGUCUAGGCCGAUUGGACUGGCUCUUCCUUGUGGCUUCUCACAUCCCCUUCGUCCCCAAGUAAUUUCAGGUGUUCUGUAGUUUUCUUUUCACUUGCAUCUGAGCCUCCUAUAUCAAUAGCUUCGGGAUAAGAAUGCCUCUUGAUAACCUUCCAAAUCCUCGCUUGAUUCACAUUGAUUCCGAAAUCAUCUUGCCAUAUCUUCAGAGACUUAGGUCCUAAGGCAUCAUGGAGGAUUGCUCGCCAAGAAUGAGCACCAUUGGGCUCCUGAGGACCCUAGGCCGAUCAGCCCGGGCUCUAUAGGUCGAUUGGCCCAGGCCCUCUCUGGGCCUGUUGGCCUUCAUCUUUCUUUGAGUCGACGCUUAUUCAGGGCUUUGUCCAAUUAUAGUCCAUUAUAGUCUAAUUUCCUAAAAAACAGAAUGUCCUCCAAAAUACAAUGCAUAUGUGAAAACAACCCAAUUAUUAGGUAUGAUCAAUAGUUUAGGUAUUAAAUUAAUAUUAUUAUUUAAGAUAAACAGGGGUAAAGGGUGUCAUUAAUAACAAGCGCCAACAAGCGUCCUAGCUGUUCAAUAAAUUUUUUCUAGUACCGAUUGGUAACACUAACCGGUGCUAAUAUGUACCCUUUAUUACCGGUUAUUUUACCAGGUACUAAAGGAGACAAGAGCAUCCUAACAUAAGGUUAAUAUCAUCCAUUUCAUGAGUAAAAUACUAUGAUUCAAAAAUAAUUCAAAUCCCUUAAGACAAUACCUAUCAAAUGAGUAAAUUGUAAAUAGAGUAAUCUUGAUCAAACAAUGUCCUAAUGAAACGGAACACUUCUGGUUCGUGUAGAGCACAAUAUAGAAAACAGUAGGGUAGCUGUAUGAUUGACACGUGGUCCAUUAAUUAUUGAGCCAACACUAUGGACAUGUCUUCAUGAGUAGUGUACUAGUCAUAAUACAUGGUAUGCAGUAGGUGGAGGUAUUGACUUAGCCAUGCUAUGAGCACUUAGUUACAACAAACACUUUGCCAUUAUCGAGCAUCCCAAAUCACUACAAAAUCCAUAGUUUACCAUAUACUACAAAAUCUGAGUUAAAAUAAGAGCAUACACGGAAGAGUCCGAAUGCACGGCACAUUGAAUUACUAGACAAAAUUUAUGGGACAAGGUUUUGGGUAACCGCAUGAAAAAUAUUGGAUUUUACUGAACACUUAGUUACAAUUACCAUGCCCGUGAGCACUUAGUCACCACAAACAUUUAACCACUUUAGAUCAUCCUGAAUCCCUAUAAAUUCUAUACCUUACACCGUACCAUGAAAACGACAAGAACAGAGACAGAUGCGGUGAAAAUCUCCAGAGCAAGCCUGAAAUUAAAAUAAGAGGAGGCAGUCACUAUCGACAGGACACGGAGAUUGCUAGCCAUGACAGAGGAAGACAUGAUAUGAUAUUCACCUCUGAAAUGCAGCGUAGACUAAAUGAAGCACAAUUGCAAGUGAGUGUGGCAGAUAAUGGACCAUCGAGACCAUCGAAUGGUAUGAAGCAUGAUUAUCACCUAGACAUGAUAUCCUAGACAGGACGGUGAAUUGUAAAAAGAGUAAUCUUGAUCAAAGAAUGUCCUAAUGAAACGGAACAUUUUUGGUACGUGUAGAGCAAAAUAUAGAAAACAGUAGAGUAGUUGUACGAUUGAAACUGCAUCCAUCGACGUGGUGCAUGAAUUGUUGAGCCAACACUGUGGACAUGUCUUCAUGAACACCAUCUAGUGAGGACAGCAUGCAGAAAAAUAUAAAAACAUGUCAUAGGGAGGCAGACCAAUCUUGCGAGGUAGACGAAACGUGAUACACGAUCUGCCUACCUUGUCGUGUGGAUACCCCAAGUGAAGAUGUCAUAGAGGUGCAGACCAAGCUAGCAAGGAGGUAGAUGAAACGUGAUACACGGCCUGCCUACCUUGCCGUGGAUAUUAGUCCUGAUAUCAUUCUAUUGUUCAAGGAAUAACACUCAAUGCUGCUGCUGCUGCUGACCUGGCUCCAUAAAGUUAUAUUCCUCUAGCCGCUUGCACUAACUUUAUCUGAAGUAUUAUUCUCUCUGCACUGUAUAUAUGGUUACGGAGUUUGCUGGAGUAUCCGGGGGGAAGAACCUACAUAAUAUGUCUUGGAACUAACUGACAUUGAUUCACAGACAAGGUGCUGUUGUUGACAUGGUACAGUAAAUAAUAUAGUUUACCAUAUACCGUAUACCAUUAUAUGUUAGCUAAAAUAAGAGCAUAACAUGUCGCAGGAGUCCAAAAGCACCGGUUGAGGACCAGGUACAUUAAAUUACUAGAAAACAAAAGGGGACAAGGUUUAGGUAGCCACAUGAAAAACAUUUGAAUUUACUGUACCAUGAACACUUAGUUACCAUGCCGGGAGCACCUAGUUAACACUAACAUUUAGCCACUUUAGAUCAUCCCGAAACACCAAUGACCCUCAAUAGCGACAAAUUUUGGUUUAAAUGCCGUCACCAAUGAUCCUCAAUAGUGACGUGUUUAGGUUUAAAUCCCAUCACUAAUAACCCUUGGUAGUGACGUGUUUUGGUUUAAAUCUCAUCACCACUGAUCCUCACUAGUGACGUGUUUUUAGCAACACACGUUAUGAAUGACUUGUCAUUGGUGACAUGUUAAACGCGUUAUCUCAAUGGCAAAUCAAUGGUGACGUGUUUAAAAAAACAUGUCACUGUGAGAGUUAUUGGUGAAGGGUAAUUAAAAUGCAUCACUAAUUUUGUAGCAUUAGUUAUGAUAUAAUUUUGUAACGCAAAAAUCUACCAUAGUAAUGAGGUUUAGAGCCAUCACUAAUGUGGGUUUCUUAUCGUAGUGAUGCAAGCUCUACAAGGUGCUGUUGUUGCCAUUUUAAAGCAUCCCAAAUGACUACAAGAGUCCGGUUGAGGACUAAACAAAUUGAAUUACUAGAACCAAAUGUAUGUCCAGAACAAAGAAAGGGGUCAAGGUUUGGGUAACCGCAUUAAAAACAUUGAAUUUUACUGUACCAUGAACACUUAGUUACCAUUACCAUGCCUUGAGCACCUAGUUACCACAAACAUUAAUUUAGCCACUUUAGAGGUUCCACAAUCACUAUAAAUAAUAUACCAACACCGUACCAUGAAAACAUCAAGAAGAGAGACGGGUACAUGGACCACCAUCAAGUGAGUAGUGACAGCACGCACAAGAAUACCCGGAACCUUUUAGCUUGUCUGUAGUGAUCUGUUUUCUUCGCCACAAAUAAUGAAAGAGGCUGACCAAGCUAGCAACGAGGUAGAGCAAACGUGAUACACGUAGGUUUCAUUCAAGACAUCCAUGUAAGAUUCAUUCAAAACAUUCAUGGAAAUUUCUUGUAAGUUUUCAUGUAAAUUUCAUUCAAGACAUUUGUUAGAGGUGUUGUAUAUACACUUAACGUACAUAUAUCUAUGAUUUCAUGGUUGUUAGUGAUGGCAGAUGAGGAGCAUGCAAGGUGUUUAAUGGAGCAGAUUAUUGCUAGUGGUAGUGGCUCCAACCUGCCCGUAACGUACACCGACGAAGAGGGCAGCCAGGCGGACAUGUUCCUCAACAUGUCCGGUGAUGGCAAUGAAGAGCCCGAGCAAAACCUUGCCGUGACGGAAGGUUCCAUCGAGGUAUAUAUCAUUUCCAUUAUUUUACCCCAUCUAUAAUUUCAUAUUCAUUAUUACUAUGUGCUAAUUAAUGAAUCUUGAACCGUUAGUCCUCUAGAUCAACGAACCGAAAUAAGCCCCGAGGUCUUACAAAGAUAAUGCAGGGAAGGCUUCACAUCAUGGAAGUCACAGAAGAGGGCACAUCGGUUGCUCCCGAACAUGUGGCAAGAAAGUACGUGAGUCAAACCGGGGCAAUCGUAAGGGACAACAUGCCCAUCAGCAUCAGGGAAUGAAAGAGCAAUAGAAAUGAUCUAUACGCACCCCCGGAUACACAAAAGGAUAUGUUGUGGGCAAAUAUCAAGAAACACUUCACAUUUCCCAAAGGAUAUGUUGAAAAAUAUGUGAAAGCGUGGAUGUUGAAGAAGAUGGCCACCCAAUUCCAGACAUUCAAGAAGAUGUUGGAUGCCAACUUCAUCAAGAAGGGUCGAACUCCGGGUUUCAAUGAGUGGCCAAAGUUAAGGGACCACUGGGAGUCGUUUGUCGAAUACAAGACGAGCGAAGGUGGUGCGAGUAAGGUUCACAUCAAUGUUGCCAAUGCUAGCAAGGAGUACCAUCAUCAUCUAGGGCGACGUGGUUACAGCUCUGCAAUUCCCAGAUGGCGCAAGAUGGAACAAGACCUGAUCGAUCGGGGUAUCGUACCAGCAACUCUUGACUGGAUCGAUUGAAAAAUUGGUAUUAUGCUCAUGAAGGCAAUCUGAGCCAAGAGGAUCCGACAUUGGUCUUCAAUAAAACAAUACGUCAGAAGGUCGGAAGGCUUAUUAGGAACAUUGAAGAUGCUAAAGCUGGGAGGUUCAAGGUGGAUAGAGAGAAUGAUGAACUCACAUUGGCCCUCGGGACUGUCAUCUCUAGCACUUCCAGCUCCAGGACUAUCGUCACCACCGGGACCGUCGCUUCCUGCUCGAUCACAGUCUCCAUCUCCAGCACAUCCUGGUGGUGCGAGCGACGACGACAACAACACCCCUCCCUGCCCACCAUUGCCGGGACUAAGACCCGCAUUGAGUAAGGAACCUGCAACACCACUGAAGAAGUCGCGACCACCACCUUCAAGGCAAGUCAGCAAAAGAAGAAAGCAGAGAAGCCUAAACCCACUGAGAAGCCAGCGACUGAUAUGACCGAUGCGGAAAGAUGGAAGGCACUCAAAGAAGAAUGCAGGGAGUGGUUCAGCGAAGGCGAAGGUGAGAAAGUCGUAUGAAUCGAAUUCAAGGAUAUAUAUGAAGUGAACCAUCAGGAUGCCCUUGAUGUCUCUCUCAUCAGCGCCUAGGUUCUGUAAGUGUAUGUUUAUCUAUAAGUAAAUUUUGGCUCAUAUCAUUAUUUUUUUUGCGUGCGUCACCCUACUAACUUCGUCUUCCAUUUUAUGUAGGAUGCUAAUUCAGACGUGCCGCAUAGAAGCGUACUUCCAUGUUGGAUUCAUGGAUCCAUCCCUAGUUAACCAAAAGCCGAUACGGAAGUAGCUAGAGAAAACGUUGGAGGUGGUGUACAACCUCCUGGACAAACUAAACUACAGAAUAGGGGCAAUAUGUGAGGGUCUUGUAGGAUUCCUAGUGGACGAGGUGAUAAAUCCAUAAGGAGAAUAUCAUUCCAACGGACGAGCAUUAGACACACUGAGCAACACCUAGAUGGGAGGAUCCUAGGAAUGACCUCGACAGAUUUUGGUAUAAAUAGUAAUUGUGUAAAUACUAGUUUGAUUUGUAUAGGAAUAUACUAAGAAUUGUAUAUAUAGUAAUUGUACAAAUACUAGUUUGAUUUGUAUGAAUACUAGAUUGAUUUUAUUAUAAAAAAGUUUUAAGUCGUACGUGCAUGCGCCUACAAAGGCGCGGAUGCCUUUUAAUCCCAGUCGGAAAAACAAACUGGUACUAAAGGGGCUCGUGCCGCACCUGGCAUGACCACCCCUUUAGUCCCGGUUGAACGACCCAGGACUAAAGAUCUCCGCGUCUCAAAAAUUUUAUCUCGGAUGCUUUUUAGAGAGAUUUGAGGCCUAUCAACCAAGACUAAUAUCGAGUUUUCUACCAGUGAAACUAACUAACGUUCACAUGGUUUUGACAUUCACCUGCCAUUUGGUGUAGACAAGGGCACCCUAACAUAUGGUUAAUAUUAUUCUUGAAAGAAAAUCCUUUGAUUCAAAAUACUUCAAACCUAAUAAUACAAUACUUCUCACAUCUGAAAAAUAUGAGACGGCCCGACAGUAUUCUAAUCGACGCAAUAAUAUUUUGAGGGCAGCACUACUACAGCGACCCUCAUUCGUGCCGGUGCUGGGACUCCUAUCACGACCCUGAUACAAAUGAGGGUACAUUAUUGGUGCCAGUGCUAGAACAGCCACGAAUAACUUGCUAAACGUGCUGUUACACUCACUACAGGGACCAAGAAGGUAGAUAAAUUACACGACAUAGCCUUGGUUGCCGUGGAAGCGCCAAGAAGGGAGACAAAUUACAGGGACCACACCAUCAAGUAGAUAGUGACAAUAUGCAAAAGAAUACCCGCGCCUGUUAGCAUGUGAACUGACCACACCACGAAACGUGAUACACGGCAAGCGUACCAAGGCCUUGCUGUGCAGACUAUGCAUGGACAACACAUGGUACCUGACCGCUUUUGGCCUCAGACACAUCGAAAAACUGCAUCGUUCCACGUUGUACAUCCAUUGCUAGUUUAUCUAUAUUACAUAAUAUAUUAUUAGCUAUUUGAAUAGAAUGAACCAAUUAAAAAAUUGCGUUGUAUUUUUAGUACCGGCUGCAGGAUGGUGUUACCAACCAGUACUAAUUGGCCUGUAGGAGUGAUGGUUAUUAGACUUGGUACUGUUGUUAGCAUCAUUAACCUAAUUGUGCGCCGUAUGAAUUUGGGGAUGCAAAGCUAGCUCUCUAUGAAUGUGAGGGAUGGAAAGCUAGUUCUCUAGUAGUAAUUAUAUAUAUGACAGUCAAGAAAUCGAACACUAUGCUGCUACGAGUCACCAUCAUUUCCUUCAUUGACAAUCUGACAUAGGUGAAGCUGCUUCAAUAAUUUCCUUCGCGCAGUCGUGGAGCUUAUUGGAUUAUCACCAGGACGGGACACGGAAAUGGCCAGCAAUGAAGCUGAUUGCCGUCUGAGGAAGACUACAUACUUACCUAUGAAAUGAAGCGAUUGCAUAGACUAAUGAAGCAUUGCAUAUUUGCAUGUGAGUGUGGCAGAUAAUUCUGCAGGACAUGAUUGCAAUCCACGCACCAUCGAGAAGACUGGGGCGAUGGGGUUGCCUCAUCAAUAAUCACGUGGAUGCAUGCAUGCAUGUUCCCGCAACCGGACAAGGGUCUGAUAUAUGGCUAUAGUAUUACUGAGCCCACAUCAAUAAUUUCCACUGGUGUAUCGUGUGGGAAGAAUCAACAUACUACACCUCGAGUUCUUGGAACUAACUGACGUUCACAUGCAACCUCCACAAGGUGCUGUAUGCUUUUGACAUUCACCUGCCAGUUCGUGUAGAGAAGGACACCCUAACGUAUAGUUAAUAUUAUCCAUUUCAUGAGUAAAAUACUGUGAUUCAAAAAUACUUCAAAUCCCUUGAGACAAUACUUCUCACUUGACUAACCACUAACCAACCCCGAAACCCUAACUCAACUCCGAACCCUAACCCCUAACGGCAUAACCACUCCGUUUUGCCGGCGAGAUGGAGGAACUGGCUGGAAGGUAGAGAGGGCAGCGGUCCAGGGUUGAAAACGACGGGCGAGCGCAGUAACAUGUGGAGGAGGAAGUGCCACGUAUUCGUUCACCGCUAUUGGGCAGCGACACACGACACGCCCAAUAAGAUCUUCGCACGGUAGAAGGACGUCAUGUAUUCAAUAAUGUUAUUGGUCCCCCAUGUGCAGAAGGGCGCGCGCGUAUGGAAUAACAAGUAGGGACACUGCAACUAAUCUACUCUGCUCGUCCAGUCCCUAGCCUAUAAAUAGAUGCCAUGCUAGCUCUUGUUGUGCUCACAAUUAAUCCGAUUACACACGAGCUUCUCUCCCUGGCCAAGACACAACCAUAGUAUGAUGAAGAACAUGGCACUAGCCGGCAAUGGUAUGAAGAAGUUAAUCCUCGCUGUUCUCUUACUGUGUCUAGUUAUAGGGCAGAUACAAGUGGAAGCUAAGAGCUGCUGCCCAUCCACCACUGCAAGAAAUGUCUACAAUACCUGCCGUUUCACGGGUACAUCCCGUCCAACGUGUGCAAAACUGUCAGGCUGCAAAAUUAUCAGCGGGAACAAAUGCAAGCCCCCUAACGACCACCUCACCCUUGACCCGGACACUGGUAAAUAAUAAAUUUAUCUCACUUGAUUUCUUCGUGAUUUGAGUCGUUAAUGUAUUUUCCAUCUGAUGAAACGUAUUGGUUUUGCAUUGAAGAGGAAGUUAAUGUGCUUAACUUCUGCAAGUUGGGGUGUGCGUCGUCUGUGUGCAACAACAUCAACGCUGGUAAGCAACUUUUGCUCAGACAGAGAAAACAAUAAUCAUUAAUUAGCGGCAGCUAGAAUCCUAUAAUCUAAUAUAUAUAUAUAUAUAUAAUUUUAUCAGCUCUGGGAAAUGAAGAGGCGAACGAUGCCGUUGAGAGUUGCGACCAAGCCUGCUCUAGCUUCUGCAGCGUGCAUGUUGGCAGCGCCACCGUGGUUGCUUAAGCAAAUGCAUCCAACUAGAUCGUCCUUGUGCUGAAUAAUUGGAUAUCGUAUCCACUUAAAGCUGCCUUGUGUAGUACGUCUUUGUGUCUCUCUUUAUAUUCCAAUAAGGUCGGUGAUCUUGAUGCCACACACUCAGAUGUGUGUUCAUCUCCAGAUACUACUCCAUGCUACCUGCCCUUUGUGUUUUGUUCAAUAACUGGGUAUCAUAUCCCAGCCAGUAUGCCGUCUGUUUUGUGUUUGUUUCCUUCUAGUUCCAAAGGGGUCAUCAUGAUGUUACCUUCUUUCAAUAUGGUGCUUUGCAUGACUACUGUUGUAUGGUACCAUCUUGUGGCCAAUAAGUACAUCUUAUCCUAUGACCUUUGCUAUGACCCUUUGCAAAUAAGUAGAAGAUUGUUAUAAGCGUCAAUACUCCGUAUAAAUUGAUCGCUGCUGUGAGUUCCCUUUCAGCUUAUCGUAGGCAUACAUUAUUGCUAGCACGGUAAAGCCAACCAACACGAAUGAUGAAGUAAACGUAGCGGUACUUCUGUAUACCAACACCCUUACUUAAAUGUACCGGUGUCAUUCCCUACUGGCACAUAUAUUCUUAUAUGCUAGCCAGCUUGUAAAAUUAACCAAUUAAAAUAAUUAUUUCAAGAUAGAAAUAACUUAUCGGUUUCUGGAAGCAUGUGUAAUGUGAAUUCAAGGACUCGACGGAAGUUGAAUCACUUCAUCUAUAUUGCUUUCAGUAUUUUGGGUAACUAAAUUUAACAUUUGCACAUACAAAUGUUAAAGUACAAAUGUUAAAUCUAGUUACCCAAGCAGAAUAUGAAGAUAGUUUAUAGUAUAUAUAUACUAUAUAAAUCUAGUUAACAUUUAGUCUAAAUGUUAAAUCUAGUUACCUAAAAUCCUGAAAGCAAAAUGUAUAAAUAUAUAUCUUUUAAGGCAGUAUAAGCUUCGAUUCCUAUUGCUGCUCUGUUAAAUCUCAUCUUUCGUUGUGGCCCAACACUCUAGUAUGCAUGUUGCACCAAGCUUCUUUGAGCCGCUCUGCCCUCUGAUUUUGCUGCGUAGGGGAAUCUUUAUCAGGUUGGGCUACUUCCAGUUGUGCGAUGUAAAGAUUCGUAUUUUCUAGAAGGUAGACAAAAAACUCGCGUUCUCUUAAGGCAACAACCGGAAGAUUCUGCAGCGCACAGGGCAUACCAUUAUUGUAGAAACGACCUUUAGUACCGAUCUCCAACCCCCUUUAAAACUGGUUUUGCAACCGGUACCGUUAUGUCGGUCCUUUAGUACCAGAUCAAAUAAGUACCGGUUGGUAACCAGUAUCAACUUGUUUUGCGGCCAAAAAAAUAAAGAAAAAAACAGUCAGAAGGCUCGCACACACGCGCAUCACAUGAAAUAUGCGUGUGCGGGGUCCAUGGGAUUCGAACCCAUGAAAUCAAGCUGCACGCGACCCUUCGUUACCAUCUCACCUACAUAGCGCAUAUGCUUUCCUGAAGUAACCCGUGGAGGAGGCUUUAGUACCGGGUCAUAACACCACCCGGUACUAAAAAUGACUCUUCAGUACCGGGUCAUAACACCACCUGAUACUAGUAUCGGAUGGUGUAAUGACCCGAUACUAAAAGGCCUCUAGGGACCCUCAAAUUUGAACCCGGUACUAAUGCUAAUAUUAGUAGCGGGUCAAAGUGCAGCCAGAACUAAAGCAUGGGAUGAAAGGUCAUAUUUCUAGUAGUGUAUAGUUGUUGUGAAGGACUGACUUGGCUGUCCUCUCUCUUCUCCAUCCCCUUGGUCUUACGCCGCCGCUCGCACGCGAGCCGGUGCCCAACCAGAGGAGUGAGAGCUAGGGGCAGGUUGGGAGGUGGGGAUAGUGACUGGUGGCCAGGGUGAUGGUUGAUCCUGGUGGGGUUAGGGUUUCAGGGUUUUCGAGCUUCCUAUGGUCGGCGAACCUAGAGGAGAAGCUCAACAUCAGCUGCAACCCGCGAUGGUGGUGGUUUGGCCGGCGCCCGAGGCGAGGCAGCGCGGGAGUGCUGCCGGUGGGUUGGUGUUGGCACUCAUUAUUGACAACUAUUUUGUUCAUAAAAUAACACUCAAACUUGCUGCUGCUGCUGCUGCCAUCGCCACCCUAGCCAUAAUAUAAAGGCAAAAUUUGCUAAAGGACAUGCAAAAUGAUGCUAGUUUGCUGGCGGGCAUCGUUGACCUUGUAAUAUGCUACAAGACACUCUAGUUGUGUAUCAAUUUGCUGAAAGACAUUGCUAUGACUAAAAUAAUGUUUCUGGACUGAGUUGGAGAGAGAGAUGGAGUGAAAUGUCUGUUUUGCCCAUGACCCCACUGGUCAGAUCCUUCUUCUUCCACCCUCCUUUGUUCUUUCUUCAACCAUUACCCAGCUCCAGCGUGUUGCAGAUCUACGAGGGUGGCGGCCUGGGGCGAGGGGCAUCGCUCGCCCUUGGAGGAGCGCUGCGAGCGACGGCGCGGGGGCGGCAACAGCGCGUCAGAACCUGACUGUUCGUUAGCUCCUCUCGCUGCUGGGGAAGAAGGAGGGGGAUGGGCCAUGGACGGGGUUCCCUUGAAAACCUCAGCGUCGAGCUCGGGCGGCUACGCGCAGGCAGCACUAGGCUGCUUCACGGGGAGGGGGCGCGGCCAAUCAUUGGCACCCCACUGGUCCAAUGCUGAUGAAGAUGGUGCCAGCGUCGUGUGAGGACAUCUCAUCUCCUCGAGUUCCAUGGCCAGCACAGGUGAGCUGCCGCUACCACAAAACAGAGGUUUCGUGAGAGUCAAAAAACCUUAUGAAAAUAGCUAAAACCAUCAUGAAAAUAAUCCGUGACAUGACACUCUCACGAAAAUCCUCUCACAAAUAUGGUGCCAUGAAAAUACCAUUUUCAUGAGAGUGAACUGUCAUGAUUUUAUAAGCGUCAAUACUCGGUAUAAAUUGACUACUGCUGUGAGUUCCCUUUCAGCUUAUCGUAGGCAUACAUUAUUGCUAGCACGGUAAAGAGAACCAACACGAAUGAUGAAGUAAACGUAGCGGAACUUUUGUAUACCAACACCCUUACGUACCGGUGUCAUUCCCCACUGCCACAUAUAUUCUUAUAUGCUAACCAGCUUUGAAAAUUAAGCGAUUAAAAUAAUUAUUUCAAGAUAGAAAUAACUUAUCGGCUUCUCGAAGCUUGUGUAAUGUGAAUUCAAGGACUCGAUGGAAGUUGAAUCGCUUCAUCUAGAUUGCUUUCAGGAUUUUGGGUAACUAAAUUUAACAUUUGCACACACAAAUGUUAAUGUACAAAUGUUAAAUCUAGUUACCCAAGCAGAAUAUGAAGAUACUCUAUAGUAUAUAUGUACUAUAUAAAUCUAGUAAACAUUUAGUCUAAAUGUUAAAUCUAGUUACCUAAAAUCCUAAAAGCAAAAUGUAUAAAUAUAUAUCUUUUAAGGCAGUAUAAGCUUCAAUUCUCUGUUAAAUCUCAUCUUUCGUUGUGGCCCAACACUCUAGUAUGCAUGUUGCACCAAGCUUCUUUGAGCCGCUCUGCCCUCUGAUUUUGCUGCGUAGGGGAAUCUUUAUCAGGUUGGGCUACUUCCAGUUGUGCGAUGUAAAGCUUCGUAUCUUUUAGAAGGUAGACAAAAUACCCGCGUUCUGGAAGAUUCUGCAACGUGCACGUUGGCGCUGCCACCGUGGUUGCUUAAGCAAAUGCAUCCAACUGAAUCGUCCUUAAGCUGAAUAAUUGGAUAUGGUAUCCACUGCUUAAAGCUGCCAUGUUUAGUACGUCUUUGUUUUUCUCUCUUUAUAUUCCAAUAAGGUCGGUGAUCUUGAUGCCACACACUCAGAUGUGUGUUUAUCUCCAGAUACUACUCCAUGCUACCUACCCUUUGUGUUUUGUUCAAUAACUGGGUAUCAUAUCCUAGCCAGUGUGCCAUCUGUUUUGUGUUUGUUUCCUUCUAGUUCCAAAGGGGUCAUCAUGAUGUUACCUUCUUUUGAGGUGUCUAUGAUGACUUCGUUAAUAUCAAUAUUAACCAAUUCAAUCUGUCUUAACUAUUUGUAAGGGGUAUGAUGUAUGCAUGAUUAUAACAAUGAUUGCGCAUACAAUCGCCGCCAAAGAAACGGUCAAUACCAUUAAGACAUAUUACAGACAAUUCUCAUAAUCUAUAAUGAAUAUACAUAUUCACUACUGCAGAAGACUGUCAUUUGUAUCGGCUCAUACGUGCCAGGGCAAAGGUCACCCUUGCAUUAAGUACAUUUGCACGGUAAAGACAACCAACACGAAUAAUGAAGUAAACAUGCCGGUGCUUUUGUACACCAACACGCUUACUUAAAUGUACUGGUGUCAUUCCUCACCGGUAGCCGGCUUGAAAAUUAACCAAUUAGAACAAUUAUUUAUUGUAUCGGUGUGAUUUUUGACCUAUUGGAAUAUGAAUUUGACCGUUACUGCAUUCGUCAAGACUCAAGAGAGAAAUAACUGAUCGGCUUCUUAGAGCGUGUGCAAUGUGAAAUCAAGGACUGGAUGGAAGUUGAAGCGCUAGCACUAGUAGAGAAACGACUUUCCAUCCACCCCCUUUUGUCCCGGUUUAAAGUUGGCUCGGGAUAAAAGGUUCACCAACCGGGACUAAAACUCAGUCACUGGUGGGAGGCUCACCAACCGGAACCUUUUAUCCCGGUUGCAAAGGCUAAUGGGAAAAAAAGACUCUGAGAGGCCUUUUAUCCCGGUUUGAAACACCAACCGGGAUAAAAGACCCCCCUUUUAUCCCGGUUGGUAACACCAACCGAGAUAAAAGGGUCAAGAGCCUUUUAUCCCGGUUGGAAACACCAACCGGGAUAAAAGACCCCCUUUUAUCCCGGUUGGUGUUUCAAACCGGGAUAAAAGGGCCCCCACGAGGUGACUGGAAGGUGACUGGAAGGGGAUUAAAUCGUGGGGGACCCUUUUAUCCCGGUUGGAAACACCAACCGGGAUAAAAGGGGGUCUUUUAUCCCGGUUGGUGUUUCCAACCGGGAUAAAAGGGUCCCCCACGAGUUAAUACAAAAGGAUAGUAUCCCCUACAUAGUCAGAUGUGGUGUGUAGGUGGGAUGGUAAGGAAGCUACGCGCGAGCUCCGGAAUUUUUUUUUUUUUUUUUUGCAGCGUCGGCGCUCUCUACCCUUUUAUCCCGGUUGGUAUUACCAACCGGGAUAAAAGGGGGUCUUUUGUCCCGGUUGAGUGACCCGGGAUAAAAGACCCCCCCUUUUUUCCCCGGUUAGUUUAUCCCGGAUGCAUUUUCGGGAUAAAAGCACCCUACCAACCGGGAUUAAAGCUCACUUCUCUACCAGUGUAGCUUCAUCUUCCGCUGCAAGUUAAUUGCUUGGAUAAGAAGUUGUAGCCGCUGCAAGUUAUAAAUAGUCCCGCUGAUGCUGUGCUCCGAAGUCUAUACUAUAUAUGCGGAAACUAGAUUGCUUUCAGGAUUUUGGGUAACUAAAUUUAACAUUUGUACAUAAAAAUGUUAGUUUACGAAUGUUAAAUCUAGUUACCCAAGCAGAACAAGAAGAUAGUAUAUAGUAUAUACUAUAUAAAUCAAGUUAACAAUUAGUCUAAAUGUUAUAUCUACUUACCCAAAAUAUUGAAAGCAAAGAAAGAAUAAGUAUAUAUCUUUUGUUGGAAAAUUGGUCCACGGAGAGGCCCAUUUAGGCCUCGUUCGUUUCACCGGGAUGGGAUUCCAGUCAGGAUUACUUCCAAGUUCGGUUUGAGUGAUUCCACCCGUGUCACUCAAUCCGGCUAGGAUUCAUUCUAUGGGUGAGGAGGUAUGGUUUCAAUCCAGGCCAUCUAAUGUAGAAGGAUUCCAAUCCAGGCCGGUUUUCGUUCCAGGCCAGACUAAAACGAACAACACUUUCAAUGCAAGUCUGGUUUCAAACCGGGCCAUUUCAAACCACCCGGAAUGGACCUCGUUCCAGGCCAAUCCGGUGAAAACAAAUGAGGCCUUAAUGGAAUCCCAAAGCAAGAGUUCAGUGGCAUUCUAUAGUCCCAUGCUGCUAGUUUGAGUUGGUCGAAGCCAACUUAAAUAGGAGAGCUCUCUCACUUCUCUAAAUACGUAACUGAAGGAGAGAAGGGGGCUUGGGUUACACAACGCACGCACGCACGCAUAUUUGCGUUCUUUUCGCGUAACCAACCGCGUGACUUGAAACUUGCGACGUAGCGUGCUGCUAAGUCAAGUUGAUAUAACCUUUUUGCCGUUUGCAUGUAAUCUUUUGACAACGGUCAUUGGAGGUGAUAAGCACGCAGUCAAUACCUUAAUCUUGAGUUAAUAGGGUGGUUACUACUGCCAAUUAGUGGGGCAAUUUUGUAGGGGAAACGGUUAGCAGAGGGCUACCGUCUUCUCUAUAAGAAGUUCUGGAGACGUCCAGGAACACACAUGUACAUGUGAGAGACCCACAAAUUCCUUCCCUUCUCCCUUUUCCAUGUGGUGAAGUGUGCUGUGGUACUGAGCUGCUUGAUCUCGCCGCUCUUCUCCUUGGCAUGCACCGAGGAGGAGGGUGAGCGGUAUCUCCGAGCUAUUGCCGUCAGGAAGCCUGCACGAGGGACAACAAAAAGUUUUUGGGUAGCGCAACUGCCAGCACAACUCUCCCUCCGCCUCUUCUUCACGGUUGAUGGCCACCACAAGCAUAAACCUCGCCUUCGCAUCCACGCAAAAGGGUCGCUGGGGUGCCUUCUUGCAUCGCUUCUCAGCCUCCUUGACUUGCGGCCAGCCAAGAACUGCGCCACCACCUCGGGUGCACGCCACCACUCCAGGGCUGCUACCCCAUGCCUGCGGCCGCCGCCGGCCACCACGCGUGUGCAACCGCGUCGCACCGCUUCCUUGCUUUGUGCCACCACUGCUGCUGUACCACCAGCUCCACCACCUUGGGCUGGUCGCCAGAGUGACUGAUAACUUAUUAUCUGUAACUACUAUUAACUCAGGGAUACAUGCGUCUUUUGCUUCUCCUACUAAUAUGUCCUAAAAUAUCUAGGAUGCCUUAUAUUUCUGGACAGAGGAAGUAUUUGAAUAAAAUGAACCAAUUUAAAAAAAUGUGUUGUACACUACUACAGAAAGACCUAUCAGUGUCAAACCCAAAAAUGUUGUCACCGCCAGUUUUGGGCAUCAUUGGUGAAAGGUUGGCGGUGAUGGGCUUUCCCUUCAACAACGGCACUGGAGCCGACGGUGAUUGACAUUAGAAAACAAAAAAGGGGACCCUACCUAGCCACCCCUGCAACCCGGCCGGCCGUGCCUCCCCUCAUCCCCACCACCUCGCCUCCCCAUGACCCCCCGCCGGCGCCCUUGCGCCUAGCCCCCUCAACUGCCCAGCCGGCCACCCUCAUCACGAGAGAGAGGUGCAUGUUGUAUAAUUGCGUGAAUUUUUUAAUGUUUAAUUUCAUGUAAGUUCCGUGUAAUAAAUUGUACAAGUUUUAUUGUAUAUAUGAAUUCCAUAUAUAUAUAUAUAUAUUUAUAAUUUAAUGUAUGGUUUCAUGUGUAUAUUUCAAUCAUGUGUAUAUUUAGUAGAUUGCCGAUUUUCUUUUUCUACUAGACAAGGGUUGAUGUAUAAUUACGUGUAUAUGUUUAUUGUACGGGCAAUUAGGACAAGUUUUGUAUAAAUUUCUUUUAUUUGAUGGUUGUUGUAUGGUUUCAUGUAUAUACAUUUAUUGUACUACUUUAGACAAUUUUUAAUUUAAUGUUUCUAUGAUUAGAUGUGUGUAUAACUAAUUGUAUUAUUAGUUAAGAUGGGAGCUAAAGAGGAUGAAAGGUAUAUAAUGGAGCAGAUUAUUGCUAGCUCAAACGUUGCAAGAACCUACACCGAGGGUGAGGGUAGCUAGGUGGACAUGUACCUCAACAUGUCCAGUGAUGGCAAUGACGAUGAGGAGCACGAGCAUGACAUCUAUGAUAAUGCGGAACAAGACAUUGCAGAAUUGGAAGGUUCUAAUGAGGUGUGCUUCAUGUUGACAAUCUAGUUGGCUUUUUUUCGUUGGUCACACCUUAGUUACCAUAGAACUUCGUCUCGGGAGAAGAUUGGUGGUGGUAUGGUGAUUGGAAUUUUAUUUCCACGAAAUCUGAUUUCCAUCGAAUCAUAUCCCUUGUAUUUAUCUUCUUUUUAUUUGUGAGAGCAUCUUCUUUAUGCUUGCAAAACAAUUCAAGUGCACAUACUACCCCUAGGGUGACGAUUGGGAGUAGAAAUAAUUGCCAACAAAACAACACCACAUCCUAAGAUUCUUAACUUGUGGCAUAAUUAGUCUAGUAAAAAGAAAGAUAAAAACCUAAUGGGUGUAUGUGAGUGCAAUGUGUAUAUGCAUAUGAGUGGAAGGCAUAUAAGCAAAGACAAUAUUUACACAUAGUUCUAAACACCAUGUUUACAGCUAGGUUGCUGAAUUUCUCCAUAGCCAUAGAGAUUAAUUAACCAAGGUCAAAACACGAUGUCUAUCCCAAGAUCAGUAAUUAUUUAUAGCACAAGAAAAAGAAAGCGCAUUGCAAAGUUUAUAAACCAACCAAUACAGCAUGAAAACAAGAUGAAUAGCUAGCAAGGUUUAUUAAACUGAAUGAUGACGGUCUGUAAGCAAGUUUAAACACCAUCUUUACACAAGAUUGCAAAUGGAAAAUGCCCAUAUGAAGCACUAACAUGGAUAUGAAAUCAUUCAUCAUAAAGCGUAAAGAACAACCAAGCCAACCAUAUGCAAAGCAUGAAUGGAAUGCAAUGAAGGUGCAAGAGAACAUUUUUGGAUGAACACAUUAUGAUGAUGGCAAAAUGCAAUGCAUGCAGAAAAAAUAAAUAUGAACAUGAAUAUGAUGAUCAGGGGCGGACCCACUAUUGUGGCCUGGGUAUUCCUCGGCAUACCCAAUAUUUUUGGGAAAAUGUUUAGUAGUUUUUAAUGGCAUAUACAUGUAUAAUAUAGUUUAGGUGUUAAAAUUGAUAUUCACAGCUAUUUUGGGCUCCAAUUCGCGUCCAAACCAACCUGGCCCACAGACCGCACCCGGCCGCCCGGCCCAUCGGCCCAUCUUGUCACUGAUCCUCCCACCACCACACUCAGCCCGUCAGUUAGUCAGGUCCCGAGCUCCUGCCUGACCUAGUCCGCUACCACCGCCAGGCGCCAGGCACAGCUGUACACGCCGCCCCCGUCCACCCACGUCCGCCGCACGGCCGCGUCGCGCCCCCCCCCGGCGCCCGCUGCUGCCAGAACCCAUUAGGCCUCCACCGGCAAGUCCACCCACAGUCCCGCGCGACGCGGCAGCCUCUUGGCUCUCGGCGCUCGCGGCGCGCCAAUGCCUGCGCAGCCCCAGCAGGCGACUGCCCCCCCCCCCCCCGCAUCGGGCCUCGGCCCCUCCCCAGCUCCCCCUCCCCCCUCCACCAGGACUGCCUGCUGGCCCCCACCGCGAGGUAAUCGAAAUGGACUGCUCAAUCUCUCAAUCUGUUGACAUGAUGCACACGGUUGCAAAAAUAGAUGUGUCAAAAUAGAUGUAUUGCCAAUUGCUAUAGAUGCAUAUGGUUGACAUGAAGAAGUCAAAAAUGACAUUUGGUUCCUUGUAGGCAGUCAAAAAUGAAGAAGUCAAACAAUAUUGAUCUGAAAUCAAUGCGGGAAAGGGCUACGAAGACACACGGGUAGAUUCCCUUGUGAACUUUUUAUGUCGUUCGUCUAAAUAUAUUUUUGCAAUGGGCAUACCCUACUCUGAAAUCCUGGGUCCGCCACUGAUGAUGAUGGUCUAAACAUAAAACAAGCCUAGAUUAAUUAGCUACAACUGAAAUUAAGCAAAGGUUAAUGUCAUUGACCCUAGCUCUAUCCUAGCUUUUACUAAAGUCCCGGCACAUAUAGUGGUUGGGCCCACUCUCUCUACUUCCCUCUCUGCUGCAUGCACACACACGAGCAACUGGAGGCCCAACAAAGCCCAGAAGGGUUCGGCCGAACCCGUCCGAUCCAGUCUGAGCGCCGCUCCCUCCCAGCCUUCGCGCAGAUGCUCCUCCAACGUUCCUUGACCCCUCCCUCAGUGUCCCAUUGGGUUUAACAUUGUAGGAGAGGAGUCCCUUUUUUAAAAUCUCAACCACCUCCUCUCCUCAUUCACUCCACUCUCAUCUCCAUCAAACUCACCAAGAUCCACAUCGGAAAUACCUGCUUACCACCAUGGCUGGCAAAGCCCUCGUCCCUUUCACCAACUUGGGCUUGACCAUUGAUCUCGAUGGGAAAAUCACUCCAGCAAAUGUCAUUGUCCCUGUCGGCGAUCUGGCGAUGGAGGAGGUCCAGGCACUAGAGGUCGAGCCCCUAGCCAUCAUACCGCCCAAGGGGUAAAGCAGGAGCAUGACAGGCGCUGCUAGGGGUUCAGCCGAACUCCCAGUUCAGCCAAACGAGGACGGCGUCGCCUCGGCCUCCCGCUCGACUGCAUGCUUCCCCUUGCCAAGGAGGACUCCAGAACAGCGGGCGCGUGCGUCAAGUCCCUACAAAAGGCUGAAAUACAAUGAAUAUCCAGGGUCACCCUUGAAGAUGGGUGAACGCUACGCCGGGUCCUUGUUUGACUAGUACGGCGAUGCAUUCUGCCACCGCUAUGUCGUUGUCGAGAUUAGCGGAUCAAGACUUAGACUAGUAAAUUUCUUUUAUGCGCGUAAGGCUUCAGAUGGUGGCGUGGGAGACAUGGGUUUUAUACUAGUUCGGGCAAUGGAAUACCCUACGUCCAGUGUCUGGAGCUGCUUGUGUUGCCCACGCGGGGUUCUGUAGUAGGGGUUACAGGUGUGCGAGAGAGGGAGCUAAUCCCAGGUCUCUUAGGCGUGUUCCGGUCCUCUAGAUGGGAGAAGUGUGUUCUGUUUGCUUGGGAGUAUCGGUUGUGUCUGAGUUGUCUCCGGAGCCUCCUCCCGUCUCAGGUCCCCGAUUCUCCUUUCAUAGCACAAGGAGACCAUCGGGGUUACAGACGAGACCGAGCGUGGGGAGGAGUAAAGAGAUAAACAUAGCUAGGUAAAAAUACAACAAGAAAGGGGGGAACCAAGUUUCUAGGUCACCGGCGUCCUCGCCGGCCUUCGACUUCCGCCGGCGCAUUUGUCGGAGGAGGGUGGCCGCCAUCGCGUUCUGUCGAUGGCUUCCUCGGUGACUGUAGCCACCGGGCGUGAUGAUGGCAUUUCGUCGUGACCCUUUGUCUGUUGGGGGAGGCGGCGGAUCCUGCCAUUCUGCUGACGGCUCGCGGAGUGCGAACGUCGCAUCCCUGCCGCUGGGCACGCGGGGCGCGAGAACGUGCGAGGCUUCCCCCUACCCCAGGCGGCGCAGGCCAUGAGUGCCCUGUGGCAAAUCGGAGGAGGCCGCAGCUACUGUAGCUUGUACUGUGCAGCCACGUAUGGGUACUUGUGGCAGGUUGCGUGGUGGAUGCGGAUAUCCUUCUCCCUGACAGAUCUGCGGCGCAUUUAUGGCGAGAUCGACAUGGGGACCCACAAGACCCGCGCCCAAGGCGGAUACUUGUCUGGAGGGCCCGGGUUAGCCUGACCCCCUACGCUUGGGGUCGGGCGAGGCGGAGACUUGCGGCGGGGCGUCGGACGCUCCCGACACUAGACCUGCGGUCGCGCAAGGCGGAGCUUGGUCUUCCGGGGGUCGGGGGUGCCGGACCCCAGGAUGCGGGGUCGGGCGAGGUGGAGCGUAAUUCUUGCCUCCCAUGUUGGGCCGAUGGCAGUCUUUGUUACCUCUAGUGGGCUUGGGCCUUUAUGUUUUGUUGUUUCCAUGGGCUUCGAGAGGUCGUUAAUAUUUCCCCCCAACAGUAGCCCCCGAGCCUGUGGUGGAGUGGGGGCGCUCCUCCGGAGGCUACUAUCAUCGCCCCUAGGGAAUCCUCGCAGUUGAUCCGGGAUAGGAGGUGUUGUUUGCACGGCUUGACCGAGGGGGUCGAUUAGGCGACGCAUCCUGUGAGCGACUCGGUGCGGGAGGGUUUCUUGUUGUUCCCUUCUGUCUGAGAGCCUUAAGUCGAGACCACCUGCGUGGCCUUUGGUUGCAAGGCCAGCCCCCGAGCCCCCGCACGUUGCAGGGGACCGGUCGGAGGCUAGGUCGACUUUUGUUCAUUACCCUCAAGCGUCUGUUCGCUAGGACGGAGGGGGCGAGCCGUGCCAUGCUAUCCUCAUCGGACGAACCAUGGUGCUCAUUGAGUUACUAACGGGUUGAUUCGAGUGGGAUCCCGGUCCCCGUUCGGGGGGGGUCCGGCUUGGGCCAAGCUGGUGGCGUACCCCAGGCUCCGGUCGGCCAGUUCAUAUAGUUCCUGAGUCCGUUCGGUCGGACCGGGGGCUCAUUGCCUUUCUUCGGGGAAAAACCAUGAACUUUGAUGCCGGUCCAGACUCGAAUGUGAGAUUGAGACGCCCGGGGCUGUCGCGUGCCCGGGUGAUGGCCGCUAGCGGACCCGUCUCCUCUCACCCCUCACUCGGGGGUAUCCUGAGGCGGCUGUCGAACCCGUGGCGGGCCAGCCUUCGAACCUCUGGAUCGUAAUGGGCCGUAGGGGCGUUUUCAGCCCCGUAUCCCUUUUUACCUUUUGGUGGGCCUUGGGCCGAAUCAUGGAGGAGGUCGGGCCUUGGGCCGGAUGCGGAGGAUGUCGUGCCUUGGGCCGGAUGUGGGGGACGUCGUGCGUGUCUUCCGGGAGACGAAGUGGUGGAGGGUGCCAACCCGCGAAUCGAGGGAGGAGGGGAUGUUUCUACUGCAGGUCAUGCGCACGGUUUCCGAAAAGGCAGCGGGCGUGACGGGACGUACCUCGCGCCGCAUUUAUUGCGAUGGGGGCGUCUGUUCUGCUUCCCUCGUGCCUUCCCUAUAAAACGAGGACUUCGCCUCGCCGGUUCCGCCCGCCAUCUACCUUCAAGCCUUUUCGCCUCCUCGCGCGCCCUUAGCUUUCCUGUGCCCGCUUCGUCUUCCUCCGCCCAGUGCCGCGCCCUUUCUCCCCAUCCGCCGUCGAGUUCUUCUCCCUCCGGCGAUGGGAUCCUGGGCGCGUUCCCACUUCGGCCCCUCACGCGCCGAAGGCCUAGUGAGGAAAGGCCUCCUUUGCGAGAGGACGGAGACGGAUGAGUGGGGGUUCCCUGAGAUGGAAGAGGUGCCGACUCCGCCCACCGGCUACGUCGUUUCCUUUGCCCACUUCCACGAGAGGGGGUUUGCGACUCCGCCGAGCCUCUUCUUCCGCGGGCUUUUGUAUUACUACGGGCUUGAGCUGCAGCACCUCAACCCCAACGGGAUUCAGCACGUCGCGGCGUUCGUUGCGGUGUGCGAGGGGUUCCUGGGCAUUGAGCCCAACUUCUCGCUGUGGAAGUACUUCUUCACGGUCAGCCUAUACCAGAAGGCCGAGAAGAGGGGAAGCCAGCAGCGGUCGACCCCGGUGCCGAUAGGGUGCGUCGGAAUCCACCUCUGCCAUACUCGCGCCAAGGAGUAUAUCGCGAUGAAGACCGCGGCAUCCCACAAGGGGUGGCACCAGCAAUGGUUCUACGUGAAGAACUACUCCAACCCCCCCUGCCGGAGUUCACCGGCCGCAUUAUUGAAGCGGCGCCGGAGGUGUGGGUGUACGGCCCGGUGGAGAAGGAGAAGAAGCGGAUCACCGGCCUGCUGCAGGCCAUCGAGCACCUGAAGGAGAGGGGACUGACCGGAGCCGGAGUCAUCGGGGCGUACCACGCCCGGCGGGUGGCGCCGCUGAUGCUCCGGGUCCGCUCGCUCGCCGACAUGACCCCCGGUGCUCUCACCGAUGGCACUGUCCUCGCGACGGGUGCUCUCGCUGCCUCCGAGAUCCGGCAGCGGAUCCGGGAGGCGCUGGAGGACAAGGACGCCGAUUACCCGGUGCCCGGCCACCCUCCGAUGCGCCCGGACGAGAAUUUCAUUGAUCUGGUAAGGAUUUUGCGCGCCAGUUUCCCUCUCUUGCGUUUCUUGGUAUGCCGUUCUGACGCGAGGCCCUCUGUGUUUGCAGGGUAGCAUGACCCGGGUCGUCGACUUGCGUCCGCCAGUGUCGGAGGACGCCGAGUGGCGGUAGCAGAACCGUCUCCUUGCCGAGAAGCAAAAGUGACGCAAGGACAAGAGACAGCGAAGAAGAAGAAGAGGGCCGCCAAGGAGUUCCAGCGGCGGCGGUGGGGAUAGGUCGUGUCGGAUGACGAUGACGAUGAGAAGGAGGAGGAGGAUGACGAGGAGGAGGAGGAGUUUAUCCUGUCCCCCCGGUCAGGGGCGCUUGUUAUCCGGGAGCCGCGCUCCCAAGCGGCCAUGGGGGACAAGGCGGGCGAGCUGCCUGCCCGGACCCGAUCCUGCGAAGCUUUGGGGGCGCGCCCCAGGGGUCGGCGCAGAGCGCCCCCCGGGGGUCGACGGAGCCGACCCCCAUCCCUACACCUGCAGCCCAGGAGCAGAGGAGCAGCGACAAGCGGCCGUUGCCAGAUGCCCCGGGGUCGGCGUCCAGCUCAGAGGCGAAGCGCGCGCGCCGCCCUUGCGCUGGGGGAACGUGAGUUGAAUUUCCUUGCGAAUCUCGUUCCUUUCCAUGCAUUGUGUUUGUUUCCGCUGAUGCUGUUUGUUGUCUCACAGCACCGCCCCUCAAGGCCUUGUCCCGCCGUUGGCGCCAAAGAAGGCGUUGCGGUGUUGUCGCCUCUGCGGGGCGGACCGCGGCUCCGCCGGCGGCGAGUGGCGGGGUCACUGGUGAGACCGCGGGUCCUACCGCGGAGGUGGCCCCUGCGGCGGCAACCGGUGGAGUGGUGCCACCGCCGGGCAUGGGACAGGGUCUGGACCCCGCUCCGUCCUCCGCCUCUUCGGCCGACCCCGCGGUGCAGAGUAUCGCUCCUGGGGGCCCUCAGGCCGGGGAGGUGAUUGACCUCGACGCCGACGAGGUGGAGGAGACGGCGGCGGUGGAGACGGGGGCGGUUGCCCCAGCGGCCAUGACGGGGACGACGACGGCGACGGGGGAAGGAGAGUCUACCCCCGCGGCCACGGCGGGGACAGUGGCGACAGAGGAGGCGGGGACGCCCGCCCCGGCGGCUGCGACGGAGGAGGCGGCGGUGACGGAGACGGGGGCUUCCGCCCGGGAAGCCACAGCCGAGGUGGCAGCGGCGACGGAGGUGAAAGUGCCUGUUCUGGAGGCCACGGUGGGGGUGGGGACGCCUGCCUCGUGGCCACGACGGAGGGCGAGGCGGCCCCAGGGACACUUGCUCCGGCACCCGCGUUGGAGGCGGUGGCGCCGACGGGUUGGCCCGUGGCGGCCUCGACGGGGGCGGGGGUGCGUGCGCCGGGACCGUCGGUGAGGCCGGCGACUUCCGGGAUGGUGGUGCCCGUCUUGACGGCGGCGGCGGCGCGGUCGGCCCCCGCCCUUGCCUCUACCACUCCCAUUCCCAAGGCGUGGAGCGGAUCCGUCCUGCGUUGGUCGUCUCGUGACGACCCGCAGAGGCCCCUCUUCACGUUGGAUGAUGCCACAGAAUGGGGCAAGUGGCAGGCGCUGCAGGGCGGACUCGCUAACGUCCGCGCCGCUCUAUCUUCGGCGUUGGGGGAGCUGGACGGCGUCAUCUUCCCCGGUGGCCGGGUAUGGUGCUUUCUCCGUUGGUUAUUUUCUUCCCGUUACUUCGUCCCUGAUGGCACAUUGUUCUGCAGGCCCUCCAAGAAUGUAGCCGGGGAAAAUCUGAUUUCCUUUGGCUCGAGCAGGGGCUCUGGGAGCGCUUCAACUUGGAGUUGCAGCGGACCGGGGAGCUGACCAUGCAAGUCGCCACCGUCUAGCAUGUCAUCGACGAUCUGCGAAGGCACGAGCAGGCGGCACAGGAGGACGCGCGGCGGGCGGAGGCCAAGUUCCAGGUCGUUGCCGAAAGGGCUCGCUGCGACCGCGAGGAGUUCCAGGCCGUUGCCGAAAAGGCCCGCCACGACGCUGAGGAGCUCGCACGGCUGAAGGUGCAGCAUGAAGCUCUUCAGAAGAGCGGCAGAGGGCCUGGCAGGACCGGGACGCCGAGAAGGUCCGGAAGGAGGAGGCUGAGAAGGUGGCGGCCAACCUUGGGGCUGAGGUCAGCCAGCUCCAAGUGCAAGCGCGAGAGCUUCAGGCCUCCGUGGCCCAGGGGCUCGACCAGGAGCGCCAGCUGAAGGCCUAAUCCGAGGGUAUGACUCUGUUUAUUUCUUUGUCUUUGUGAUGUUGCGGUGAUAUUUUAUUUGGCGGGUUCUUCUGGAUGAUCCUUGCAGAUGAGCUCAACUGGCUGAGGGAGGUGCUUGACGCGGAGCGCGCUGAGCACGGCGACCUGCGGGACGCGGUCCGCGUCAUCUGUGACUUCCUUAGUGUGGUCCAGGGGGAGGGGACGAGCUCGCUGGCGGCUCGUGUCCUCGGGACGUACCGCCGGACCAGCGAGAUCGCCCUGGAAGCGCUUCGCACCGGCUUGAGGCAAGCCUUUGGGGUCUUCGGCUCCCACUAUUCCGGCAUCAACUUCGCCGGGAUGAGCGGGGGAUACGCCACCGGCUACUACGAGGCCGAGCUGGAUGAGAUCGACGUGUCGGUGCUCAGCCCGGCGGAGGCCUUGGUGAAGCUCCUCGAGGAUGAGGCCGUCCCGCCCGAAGAUCCCCGGACGAGUUAACUAUAUCGGGCUGGCGCCCCAGAUGUAAAUACGUUAGGGAAAGACUUGUUUUUUGUGAGGGCCGUAGAGGCCUUUUCUAUGAAUUGUCGUAAAAAAGUUUUUGAUUCCCUUUCUUGCUUUUUGGACUUGGAAAGUUUAGAGCACGUUGUCGGGCGUGUCAGUAAGCUUUGAUGAGCGAAGGCACCGUAGCCGCUGGGGCGUCGUUUUUUUUGCAGUCCGAUCAAUCUUGCCUGAACACCGUUCGUGCACUUUCUCCUUUUUAUGCCCAAAAGUUCAGAAAGAGGGUCGGCUCGGAAAGAGAAAGCGUUUUGAGAGGGUGUCAAGUGGCUUAGGUACUUGCGGCAGGUUGCGUGGUGGACGCGGAUAUCCUUCUCCCUGACAGAUCUGCGGCGCAUUUAUGGUGAGAUCAACAUGGGGACCCACAAGACCCGCGCCCAAGGCGGAUACUUGUCUGGAGGGCCCGGGUUAGCCCGACCCCCUACGCUUGGGGUCAGGCGAGGCGGAGACUUGCGGCGGGGGGUUGGACGCUCCUGACCCUAGACCUGCGGUCGGGCGAGGCGGAGCUUGGUCUUCCAGGGGUCGGGGGCGCCUUACCCCGGGAUGCGGGGUCGGGCGAGGCGGAGCGUAAUUCUUGCCUCCCAUGUUGGGCCGACGGCAAUCUUUGUUACCUUGGGUGGGCCUGGGCCUUUAUGUUUUGUUGUUUCCAUGGGCUUCGAGAGGUCGUUAAUAUUUCCCCCCAACACUAUGAGGAGGACUUGUGGGCAGAAAGUCAGCUACCACAAACUUGCCUCUGAAUAUUUGGAGUGCAAACAUUGGAUGGUGGUUGUGGAGAGCCCCAGCCAUACCUCGCACCCGUGGAGAGGUAAUUGUCGGAUUGCUUGGUUCGUCUCUAGAAUGCGACAAGGUCAGGCGCCACCUCUCACUGCUGCCAGUCAGAAGGCCGAGGGGCCAGUUUCAACAUAGUAAUGAGAAUCUCCGAAGGCCAAUAUGGUUAAGCAGCUAACCUCCAUGAUCAUAGACUUACGUUUAGAAAAUAGGAGGCUUAGCGAUGCGUUAACAGAGCAGAAGUUAGAAACAGAAGAACUUAAGGACGACUUCCGUGUCCUCCGCCUUGGUCUUUGUGCUAAGAUAAAGCGCUUGUACAAUGCCACGGGGAAUGACGGUCUCUACGAUGCAGCUCAAUAGACGUGCCCCUUGUAUCCUUUCCUUUAGGCACUUUAGAAUAUGUUUAUUUGUUUUCCUUCAUUUUAAUUUCCAAUAGAUUGUUAGCGCCUCCAAUUUAAUUUCAAUAAAGUGUAGACUCACCGGUCAUCCAACUUGAUGGAGUCCUUUUGUCACCUAGUUGUCUUUGGAAGAAGUAGCUGGGUACAAAAUAAGUGUGGGGGAGAGCCACAGACUCUCUAGAGCUGAAACAAUGCACAACACCCACAAAUAGAGAAAACCACGCUGCACCAGCACGUACGUGAAAGUGGAGCCAGAGCUGGACCCAUAGGGGUUUGGCCAACCCAAGGGGUGGCCCACUCGGGCCAUCUUCAUCCACCGCGUCGGUUUGUGUCUCUUUACCCCUGAUCUCCCUGAUUCAUGAGUUUGAAUGAAUUUUAAAUCUGAUCAACUAAUUCAAACUCAACUAAAAUGAAUCAACUGCUCCACCUGCUCUACAUGUUUUCUAUGGUUGGCUUGCAUAUGUUUUAUUUCAUGCUUAUCAUCUUGAUGCUUGUGAACAAAUAUCUUUAGGACAGCAUGCUCAUCUAAGUAGUUGAUGUGUAUGAUAUGGUUCGAUGAUAUGAUCUUCACUCUUAAUGCUUAAGUGCUUGGGAAAAUCUAUUUGAAAAUUUAAAAGCCUUUUUGAAAUCUCCUCUUUGAUGUGCCAAAGUCCUACCAAAGCCAUAUGAUAAGUUAUCUUGAAAAACCAUUUGCAUAUGUUGCUUGUCUUUGCAUUGAGCUUUGUCAAAUUGGUGUGACCCUUGUCACAAUUCUUUUCAUACUUUCAUGAUCAAGACUCAUGUGCACGCCAUAUACCCCUUGCUAUGCUUCUAUGAGAUGUUAGCAUUGUACCAUCCAUUCAUUCCACAAAAUAAAUGCUCCACCAUAUGUGUUGGUCUCCUUCUAAGAUUAUUGUUACAAAAGAGAUAUGGGCUAUCAAAAAAAAAUAUGAAUGUCCAAGAAAGUUGGACACAUGAAUGUCCAAUAAAAAGAAAAAGAAAGAUAGCCAUGUCCUCAGAAAUAUUUACAAAGGGAGAGAGAUCAUACAAAAAGGAGUUUCCAUUCCAUCCACCACAUCCAUACAUGUGCACAUCUUGAUCUGAUUGUAUGACUUAUUUUUCUCUUUGGAUCUGGUCUUUGACUUUGCAAUAUAUGUGAUGCAAGCAUGCCUUAUCCUUCAUAGCCUACCUUGAGCUCCACAUAUAGCCAUCAUUAGAAGUAGGAUGAAGAAAGGCAAGUCUAAUGCCUUGGUGAGGACAUAUACACAUUGAGUGAUCUGAGAGAAUCAAAUGAGGAGCUAAGCAAGGUUUUGUUUUGAAAACUAAUUGAAAAAUCCCAAGCUACUUGGCAUAAGGAGUUGAGGUGACUUGAUUCAAGACCAUUACAUUCCUCAACUACCCAAGAUGGCAUGAUAGACACUCCAAAGUUCACAAGUGCAGGUAUGGUUUGGAAUAUCUUUUAGGCUCGCUUCAUACCUUUGAAAGUUAUGUUUCACCUUAGUCCUUUCUCGUUCACUCAAGGAUAAGCAAAGGCUAAGUGUGGGGGUGUUGUUGAUGGCUCUUAAGUACAAAAUCUGCGCCAUCAACUCUUGCAUAAACACAUAAAAUAUGAGCAUCAACAAUAGUGGUAGGAGUUAUUACAAACGAAUUCCACAAGUCUUGGUGAAUAUUUGUAUGCAAGCCCAAUAGGAGAGAAAAGACACCUCAAAAGCAAGGAAACACACUCUCAACCAAUCAAGAGCAAGCACAUGGAACCAUGGGCCCACAACCAAAAGGAAAUCGACUACAUUCCAAACACCCUAUACCCACAUGAGAACCCAUAGGGCAGUGACCCAGAGCAAAGGUGAUGCCAGAGUGUAGAUGGUAGUUAGCAUGCCAAAUUUUGAACCGCAAGCGCUCGGAUUAGUUGUUUCUUUUCCCUUAGAGAUUCCCCCAAGGUUUAUCAAUCCAUGGAACAAGGGAUUUGCACGUUUCACUAAGCACUAAUCAAUGUAAUUGAAAGCUUUUCGAAUAAGAUAUGAUUAUGCUAACAAAGGAACUAAGCAAUCUAGAUUAAGAUGGAUAGAGAGUACAGGUUGUGAACAAGAUAGAUUAAACGCUUGUAGAUGCAAUCACCAUGCAUGAAUGAAUUAGAUCUAGGUGUUAUUGUGAGUGGUUGUGAACCAUGCCCAACACUUUCCCACCCGCAACAUUGUCACUACAUGUGGGUACUCAACUAUCGGAACAUAAGAACACAUCAAGAUGAUCAUUCUAGGUAAGCAAAUAAGCAACCCAAAGUAGCGCUGGCCAGCCUUUUCAUGAAAGAGCAUCAUCAAGAUAAGAUUGAUAACAAAAUAGAUCUCAACCAAAGGUUCAGCGAUUACAAAUCAAGAUCUUCGUAUAACCCCGAUGACAAAUAGAGGUAUUACCCCCAUGAUCUUACACAUGUUGAUGAAUUUUAGGGUAAAGGACACCCUGUAGAUCAACUGGACCAAAGAUGAUGAUGAACGGGGGCAGGGAAGGCCCAGGUUGAUCAGCCUGCGCACUUUUGAGCCGAUCAGCUCAGGGGGUUUCCUCCUCCCCUGGUGCUCCUCUUCGCGUGGCCUCCUCUGGAUCCAAUCUUCUCUUCAUUUCUCCUACUUGUGGCGGCAAUGGAUGGUGUUUGCAUGGUGAUUUCCUCUUCUCCCCAACUCUCCCUCCUUGAAGUCCAUGAGGGGGUAUUAAUAGUCUCCAAUAGGCGGCAGCUCUGGGUCAAUGUCAGUGAAAAAAUCCUAGAGAUCAUCGUACACUUCAUGCUGAGGAAACAAGAGGUUGACCGAGCCCUGGGAUAGACCAAGAGGAUCAUCCUAGAGGGUCCCAGGCUAAUCGGUCUAGGCCCUUCCUAGCCCUUCUAGUCCUCUCCUUCCUCGUGCUGGCUUUUCUCGAUGACCCUUGUCCAAAUAUCCAUGAAGCUCUAUAUACAUACCCCCUUGAUUAUGUUGUAUUUCCUGUCAAAAUACAAUGCUCCAAAAUACAACACAUAUGCAAUAAUAGGGUUAUUUCAGGUGCCAAUUGGUGGGUUAGUAUACGAAUAAGCAUGAAAAUACUGUUUAAAUGACACUAAAAGUGUGUCAAUAACGAGCACCAACAAUCCCCCCACGCUUAGAUCUUGCUCGUCCUCGAGCAAGUCUAGCGACUAAAAGAUCUUGAAUUAAACCUGAGCAAGCGAGUCAAGUACCUAGCCUUGAAACAAAAGAUUAGAGGAGCAGCAAAGAUAAUCAAAGUCUGGGUGUUCAAAGAUUUAUCUAAGCAAAGAUUCCCCUACAACUAUUAUUCAGAACCAAGUAACUUCAAAAAUCAACUACACUUAUUUUCUGGCUUUUUUCAGAGGGUUUUUCUUUCAUCAUAAAACAAUCUCCCUGCAACAAAAUUGAAAAAAGAAUUAUUUUCAAGGUGCUUACAUGUCGCUUAAAUGAAUGUUGGCUAUCCUACUUAUUUGCAAGCUCUCAUCUCUCAAAAUUCAUUCAAUUAUAUGGUGGAGUUUGGGUAAGGUUAGCUAGAAUCAACACGUAUAUUAUUGAAUUAAGAAAACCCUCUAACGGUGGCCUACCUUCCGAGCCAUUGAUCAUAAGAAUAUCCACAUAAUGUGAAGUUUUCAAGGAUGAGAAGAUAUAGAAUGGUGGACAUGUGCAAAGGCAAAGAAAUAUAGUGACUCUGAGGCACAAGCAAUGUCCUCGUCGUUGGAUUGCAUAUGGUUGUAAUGAAAAUAUGUUCCUUAAACAAGUCUAUCUUUUCUUUGCACCACUCUUGAUCUUCAUGACAGUAAAAACUCCUCCUUUAUUUCUUUCUCUCUUUUCCUAUUAUUUCUUUUUAUUUGUCUCAAUACUUUUAUUUCUUUAUUUCUUUAUUUUAAUCUCUUCUCUGAACCUCUUCUGAACACCACAUAAUAAAAAUAAGUUUUAGAUCCUUCCAGAGACCUUCCAGGAAUUUGCUACAUGAAAACCGAGGCAAGGAGACCCCAGGCCGAUUGGCCUAGCCACUCCUUUGCUCUCCUCUAGCUCUUCUUUCUGGUGAAGCUUCCUUAUCUUGUAUCUUUCCAAAAAUUUCAUAAAGCUCGACUAGAAACGGAACAGAUCUUCAUAUAAUGAGUUGUGUUCAAGGAAUUGGUAAUAAAAUUGAGAAAUUUGUGGUUCGGGUUUACGAAUUCAGUACAAAAAUAUGAUUGUUCCAAUGAAGAACUCUCAUUACUGAAUAUUGACGAGGCAAGCAUUCAAAGAUGGUAAAAAGGAUAUGAUCAAUUCUCAAAAUUAAAGCAAACCAAGAGAGAGCGAUCCUAAUUCAAUUCAAAGUGUCAAAUGUUGCUUAUGGUGGUAUGAAUAAAUAUUUUUAGGCAUUGGGUAGGAUAAAUAAAAACUCUCAACCUGGUUAAAAGAUAUUGAUCAAUCUUGUUUUUGCAGAGGUUUUAAAUAAAAAAUAAAAUUUUAAAUCACCUCCAAUUCAAAGCCUUACUCAUAAAUCAUAAUCAAAACUGAAGCACUUGAUCAUCAUAAAGCAUGGGUAUUGCAUAAACAAAUCGAUUACUAAAACUCCACAACUACGAUUUAGAAUUCAAGACAAUGCUCAUAAUCUAAAGUUGCAAAGAUAAAAUAAAAGACAACCAAGCCAAGGUAGACACUAAAAACACUUGCACGAUCCUUGAAUUUUAUUCAUGCUUCUUCUCACAAAGACGCUAAAGUAGCCAUGUAGGCCUAAGUCUUCCCAAAAGCUUAAGAAAACUACUACUUUAUCUACUUUUGGUUGAAAUAAAAAGACUAAUCUAGACUCUCACAUGAUUCGACUCGACCAAAUUAGAUCCAAAAACUCAUACGAGCGACGAUCUCCCCCCCCUCACGCUUAAAAUCUACGACCUCCUCGUCGUAGCCAUAUGGAGUACAAGGAAAAGAAGCUUGUAAACGCUCUAAUGACGCUACCCGCACUACUUGCACACGGGAUGGUUGCUGCUUCCUUCGCUUUGUUCUUCCUCAUGUUGCUGCACAUCCCGAAGAGCUUCCUCACGUUCCUCUGCAAGAACUUGAACUCGUCCUCCUGACGGCGAUCAUUAUCUUCUGCCUUUUGAUCCAGAGCUUGUAAGGCUUGCAUGAUGUCAUCGAACGCAUCGAAGAGGUAGUGGAUGUUCUUCCUGCAAGCUGUGGAACAUGUACGAUCAUGCUCCUCCGAUUCUGGCCCGUCGUCUUCUAGAUCCUUCUCUUUGCCCUUGUCUUGACGGUGGCUAUCUUGCUCCUUGCUCGCCUUCUUGCCUUCAGCCCAAUCCCAGUACGUGUUGUCAUCUUCUUCAUCGUCACGGCCUGCAGCACCCUAUGAUCCAUUGUCUAUCUUGUAUGAAAGAAUCAGAAGCUUGUUCUCCUCAGGGUGUCUUGCGCGGUGCAGCGUUUGCAAGUGCAAGACUUGCUAGUUCCUUUUACACAUUGUAAUGUUCAUUGCAUGCUCUAAUUGUUCUACAUUUGUAAUUUCUUGGUGAAGUUUGGUUACUGAUCCACUGUUUGAUUAACUCUUGGGCCCAAACACUGUACUACUUCUGAUUAGAUAUCUGUAUCUUGACUUUGACCAAAAAAAAUAUCCGGCAGUUUUUGCCAUUAAAGUUUCAUAAAUCAUCUUGCAAAAAUCGUACUAUACAACAAGGGACGGUUUAUUAUAAAAUAUACGUUCCCCUUAUCACAUGCCACUUCCACUCAAAAGGCAACGAAUCAGUUUUCAAUCCUGAGUGAGCAAUUUGCUUUUAUUACCGAUGCCUCCUAUUCCCUUGUGCACCAAGUUUAUUUUGGAUAGGGCUGCAAAAAACGACUAACCAGCUCGGAUUCUCCACCUGCAAAACCGCAUCUGCAGCAACCAACCCCACGCGGUGGAAAAAAAAACAAAACCUAGAAACCGGACGGGGGUGGAUGUGGGGCUCGGAGCCCAAGCAAAAAACGGAUCGGGAGCGCCGGAGCAGGCCAUCACCGGAUGUUAGAGAUAGAAAAUGGUUGAAGUUUGGAGUGGAAAUCAAACAAGCCUUGGAGCAAAGGAAAAAAAAAGAUCAAACCACUCAAGCAUUCAUUUGAUUUAGAAAAGAGAACAUUUGUUAAGGUGGGGAGUUGAAAUCAUCUUUUAAUUAGUUCCACGUAUCUGGUAUCAUUACAGUUGGUUUACUUGUGUAAGUAUAAGUAGCUCUGCCGAAGCCUUUGCUCCUAUAAUUUAGUAACUAGUACAAAUGGAUCAAUAGGAAAAUCAAGUUGCAAUCAUUUCUCAGCCAACCAAACCUAUGUAAAUCAAAUUAUUGUCCAUGCCCGGCAUGCACAGGUGCCUGCCAUGCAUGCAUUGUUGCUCCAUUGUAAUAACCAUUAUUGUCCAUCGAUGUUGCAGCGCAUGUGUGCACUGUGCAGACACCAAGCAUCGAGAUUAUGUACUAGUAAGGUGUUGAAAUAAUGGGCCUAGCCCAUAAGUAAUUUCAGAAUUUCAAAUAAAUCUCAAAGGCCCAUGUGGGCAAGAGGUGGAGUGGUGCAAGUCUUUAGUCCCACAUUGCUAGUCGAGGGGAGGGAUGACCAACUUAAAUAUGGAAGUUGUCUCCACUCCUCCAAGCUAUGUGUGAAGGGCGCGGGCGCGAGGCACUUGCGUGAAUGGUCCGCCGAAAUCUGGCCCCCCUUGCGGGGGCGCGGCUUCCUUUUGCCGUUUUAUUUUUUGGUUACUUGGUCGUUAAGUCAUGGAAUCCUAACCGGUUUAGAUCACGAUCGUGAAGGUUUUUGGGAAGCGCUCUGCGCGACUGCUCGAUCGCUUCUUCCGCUUCGUCAAGUUCUUCGUCGACUCCUUCACCACGGCUCGUCUACCUCUUCGUCGCUCGGGCCUCACUCGUCGUCGCGAACAACGUCAGGCUGCUGAUCGUCGUCGCCUGCUGUAUCCGGUAGUCGUCCAGGAGCCGGUUUUCAUCAAGAAAGAAACGUACGGUCUCUUAACUCACAUUAUGUCUUCCAUACUAGCUAUUAUGAUUGUUGCAGUCUGAUAGCUCUGGAUAGUAUGGUAGAAUGUCUGAUUCUAUUUGCAAUGAUAGACUUGUCUAGAUCUUGCGUAGACAUGUCUAGUUUAAUCUGCUGCUUGUUCAUCAUAUUCAUGAUUUAUUUCUGGAUUAAGUUAAAACUAAAAGUGCUUAUAUAUCCAACAUAAGGUACCAAGAACACGUGAAGCACCCGGGGGAGGCUGCUCCACUCCGCAUGCACAGGUGGGCACGGCACCACUACUCGUCUCCUUCAGGCUGAGGAUAAGUGAUGUACGCUGAUCAACAGACCACGACGGAACCAGCAAUAAUAGUUUCAGCCUGCCUCACAGUAAUUAAUAUAUCCUGUAUCCUCCGAGGACCCCUCCCCUUAAUCUUGGCCUAUUGCAUCCAAUAAUGAUAUGUGUGUUUAUCCAAAUUUACGGCACCUUUGGCGGGGGUUCCACCCAGCUCCGCCCUCUCCACCUUCGGUACUCCAUGGGAAACCAUUCCUUUGGAAUCAAGGAAGCUUGAACAGUAUAACGAAUAAAGUUUCAUAUAUCCAUUUGAUUUCACAUGAAAUAAAAUAUUCUGUCAGAACCAAUGGUUUCACUGAAGCUCCAGGCAGCGAGCGAAGGGGUGAGAGAGGAUAACGCUUACUGUGUGUUACCAUCGCGUGCACCAUGGAUGACCAACGCGCAGCCGAGAUGAAACGGCGGACCUAAACAGGUCCUCGCUAUUUUUGCAGGUUCUCGACCAGGCCAGUUCUUUAGGCCAACCUAUCAUUCACGAGUUAAACAUACGGUGGCUGGAGAAAUGUUCUAUUCUUUUAAACAAUACCAGCUGGUUCCUCCGUUUUUAUUCCACCAAUACAAGCACCACCUUGUAACAUUUCCUAUGUUUUUUUUCCUUUCGUCUGUUUUCUCACUACAUGCGUUGCUCUUUCAUGCAUUUUUUUCCAUUCCUGUAUUCCAAAUAGGUCUACAUGAACACAAAAUGAACUAGGGGACAGAAAAAGCCAGUGAAGUUAGUUUUGAGCUUCACCAGCUACUUGCUACAUAAAGUGUGCUAUAGUCGCAGAAAAGCUAAGCUGGAUCAGACGUGGCCGAAACAAUGCCAAAGAGCUAGGUCCCUAGCUGAUGGCAACACAUCAGAUGACUAGCCUGCUUUUCUGUAAUAAUGAUAUUGAGCAAUACACUGCAUGGCUAACCUGCUUUACAAUAAUUGUCAUUUUAUAAUAUUGGUCAUCACGAGAGAUGCACAUUGCAUACACCGGCCCAUCCCUAUAAAUAGCCAAGCCUUUCAGCCAUCUUGGGCACCUCCUCUCAGGGCCUCGUCUCACCAUCAGACAUCUCGUUCCCAGUUAUAAUUUGCGAGGUUAGAUCAGGCUGCGCCAUGGCGUCCGCAACUGCUGUCAAGAUCGUCGCCACCUUCAUGCUGGUGCUGACCAUGGGCCACCUGAUGGCCGAAGCAUCACCGCAGCCUCGGCGUGUGCUUGCAGAAACGGAGCAUGCUGCGGUGUCCGGGAAUCCUGGCCUCCCAGGUGAUGCUAGCGUCAUGCAGGUCCUCGAACCCGCCCUAGUUUCUCGGCUUGCCUGCAAACCAGAGUGCACAGUCCCUUGGCCUCCUUUUGUAUGUAUCUGCUAGAUCCUCUUCCUGGCUCAACGGAACUUCAGGGAAAUGGCUGUGACGUCGGCCAAAGAAUAAAUUGGAUGAACAUAAUAUACCCCGGGUAGUGUAGCUUGGGCUUUUGUUGAGCGUCUGGUGCUAGUUGUAUUUUGUUUGCUCAUGUGGCUUUGCUUCUGGUUGCAUAUUGGCUUUCCUAUCGCUCUCUGUUGCAGCUAUGGUUUCUGCCAGGUGUGUGUUAAUGCGGUUUGUAAGCGGUGCUUGUUCCUACCUUCUGUUUUCAAUAAAAGAAGUCGGAGUCUCCCUCCGACUCUUGUUAUCAGUCAACAAAAAUGAGUUGUAUCAUAUAUAUCUGCGUCUUUUUUCUACGUAUCUUUGGGCUGCUUCAGCUGGAAGUUUAUCGUAAGUACGUGUAUCAGGAUGAUCGUUUGAAUUAAAACGAAAUGAUAAUGUGUGGCUGCUAGAAAUGGAAUGAGCAUCUUACUAUAUUACUAAUUGGAAGCCUCCACGUGAAGCCACCUAGAAAUUCUAGGUGGACGUUUUAAAAAAAACAAAACUCAUAGAAGCCUCCACCACCUAGGAAUCCUAGGUGGACACUCUAAAAAGAGACAAAUCCUAGAAAUUCUAAAAAAAGAAAAAAAUAAUAACAAUAAGAUUUUUUUGCAGUCAAUUACAUAUAUUUUUUUGAGACACCGUGCUGCUAGCUCUUGCCAUUGCGACCAGUAAAGCAAGCAGAUAGUAAGAUGACAUGCGUGUGGAUUGAUUAAAACAAAUUCAGUUAGUUGAUUCUAAAUCGUAUGUAUCCUAAAAGGAAGAUAUGUGCGUGCAUGGUCCCUAGCGAUGACAUGUAGACAUGUAUUGCAAUUUCUUUUUUAAAAAACAUGUCUAUCUCUAAACCAACAAACAGAAAAAAUAUCAAUCUAAAUCUAAAUCUCUUCCGUUCUCACACGCCUAUUAAAGAGAAGACAACCAAUCCCAUCCAUGUUCCAUAGAAUCCAUCUAAAAGCUUGCUCACUGCGGACGGCAUUUGACGGCAAAUCAAUGAAAGAUCAUCCUCUCCAAAUAGCUGGACGGCAUCACCAUCUUUAUCUCACCAACCUACAGAGCUACAACGAUGUUGUAGAGAUCAACUAGGUAACCUACCAAUCACCCUCCCCUUUUCUAUAUGCUCUAAAGAACACGUGGAGUAAUUAUAGGCCUAUAGGAGCCGACUAACCUAGAUUAAUAUGAAAAAUAUUCCAAUAUUAAAAGCAAGCAGAUAGUAAUACUUGCCUUUGACCAUUUUUCUAGAACUGUUAUUCCUAUUGAAUGUUCAAGUGCUACGGCCAGGCAUCGAAUGCCUGCACGGAACCUUCCUAUUGAAUGGUUACUCUAGAGAUCAACGCACCGCGAGACAUUUUUAUGGAAUUUGUUUGAUUCCCCUUCUACAAUUAGAUUAAUUUUUCAUGGCAUAUAUUACUACUAUUAAAUUAUUUGUUUAUUGUCGGGCCUGCUGCAUGUGUGGUAUAUAUGACUUGCUUCUCACCAUUGUUCUCAAACUAUUAUUCCUAUCGAAUCUUUCUAUCGAAAUAUAUUUUAAUUACUUGAUUGUUGUUUGUGUACCAUAACUUCUGUAUAGAAAAAUUCCAUGUUUGUAGAUAAUGUCUUUUGUAUAGAAAAAUAGCCCAAUUAGAUCCAUCACCAUCUUUUGCUUAUGUAGUUGAACAAGUUGCAAUGUUGAACAAAACUUUAAGUGAAAUUAGACCAGGAAAAGGAAUUGUGGAACAUUAAGGCAAGGGUAACCAGAUUGUGGAAUGCAACCUUACUCAGUAGUGGCGAACAAUUAAGUCUUGACAUGAUCCUUAUUGAUCAAAAGGUAUGAUAGAUGUUCACUUUGAUUGCAUUAUUGGUAUAAUUUUUGGUUUACAAAUUAUUAAUGAUGAUGCAAAAUUAGGGAACCAUGAUCCACGGUGUUAUCAAUAAGCCCUAUAUGAAAAAGUUCAAACCAUUGAUUGAAGAAGGCAAUGUGUACAUAAUUGCAAAUGUCAGAAUCACACCAGAACCACAGAAGUAUCGGCCAGUGGAAAAUGACAGGAUAGUCAACUUCUUACCCACAACUGCACUAAAAACGAUCAAAGAUACUGAAGACAUUCCAAAGUAUAGUUUUAACUUCAUGAGCACGGAUAUGCUUUCAGCAAGAAUAAAUGUGGACAUGUACCUAUUAGGUAAAACAUUACUGGCUUUUCAAUUUUUACACUUCCACUCAUUAAAUGACCAUCUAAUAAUAAUACAUAUUUAUGUUUCAUAGAUGUUAUAGGUAUCUCAGCUCACAUUGGACCGAUAGAAGAAACAAGGACAAACUUCGGAUUUACUAAAAUCCGUGAUAUUGUGCUCCUGAUCGAGUAAUUCUCUUUUCUUUUGUAGAAAACAACUACAAAACUUUCAACAUUUACAUGUAUGUUAUAGAACUUCUGUUGAACUAAAAAAUAUCUUCUACAGUGCCCCUACAAAUAAUUAAUUUCGUAGUUGGAUAUUUAAAAUAUUUAUUAUUCACUUUUAAAUUUGUGGCCAUGAAGUUAAAGUUAGAUUUUGGGGAGACAAAGUUGAGGAAGUUGAUGAUAAGACAAAAUCCCAUGUCAUUGCAAUAACAUCUACAACUGUGAGUAAAUUUGGCAGUAAGUCUUCAUUCAAUAUGAGUUAUUCAAUAUUAGUCAUUCAACAAACUAACCUCGUAAGAAAAAUAAAUAAUUGAUGUUUUAUCAGGGUAUUCUCUAUCGUCAACCAAUGCAACAAAACUUUAUGUAGAUCUACCUAUUCCUGAAACUAAGGAUGCACAUGAUAGGUGAGAAAAAUUAGAUAUUGUUUUUCUAUUUUAAUCUAUGUAGCAUGCACUCUAACAUGAUACAUUCUUUCAUAUGAUAAAAAAAUGUUAGUUCAAUUGAAAAUAUUGUCAAAGAGAUUCAUAUUGAGGACCAUCUAAAAGGGACAUUGGAAGACCAAAUGCAGUACAAUAGAAGAACUUUAGAAGAAUUAAAUUUCAUAUUAUUUGAAACAUCAAAUCAGGUAUGGAUUAGUAUGUUCAUUGUACACUAUACUAUUUAAAGACUUACAUACAUAAUGAUGGUAUUGUUCCUACUUUCAGGAUGAGGUAUUUACUAUUGAAGCAACAAUAAAUGAAAUUAAUGCAACAUAUGGUUGGUUGUCACACCCGAUUUUAAGGACAAAAUUGAGUGCAUUAAAUACAUGUGCACCAGGAUCAAGUUACACACAUCCUAUGAGUACCGUCCUUCUUUGGCACAAAGAUAACCGGUGCUCCCCAUGGUGAUGAACUAGGCCGAAUAAACUAUUUUGCUGAUAAUUCCUCUAGUUGUUGUUUCAAUUCUUUUAAUUGUUCAACCAACAUUCUAUAAGGACGUUUGGAGAUAGGUGCAGUACCAGGUAAAAGAUCAAUAGCAAAUUCAAUGUCGCGGUCAGGUGGCAUACCUGGUAAAUCGUCGGGGAACACAUCCGGAUAGUCACACACCACUUUGAUAUCUUCCAAGGAUUUUCCAGCCAACUGAUUAACUGCACAAUCUGCUGCUGAGGGUAGAGUAGCUACAAACUCCACUUUCUCUCCAUCAGGACCUGUUAGCAGAACUGUCCUCUUGGCACACUGAAUCGUUGCAUCAAAAGCGGCUAACCACCUCAUCCCCAGAAUUACAUCGAUUCCACUGGACUCAAGGACGAUAAGAUCAGCCGGAAACUCUAUACCCAUUAUUCUCAGUUUAACUUGUGGACAGAUGUAUUGAGCCUUCAUUGACCCCCCAGGUGAACUCACUAGCAUAUGACGCCUCAUGGUAUGCAUGGGUAAAUUAUGCUUUGCUACAUAAUGACUAGUGACAAAAGAAUGCGAUGCUCCAGAGUCAAAUAAAACUGAUGCGGGGGCAGAGUUGACAAAGAACAUACCAAGCACUACAUCUGGAGCCUCCUUAGCAGUCUCGGCUUCCAUGUGGUUCACCUUGCCACAAACAAAGCUUUGCUGCCCCUGAUUGCCUUGUGGGGUCUGGUUCCCAUUCCUCGGUUGCUGCAUCUGAUUCUGCCGAGGAGCACUGCUGUUCUGCACGGGGGUAGCUGGCCCACCUCUCUUAGGACAAGAGCUGGCAUAGUGACCAACCUCGCCACACUUGAAGCAGGUAGGACCCACUGGAGCAUUGGGCCUUGUUGGAGUGCCAGUAGGGGUCAUCUGGCGGUUCUGCGUAAAGCUUGGGCGCGGAGUCUGCAUAGUCUGCAUCCCUGGAUGCUGGAACUGAGGGCUAGGGCGCUGGAAUGACUGCUGAGCAGGGCGCGGAAAUGAGUGCUGCCAAAAAUUCCCACUCGGGCCCCCUGCGCGGAACGGCGUCCCUUGCUGUGGAGCAAAGCGAGGGCGGGUGUUGCUUCCUGAAGACUACUGGGAAUUGAAUUUCCUCUUCAUCUCCCCGAGCUCGUUCCUCUUGUGUUCCAGGCCAAUUGCCUUGUCUAGCAUCUUCUGGAAACUGGGGAAGGUGUGCGACAUAAGCUGAUAUUGGAGUGGUCCAAUCAACCCAUCCAAGAAUAGCUCCUGCUUCUGCUCAUCAUCAGCAACAUCUUCGGGAGCAUAUCGGGACAACUGGACAAACUUGUCCCUGUACUCUGCCACUGUCAUGUUCCCCUGCUUGAGAGCAAGGAACUCCUUCUUCUUAAGCUUCAUCAAUCCGGAAGGAAUAUGAUGACUUCUGAAGCUAGUCCUGAAUUCAUCCCAGGUGAUGCCAUUAGCAUUGGCAUGGGUGGUGGUGUAAGCAUCCCACCAAUCAGCAGCUGGCCCUUCCAGGCGUCCUGAAGCAUACAGGACCUUCUCCCUGUCAGUACAUUGGGCGAUAUCCAGCAUCUUCUCCACUGUUUUCAGCCAAUCAUCAGCAUCUAAUGGAUCCGGAGAAUGUGAAAACGUCGGGGGCUUGUGGCUCAUGAACUCCCUAUGCCUGUCCCUUGGCGGCGGCUGCUGCUGGUUGUUGUUGUUGUUAUUGUUCAGCUGAGCUUGUAAAGCUGCCACGGUGUUGGUCAGUCCGGCGAGAAGCUGAGUCUGAGCUGCUAGAAACUGCUCCAUCCCUGCAGGUGCUUGUUGGUUCUGUUGCGGAGCGGUGUUGGGAUUGCUGCUGUUGUCCCUGUGGCGUGGCACUGUGGGACGGUCAACUCCUGAUCCGGACCUGGUGUUUACCAUCUGAGCGUUAGAGACAAUGGAUUUAGAUAGAUGUGUGAAAGAAUAACUGAGAAAGAUAAAGCGACCAGAUGUAAAAGUAACACAGAUUCUGUUAGCUCCAUUUAAUUAGGUGUGGUCGUCAGAAGAAGUGUCCAUAAAUUCUGAACAAUUACCAAGUCGUAACUUAUUAAAUUUGUAAACCAACCCAACUGGAAUCAUCUCAAUCGGACUUCUGGAUCUCGAGUUACAAAAUUAACAAGCUGACAGUGUCGGUCGAUAGGUUCAGAUUCUGAGUGCUUUACUAAUUCGCAUACACCUCCCAGACAGAUACACCAAAAAUUCUGAAAAAUUUACAGAUAGUACUCCACGAAAUUCUGAAACUAACCCCACUGGUUUCAUGUCAUUUGGACUUCUGUAGCUAGAGAUAUAAAUAAAAAAGUACUGGCGUGUCAGUUAAUGUCGAGAACAGAAUUGAAUGUCGCUUAGCUUGCGUGAUGGAUAGAUUUAGACAGAUGGUAGAUCAUGAUUAAGGAAGAUUAAAUACUGAUUUAGAACAGAAAUAAAACCCAACUAAGCACUUUAUUUAUUAAGACCAGUAUCGUGUGGCAAUUGCCCCACAUACCGCACUCAUUACAAAAUCCAACUCAAACAUGUAGCACAAAACCAAUCAUCUAAGCACACUUUAACUAACACACUCGAACGACGUCUAACGAUUACAAGAAUUUAAACUAAAACACUCCUAAUUUCCUAGAGGUCUUCUGCGGCGGUGCCGGGCGAGUCGUAGCGGGGACGCUUAGGCGACGGCGACGAAGCGGGAUGAACAGCAAACUCCUGCGGCGGCGGUGCUCCCGUCGCGGCAGCCAUAUUCGCAUCCCUCUCCCACCGGAGUUCCUGAACCUCCUGUUGAAGCUCCUGGAUGUGGUUGUUUGCUUCAUUCAAUGCGGUGAGAGCUGCCGACGUGUACUUGCGGAGGAAGUCUGUAGCCAUGUCAACCCCAUCGUUAGUAGCGAUGAAGGUUCUUGCUUCCCCACUAGCUCGGUAAGGAAGGAACCGAUGGUAAGUGUGCUGCAAUCGCGGCCGUUCCUUGUGGGAGACGACCUCAAGUGCCCUCCUGGCGGCCUCGGCAAUGCCGGAUUCCAUGGUCCUCCUUAUGGUCACAUCAUGGUGAAAAGCCUUCACCUCCCAUCCUCCCUCGUGCUCCUCACGAAGGACAACCUUCACCUCCCAAAAAGUGGGAUAGCGAGGGUGGGUGAACCGGGAGCACUUGUAGAGUGGCCUCAUGCCGUACCCCAAGCGGUGACAAGUCCACCUGAGUAUGUCGGCCAUGUGCACUCCUUGGCCAUAAUCUUCCUUCACCCAUUUGAUCCAUGUCUCGGGCUCGGGAUCUGCUUCGGGCUCAUCAUCCGUCAAGUCGACGACCGGUACGGGCGUCGGGGCUGGUGCAGGAGCGGGCGCCGGUGCUGGCGACGGUGCUGGUGACGGCGUGGUCUCCUGCUCCACGGUCACGGCGUCCCCGUCAGAGUCAUCCCCCGGAUGCUGGAAGAUCUCUUCCUCUUCUUCCUCGUCCCAAGGCUCCAUGGGGGCGUACGACGGCGCGAUGCCAUGACGCGGCGGACGGGUGCUCUUGCGUGCGGUCAACCGGGUGCGAGCCAUCUAACAGAAAGAAAGAAGAAAAUUUUAGAAUAAAAUUUUGAACAAAGCUAGAUAAUAAAAUAGCAAUAAGGAUGAGACAAAUCAAGUUUAAGAAUAAUUAAGUAGAUUUAAAUUAAGAAAGGUAGGAAUGGCUACUAGAUUAUUAUAAUCCUUAAAUACGACCAUUUUCUAACUAGGCUAACGUCCUACAGUCAACACGGCUCUGGUACCACUUUUGUCACACCCGAUUUUAAGGACAAAAUCGAGUGCAUUAAAUACAUGUGCGCCAGGAUCAAGUUACACACAUGUACGACAAUAGUGAAUAGUAAAGCCAGUGCUAAAUCGAAUAAAGAGAGUAUUAACCAUUAUUACAUGACCGAAUGUCUCAAAUAAACCACAAAGUCUAAUUAUUACGCAGCGGAACUCCAAAGAUGACGACGACUCCAUAGGCAGCUGACUGAAGAAACGUACGCCUAGAACUCCUCGAAGUCGUGGAAGUACUCCUCUUCCCAAUUAACUUGGUCUGAACAGCGGUUUUGCAAGGGUGAGUACACUUAUGGUUGGUACUCAACAAGUCGUGGGAAGUAGUGUAGUGUAAGGCUAAUUCAAGGUAUGGCUAAGGCGUAAAUAGCAUUCGCUUUUAAUUAAGUUGGUCAAAUUUUAUUAGCAUUUACUAAGUAUAAGUUCAUACCACCCGAAAUUAAACAUGAACAUAAAGUAAACCACAUGUGCAUGAAAUGAUAACAAAUUAAAUCCAUCUUCCGAUAAUAUUAUCAUGUGAGGGUCCAGGCCGCUCUUAACCGUGAGCACGGCUGAUUGAUCAGUUUAACACUCUGCAGAGGUGGCACAUCUUUACCCACAAGUCGCGUAAAAGUUCAAAAGAACUUUGGACCCAACCAUGCGGUGUUUGCAAGGCACCAUACCACACUUCCGAGGUGUGAUUGCAUAGGGACGCUACGAGGCCUUUACAAAGAUUCAUUAAUCAGUGGUAACCCGCUAAGGUUUCGGUGUCUGGCGUGCACCACCCAUCCCAGGUAAAAUGCAACGACUCAGUCCCCCCCCUUGAAUCAUCACGAGUAAGGUCACCCCAGACUAAGGUUUCUAAUUAAUCAGCCAAGACCAGAGCUAUUUAGUCUUGUGGUAGCACUGUUUUCCUGGGUGGUCGCUCCAUGUUCUGAUUAACAAAUAAUGAUCUUGUCUUAAUGAAAGGUAUAACAGAAAUAAGGCAAGAUUAAGCAUUGUUUUUAGUUAAACCACCAUGUACCAAGUAAGCACUAAGCAUGAGCUACCCAACAUAAAGUAAACCGGUUGGUCAAGGCAAAGGUAAAACAAUCUAGGCCAACCUUAAUUGGGACCCAUCAAUUUAAUCUUAAUAUGUGCACAGCAUAAAUGUUGAGUACGAGAAAGUAAAGGUGUAUAGGACAAAAAGGUAGUGAUCAAGGACACGACUUGCCUUCUUGGCCUUGCUCCUGCUGUUCGUACUCCUCGAAGGCUUGAUCGGCAACUCCCUCGAACUGCGGGGCGUCUACACGCAUCACACGAGCACAUACAAGCAAACAUGGGCAAAAGUAAGAAAACAGUAUACCAAACAUAGUCAAACAGAGAAAACAAGCUUGAAAAGAUGAUCUACGCUUUAAAACGAACACGCGGAUAUAAAGAACGCGAAAAACGGAGUUAAGAUGCAAAAGAUAUGAUUAAAACAAAAUCCAGGGACUUUUCUGUAAGAAAAACAAAACUUUUAGGGCCUAUCCGCGAAAACCGAGGGCUUAUACGUAAUUAUGCGUAUAAACCGAGGGUCUGAUGCGUAAAAACAUCAAACCCGGACGGCGGGUUGAUUUCUGGAAAGGUCAAGGGUUAAACCGAAAAAUGCGAGGGCAGAUCUGUAAAUACUUUCAACGCGAUCUGGACCGCGGGUUGAUUUGCGAAAAAGGCGGGGGCUAAAGUGCAAAAACUGCACGGCGCGGCUCGGUUGACCGGUACGCGAUCUUGAUUGACUCGCGUCCGGCCGUCGGAUUAAGAUCCGACGGUCGCGGUGAUCCGCGACAUCGCGGCGGCGGCGGCGAGCGGCGGCGAGCGGCGGCAAGCGGCGGCGGGUCGCCGGAGUUAGGCAAAAUAGCGCCACGAGGCACGGUUUAACGCGCGGGUUGCACCAAAAAAGAGAGGGGAACACGUCGAUCCCGUUUUGGGGGUUCUUGUCGACGGGGGCUCACCGGCGACGGCGAACGGCGGCGAGGAAGAGGCGGCGGCGCUAGGAGCUCGGGCGGCUAGGGUUUCGGGGAGCUGCGGCGCUGGUUUUGGGCGGAGGAGACUGGGAGGAGGCGGCGGCUUUUAUAGGGCUUGGAGAUAGAGCCGGCGCGGGUUCAAAUCCCCCGGAGGAGUCGGAGCGGAUGGAGUCCGGGGCGGAGACGGCGCGCGGCGGUUGCGGAGUUCUGACCGGAUUCGGCCGGAGGUGGGAGACGAUGGGUGGGGUCCACCCGUCAGUGGCGGAGGGGAGCGGUAGACGGGCCGGCGCGACCGUGGGCUGGCGCGCGCUCGUGGGCUGCGGGGAGCGGGAGAGAAGCGGCGAGCGGGCGCUGGCGGAGCAGGCCGAGCGGAGGUAGAGCUGGGCCGCGGAGAAAAAGGAGGAGGCCGGCGGGCUGCUUCGCAGGCCGGUAAGGAUGAGGCGGCCGGGCCGAAGAAGAAAAAGAAAAGGAGGGACAAGGAGCUUUCGGCCGAGGGAAAAGAAGAAGAAAAAGAAAAGGAAGAAGAAAAGGGAAAAGGUUUUGGAAUUUGAAUUUAAAUCUGAAAUUCAAAAUUUGAUUCAAACUCAAGCAACCAAAAAUUAUGCUCCAGCAUGAAUGCACAAAUAAUUCCUAUGAUGAAUUAAUUGAAUUAAAGAAAAUGAAUUUAAAUGCCUAGAAAUUAAAUAACACCCUAAUUUGAGCAAAUUUUAAUGAAUUUGAAUUAUUGAAAUUUUGGGUGUUACAUUGGUACUACAUCUCAUGUAGUAGAGGCGAUUGUAAGAAGCAACUUGAAAAGAAGUUUGAUCACUACUAUUGCAAUAAAUGUGACAAGAGAGCCGAACCUAAAGCCCAGUAAAUUAUUUAGUAGUUUACAAUCUUAUUAUAAUACUUCUAUUUCUAAUAGGAGAAUAAUAUUUUCAGAUUCAAAUUAAGCUUCAAAUAAGUGAUCCAACAACAAGUGCAACUUGUGUACUUUUGACAAGGAAGCAGAAAUGAUAAUUAAUGAAUGAGCAGAUUCGAUGAUCACCUCAGUUGAUCAUGAUAAUAAGUAGCUACCAAAAUCAAUUCAGGAAAUAUGUGAAGAAACAUUGAUUUCUCAAUUCAGAUUGACCGAGUACAACUUGACAAGUUUUAGACCUGAUUAUACUGUUUCAAAGAUAUUUUUUCCAAAAGAAAAGGGCAGUUCAAGAAUUGGUAUGGAAAGUGUAAAAAAGGUAACACUUUAUUAUUAAUUUUUUAUUGCACUUUUUUCUUUUGAAUCCGUAAUACUUAAUAAUUUUACUAUAUCAAUGAAACAAAUUCUAACCUAAAUUUAUUUUCUUUUUUAUUAUUUGUAGGAAGUAGAAGACAACUCAGACAAAUGCUACACGAUAACUACCGAGAAUGAAGAGGUAGACACUGAUGACUCUUUUACCGAGAAAGUAACAUUCGUAGAAGAAGCCAUAAGGACUGGGGAAAGAUUGGCUAGAAAAGUAUACUCACUUCCAUGUCAGUGUUCAUUCUAUUUACAAUACAUGCAAAAAAAAUAUUAUUCAUGCAAAAUUGCAGGUCUACUAAGCAUUAAAGGAAUAGCGGAUAGUGCAAUAUGUAAUCUGAGCAGCAUGCAUUACAAAGUGCUCUACUGCAAUUAAAUUAAAAAACAUGAUAUAUGUUGAAUUCUUAGACUUUAUUAUUAUACUUUUCUACGUGACAAUUCACAAUUUUUUAGAAAAAAGAAGAUCCCAGAAGAAGUGACCAUGAAAAAAGGUCUAUGACCAGCAAUAAGAAAAAAUGCAAGCAUAGAAACAAAUCCGUAGAAAACAUAGAAAAUAAGGUACUCCAUAAACAAAAGUAUUCUCUUAUAUUUUUAUUAAAUAUUUUUUUAACACUUGACAAGUUCUUUUUUAGGAUCAAUAUAUCAGCAAUUCAGAUGUCAUUGGAGAUGAAACCUUAGUUCAUCCAAAAGGUCAAAAAAAAACAUCUGAAGAAAGGUGUUUGGCUGAAAAGGAAAAGCAAAAAAGUGGUAAUGCAGACAAACACAUGCAGAAAAAUAUAAAAACAUGUCAUAGGGAGGCAGACCAAUCUUGCAAGGAGGUAUAGACGAAACGUGAUACACGACCUGCCUACCUUGUCGUGGAUACCCCAAGAAGAUGUCAUAGAGGUGCAGACCAAGCUAGCAAGGAGGUCGAAACGUGAUACACGGCCUGCCUACCUUGCCGUGGAUAUUAGCCCUGAGAUCAUUCUACUGUUCAAGGAAUAACACUCAAUGCUGCUGCUGCUGCUGACCUGGCUCCAUAAAGUUAUACUCCUCUAGGUGCUUGCACUAACUUUAUCUGAAGUAUUAUUCUCUCUGCACUGUAUAUAUGGUUAUGGAGUUUGCUGGAGUAUCCGGGGCGAAGAACCUACAUAAUACGUCUUGGAACUAAUUGACAUUGAUUCACAGACAAACUCUACAAGGUGCUGUUCUUGCCAUUUUAGAGCAUCCAAAGGACUAUAAAUAACAUAGUUUACCAUAUACCAUAUACCAUAUACCAUAAUAUGUUAGCUAAAAUAAGAGCAUACACAUGUUGCAGGAGUCCAAAAGCACCGGUUGAGGACCAGGUACAUUGAAUUACUAGAAAAAGACAGGGGACAAGGUUUAGGUAACCACAUGAAACAUUUGAAUUUAUUGUACUAUGAACACUUAGUUACCAUGCCAGGAGCACAUAGUUAACACUAACAUUUAGCCACUUUAGAUCAUCCCGAAUCACCAAUGACCCUCAAUAGUGACAAAUUUUGGUUUAAAUGCCAUCACCAAUGAUCCUCAAUAGUGACGUAUUUAGGUUUAAAUCCCGUCACUAAUAACCCUCAAUAGUGACCUGUUUUGGUUUAAAUCUCAUUACCACUGAUCCUCAAUAGUGAUGUGUUUUAGCAAAACAUGUUAUCAAUGACUUGUCAUUGGUGACGUGUUAAAACGCGUUAUCUCAAUGGCAAAUCAUUGGUGACGUGUUAUCUCAAUGUUAUCAAUGUUCUAUUCUUUUCAACAAUACCAGCUCGUUCCUCCGUUUUUAUUCCACCAAUACAAGCACCACCUUGUAACAUUUCCUAUGUUUUUUUUCCUUUUGUCUGUUUUCUCACUACAUGCGUUGCUCUUUCAUGCAUUUUUUUCCAUUCCUGUAUUCCAAAUAGGUCUACAUGAACACAAAAUGAACUAGGGGACAGAAAAAGCCAGUGAAGCCAAUUUUGAGCUUCACCAGCUACUUGCUACAUAAAGUGUGCUAUAGUGACGUGUUUUAGCAAAACAUGUUAUCAAUGACUUGUCAUUGGUGACGUGUUAAAACGCGUUAUCUCACUGGCAAAUCAUUGGUGACGUGUUUUAAAAAAACAUGUCACCGUGAGAGUCAUUGGUGAAGGGUAAUUAAAAUGCGUCACUAAUGUUGUAGCAUUAGUUAUGAUAAUUUAGUAACGCAAAAAUCUACCAUCAGUAUUGAGCUUUAGAGCCAUCGCUAAUGUGGGUUUCUUACAUAGUGAUGCAAGCUCUACAAGGUGCUGUUGCUGCCAUUUUAAAGCAUCCCAUGACUACAUGUUAAUAACAUAGUUUACCAUAUAUCAUAAAAAUAUUAGUUACAAUAAGCACAUACGCAUGUGGAAGAGUCCGAAUGCACCGGUUGAGGACUAAACACAUUGAAUUACUAGAACCAAAUGUAUGUUUAGAACAAAGACAGGGGUCAAGGUUUGGGUAACCGCAUUAAAAACAUUGGAUUUUACUGUACAUGAACACUUAGUUACCAUUACCAUGCCUUGAGCACCUAGUUACAACAAACAUUAAUUUAGCCACUUUAGAGCUUCCAGAAUCGCUAUAAAUAAUAUACCUACGCCGUACCAUGAAAACAUCAAGAAGAGAGACGGAUACAUGGACCACCAUCAAGCGAGUAGUGACAGCACGCACAAGAAUACCCGGAACCUGUUAGCUUGUCUGUAGUGAUCUGUUUUCUUCCCCAUAAAAUCCAUGAGUAUUGCCACAAAUAAUGAAAGAGGCUGACCAAGCUAGCAAGGAGGUAGAGCAAACGUGAUACACGGCCUGCCAAGAUUGCCCUGGAUACGCCAAUAAGAGCGACAGAUACAUGGAUCACACCAAUAUGGUGAAACGUAUAUUCAUCACACAAGCAAAGCUGGUCAGUUUAUCCAUGGUCAAAUUGUGGUCUUUGUUUUCACUUGAGAGCUAAUUGAGGCACUAUAAUAUGGGCAGGCCUAUCUUCAACAGACAUGACAGCUACAGGGAACUUGACAUAAUUUGCUGGGCCGCCUGUGCACAAUUAUUUGUUUUAUUGUCCUUGCAUAGAAUGCUAAAAUACUCUUUACAAAAUGUUGGAUCUAAUAUUUGAAAUAUAGAGUAGUAAUCAUAUAUUGAUCAACAACUUGAAAUUAUCUGUACAUUCUCGGUGAAGCUGUUGAACUAAUUUUUGCAAAUUAUUAAUUCAUCUCAUUACGUAAAGAAAAAAGUAAGUGGAUAAGAUAUUUCGUGGACCACAUCACUGCAAACAUGUCAUGGAGAGACAGACCAAGGAGGCAGGACGUGAUACACGACUUACCCUAGGUUGCCGUGGAACCGCCAAGAAGAGAUACAGAUACAUGGACCACACCAUCUUGGGAGUAGUGACAGCAUAUAUGCAGAAGAAUACCCCGUGCCUAUUUGCAUGCAUGUCUCAAGUGAUCUGUUUUCUUCAGAAAAUACAUGAGCAUUGCCAGAAAGAAUGGCAAGAGACAAACAUGUCAUAGAGACUUGCAUGUCUUGCCUUGGAUACGCCAAGAAGAGGGACACAUACAUGGAUAACACAAAUCUAGUGACACGUAUAUUCAUCACAAAGGCAAAUCUGAUAAUUUUAUCCAUGGAGCAGACCAAGGAGAAAUUGAUGACGGACAUGUGAUCUCUGUAUUCAGUUGAAAGCUAAUUGAGCUACACUAAUAUGAGCAGGACUAUAUUCAAGAGACUUGUUGAGAGCUACAGGGAACUUGUAAUAAUUUGCUGGGCGGCCUGCGCACAAUGAUUUGUUAUACAUAGUUGAAAUAUUUCAAGAAUUUAUCAACCUCAUACUCUGAAACCCUUGGUGCAAUGUACUCUGCUUUCCGAGGUAGACUGUUCACGUAAAAUGAGGUCAUGCGUAAGACGGAAUCGGAUUGGAUUCACAGGGAAUCAGAUUUGGAUAGCACCUUUUAGCAGGUUUUUAGUCAAAUGCAAAUUCGGAUCCACAUGUGGUUGAAUGCGAGUUCAAAAUUCUACUUGGAUAUCCAUUUAAUUUAGGUGAUAGCAAUUAGCACAAAAUGUUGGAUGAACAAAAUCAUAGUUAGACAUACAAUUACAUGUAUGGUUAAAGUAUAAUACAAUACACCAAGAUUAUUCCUUGAAAAUAUUUCUUAAAAAUAUUAUAAUAAAUGAAUAAAUAUAAUUGUGGCCACCAACAAAUAGUCGGUGGUCGCUAAGUUGGAGCCAUUUCUGGUUACUAAUGCGGCCUUCUCCUCGACCAGCGACGACAGCUGAGCUUGUUCCUUCUGACACUAAAUCAUCAGAGUCUUCCCUCCACUACUAUAGAAUGCACCUUUAGCACCAAUUGGGAAAUCCCCUUCAGUAUUGGAUGCUGCAACCAGUGCUAUAUAUCAAAAUGGAGACUAAAAGCCUCGGUCUUGGGUACCGGUUGCAUAACGCAUUACUAAAGGAGGCAAAAGAGAAAUGUAACAAAAAAAAUAUUUUGAAUUCCAAGAAUGUUUCACUAUUCAAGAUGACUAGCUGAGAGUCAACAGACAAGAUACUAGGAAUGUGGGUGCUUGAAUGCAUUUGUACAGAGGUCAUACUAUUUACAAACUCUUCUAUGUUUCCAUAUGACUACCUACUUCAAUGUCACGCGAGCCAUUCAGCUGGACACAUGGCACACUAGCUUGCAUGUCGAAUCCAUGAUUAAUUAUUUGCACUUGUGAUCUCUUACCAGUAUUUGUCCAGACUAGAAACGUGCAACACAUUUUUAGGAUAUGGACACGCAUAUAUUUGGACUAGUAUACAGGUCACCUUUGGAUGCGUACAAGGAUGACCGGGAGGGACUAAUGGAUACAAGGAAGGGACCAUCAGGAUUAAUAUUGACAUAUGCCACAUGACAAUCUUCAUUGUCAUGCAAUCCCUAUCAACAAUCAUGGAAUCCCUAGUGUACUAAUCCCUGGAGGGUUGUGUGGAAAUUUAUUUUACCUUGCGGUGAAAAUCUCAUGAGCAGUCAUUAGUUAAGCUGACUAGCUGAGAUAUAAUAGACAAGCUAGUAAGAUUGGGAGCAUCAAUGCAUCCAUACAGGGUCACAAUAUCCUUUCCAUUCACUUUUAUAUAUAACCCUACGAAUACAAGUCCAACGAAAUGCGGGCCUUUCGAUCAAGAUAAAUUAAAUGGCCCACUUGUAUUUCUAAUCCAGGAUUAACUAUGCCCUCUGUUCAUCUCUUGCAAGCACGUGCAACACAUUUUCACGAUAUGGACAUGCAUGGAGGUUAUUAUACUGUUUGGACAAACUCUGAUGUGCCAUGACCUAAAUGCUUAGGGCCUGUUUGGUUUGAGUUGCUUAUUAUAAGCAACUUAAAGUUGCUUAAAGUUGCUUAUUUGAAGUUGCUUAUUUUUAGUCUAAACUGUUUGGAUACCCUUGCUUAUGAGCAUUGAAUGAGUUGGACAUUGUCAAAUUUGCCCCAUGUGUUGCUACCCCUCCAAUUUGCCUCCCCACCCUUCUUCUUCCUGCACACGUCCGAUCCCGGGGGCCGACGGCGGGCAGGGAGCAGCAGCAGCUGGCCAGGGCGGCGGUGGGGCGGGAGCGGCGGCGCACACCAGCACGCGCUCGCACGCCAGGUGCUAGGGCGCGGCGAGGCAGUCGUCGUAGCCCACCGGGAGCGGGUGCUCGGGCGCGAGGCGGUACUCGACGGAGAUGCCGAGCGUCGGGCGCGCGGCGGCGAGCGCGUUGAGGAAGCGAUGGUAGUGCGGCGACGUCGCGGACUCCGCCACGAAGCCGCCGCCGUGGACGUACACCACCACGGGCAGCUUCGUCUUGCCGUCGGCGGCCGCGGCCGCGGCCUGGGGUGGCAGGUAGAGGCGGACGGAGCAGGAGCCGAGGUCGACGUCCCUGGAGUCGACGCCCGUGGCGGCGUCCAGGCUGGGCCCGACCGGCGGCGGCACGAGCGGGCGCUCGAUGCGGCCGCUCUUGUAAAUCCGACGGGUCUGUGCGGAGGCGGGCGGCGGGCGGGAGCGGCGGGUGGGAGCGGCGGCAGGUGGUGCGGAGGCCGGCGGCGGCGGGUGGCGCGGAGGAAGGGGAGCUGGUGAGUGGUGACAGGGGAGGGGGGGAGAGAGAGGGGGGGUAGGGUGCAUUGAAUGAGGGCAGGAGGUGUAAAGUGCACCUUUUAGUCCCCAUGAGCAACCAUAAGCAGCCCAAGAGUUGCUUAUUUGCUUAUAAUAAGCAACCUCAUAAGCAAGAGUGAUUGGUUUCAUAAGCAACUUAUUUGCUUAUUUUAAGUUGCUUAUGCAUAAGCAUGUGAAACCAAGCAGGUCCUUAACCUAUGGUUGUGGCACCACACAGUACAUAGUAUUUAAUAAUGCUAUUCGUUUGGUAUGUGCACAAGGGCACGCAUGAAAUGUCUGGCCCACGGUAAACAAGUACGGACGCUGCAAAUAAUCUACUCUGCUCGUCCAGUCCCUAGCCUAUAAAUAGAUGCCAUGCUAGCUCUUGUUGUGCUCACAAUUAAUCCUGACUACACACGAGCUUCUCUCCCUGGCCAAGACACAAUCAUAGUAUGAUGAAGAACAUGGCACUAGCCGGCAAUGGUAUGAAGAACUUAAUCCUCGCUGUUCUCUUACUGUGUCUAGUUAUAGGGCAGAUACAAGUGGAAGCUAAGAGCUGCUGCCCAUCCAUUACUGCAAGAAAUAUCUACAAUGCCUGCCGUAUCACGGGUACAUCCCGUCCAACGUGUGCAAAACUGUCAGGCUGCAAAAUUAUCAGCGGGGACAAAUGCAAGCCCCCUAACGACCACCUCACCCUUGACCCGGACACUGGUAAAUAAUAAAUUUAUCUCACUUGAUUUCUUCGUGUUUUGAGUCGUUAAUGUAUUUUCCAUCUGAUGAAACGUAUUGGUUUUGCAUUGAAGAGGAAGUUAAUGUGCUUAACUUCUGCAAGUUGGGGUGUGCGUCGUCUGUGUGCAACAACAUCAACGCUGGUAAGCACCUUUUGCUCAGACGGAGAAAACAAUAAUCAUUAAUUAGCGGCAGCUAGAAUCCUAUAAUCUAAUAUAUUUAUAUAUAUAUAUAAUUUUAUCAGCUCUGGGAAAUGAAGAGGCGAACGAUGCCGUUGAGAGUUGCGACCAAGCCUGCUCUAGCUUCUGCAACGUGCACGUUGGCGCUGCCACCGUGGUUGCUUAAGCAAAUGCAUCCAACUGGAUCGUCCUUGUGCUAAAUAAUUGGAUAUCGUAUCCACUUAAAGCUGCCUUGUGUAGUACGUUUUUGUUUGUGUCUCUCUUUAUAUUCCAAUAAGGUCGGUGAUCUUGAUGCCACACACUCAGACGUGUGUUCAUCUCCAGAUACUACUCCAUGCUACCUGCCCUUUGUGUUUUGUUCAAUAACUGGGUAUCAUAUCCCAGCCAGUGUGCCAUCUGUUUUGUGUUUAUUUCCUUCUAGUUUCAAAGGGGUUAUCAUGAUGUUACCUUCUUUCGAUAUGGUGCUUUGCAUGACUACUGUUGUAUGGUACCAUCUUGUUGGCCAAUAAAUACAUCUUAUCCUAUGACCCUUUGCUAUGACCCUUUGCAAAUAAGUACAAGAUUGUUAAAUACUCGGUAUAAAUUGACUACUGCUGUGAGUUCCCUUUCAGCUUAUCGUAGGCAUACAUUAUUGCUAGCACGGUGAAGACAACCAACACGAAUGGUCAAGUAAACGUACCGGUACUUUUGUAUACCAACACCCUUGCUUAAAUGUACCGGUGUUACUCCCCACUAGCACAUAUAUUCUUAUAUGCUAGCCGGCUUGAAAAUUAACCGAUUAAAAUAAUUAUUUCAAGACAGAAAUAACUUAUCGGCUUCUCGAAGCAUGUGUAAUGUGAAUUCAAGGACUUGAUGGAAGUUGAAUCGCUUAAUCUAGAUUGCUUUCAGGAUUUUGGGUAACUAAAUUUAACAUUUGCACAUACAAAUGUUAAUGUACAAAUAUUAAAUAUAGUUACCCAAGCAGAAUAUGAAGAUACUCUAUAGUAUAUAUAUACUAUAUAAAUCUAGUUAACAUUUAGUCUAAAUGUUAAAUCUAGUUACCUAAAAUCCUGAAAGCAAAAUGUAUAAAUAUAUAUCUUUUAAGGAAUCCCAAAGCAAGAGUUCAGUGGCAUUCUAUAGUCCCAUGCUGCUAGUUUGAGUUGGUCGAAGCCAACUUAAAUAGGAGAGCUCUCUCACUUCUCUAAAUACGUAACUGAAGGAGAGAAGGGGGCUUGGUUACACAACGCACGCACGCACGCAUAUUUGCGUUCUUUUCGCGUAACCAACCGCGUGACUUGAAACUUGCGACGUAGCGUGCUGCCAAGUCAAGUUGAUAUAACCUUUUUGCCGUAGGCGUGUAAUCUUUUGACAACGGUCAUUGGAGGUGAUAAGCACGCAGUCAAUACCUUAAUCCUGAGUUAAUAGGGCGGUUACUACUGCCAAUUAGUGGGGCAAUUUUGUAGGGGAAACGGUUAGCAGAGGGCUACCAUCUUCUCUAUAAGAAGUUCUGGAGACGUCCAGGAACACACAUGUACAUGUGAGAGACCCACGAAUUCCUUCCCAUCUCCCUUUUCCAUCUGGUGAAGUGUGCUAUGGUACUGAGCUGCUGGAUCUCGCCGGCUCUUCUCCUUGGCGUGCACCGAGGAGGAGGGUGAGCGGUAUCUCCGAGCUAUUGCCGUCAGGAAGCCUGCACGAGGGACAACAAUAAAGUUUUUGGGUAGCGCAACUACGCAACCGCUCGAUUCGAUCGACUAUGUUCUGCGCUGCCUCAUCUUCGAUCUGCACUGCAACACGUAACCCUGCAGCAAGUCUACACAAGGACGGAGCACUAAUCUGUAAGUCCUAGAUUGGUUUCUUACAGAGUUGUAGGUUACACAAGAUCUAGAAUUGUUACAUACUUAUUAUUAUGGGUUACAUGAUGUUUUGUACGGUUACGUCUAUUUUGCAUAUGCUAUUUUUACAUACCGUUUACAUGCAUAUGUAAUGGUUACGCCUAGCUAUUUGAAUCUAGAAUUGGGUUACAUAGCAGUAGCAAUGACUUACGUAAUAUGCCUCAUGUUUAUAUCUGGUAGAAUUUAACACGUAUCUCCAACAUAUUUUGAGGCAGUAUAAAUUUCAAUUCCUUUUGCUGCUCUGUUAAAUCCCGUCUUUCGUGUGGCCCAACACUCUAGUAUGCAUGUAGCACCAAGCUUGUUUGAGCCGCUUUGUGCUCUGAUUUUGCUGUCUGUAUCAGGUUGGACUGUUUCUUUGUCUUGCGAUGUAUAGCUUCAUAUCUUCUAGAGGUUAGACAGCAAAACCCGCGUUCUCUUAAGGCAACAACUCGAAGAAUCUGCAGCGCUCCUGAUAUAUCACUGCUGCAGAAACAAUCUUUAGUACUGAUUUCCAACCCCCUUUAGUAUCGGUUUGGCAAUCAGUACCACUACGUCGGUACUAAAGGGAGUUCUCUAGAAUCGGGUCAAAUAACUGGUACUAAAAGUGCUCCUCUACUACCAGUUGGUAACACCAAUAGGUAGUAACUUUUUUUGCACCCAAAAAAUUAAAGAAAAACAGCCGGGAGGCUCGCGCACACACGCAUCAUGAGUAAUAUGCGCGUGCAUGGUUUGUGGGAUUCCAACCCACGACCAAGCUAUAAGCACGUAGUUACAAAAAAAUUAAACACUUAGACAUUUUAGAGCAUCCCAAAUAACUACAAAUUCUUUAGUUUACCAUAUACCAUAAAAUAUUAGUUAAAAUAAGAGCAUACGCACGUCGGAAGAGUCCCAAUGCACCGGUUGAGGAUCAGACCAGGCACUUUGAAUGCACAUGCCAUAAGAUAAUUCUGCAGGACGAUGAUUGCAAUAAUGGACCAUCGAGAAGAUAGGGGCGAUGGGGUUGCCUCAUCAAUUAUGACUUGGCGCAACAAGACCAGCAAAGUCUUUAUCGACAGGGGUGGAUCAAGGGGUGGGGCGGGUAGAGCUCCAAUCUUCCUACCGCCGCUCGAACAAUGGAGCCCCCCUUAGCCCCUCCAUAAAUUUUUAGGUAGAAGAAAAAAGAAGAGAAGGGAAGGAAGGGGAAGAAUAGGGAGCCCCUCCUAAGUAGGUCGCCAUCGUGCUUCCCAACGCAUGAUCGCCGCACCGCAUCCAUUCCUCUACAAGCCUCCAGCGUCUCUCCUGCCGCUACCUCUGAACCAUGUGCAGCUGCAGACCCAACUAGUGUCUUGUCACCCAUCUCAAUCCCAACAGAGCGGCGGCUCCUGCCAGCACAAAUCUCCCUCCGCCUGUUCUUCACGAUCGAUGGCCACCACAAGCAUAAACCUCGCCUUCGCAUCCACGCAAAAGGGUCGCCGGUGUGCCUUCUCGCAUCGCUUCUCAGCCUCCUUCACUUGCGGCUGGCCAAGAACCGUGCCACCACCUCGGGUGCGCGCCACCGCUCCAGGGCCGCUACCCCAUGCGUGCGGCCGCCGCCGGCCACCACGCGUGUGCAACCGUGUCGCACCGCUUCCCUGCUCUGUGCCACCACUGCUACUGCACCACCAGCUCCACCACCUUGGGCUGGUCGCCAGGGUGACUGAUUGGUGGAUUAUUACUACAAAUAAGUUCCUUAUUAUCUGCAACUACUAUUAACUCAGGGAUACAUGCGUCUUUUGCUUCUCCUGUUAAUAUGUCCUAAAAUAUCUAGAAUGCCUUAUAUUUCUGGACGGAGGAAGUAUUUGAAUAAAAUGAACCAAUUUUAAAAAAUGUGUUGUACACUACUACAGAAAGAACUAUCAGUGUCAAACCCAAAAAUGUCGUCACUGCCAGUUUUGGGCAUCGUUGGUGAAAGGUUGGCGGUGAUGGGUAUCCCCUUCAACAACGGCACUAGAGCUAACAGUGAUUGACAUUAGAAAACGAAAAAGGGGACCCACCUAGCCACCCCUGCAACCCGGCUGGCCGUGCCUCCCGUCAUCCCCACCACCUCGCCUCCCCCGUGACCCCCCGCCGGCGCCCUUGCGCCUAGCCCCCUCGCCUGCCUGGCCGGCCACCCUCGUCACGAGAGAGAGGGGUGCAUGUUGUAUAAUUGCGUGAAUUUUUAAUGUUUAAUUUCAUGUAAGUUUCAUAUAAUAAAUUGUACAAGUUUUAUUGUAUAUAUGAAUUCCAUAUAUAUAUAUUUAUAAUUUAAUGUAUGGUUUCAUGUGUAUAUUUCAAUAAUGUGUAUAUUUAGUAGAUAGCCGAUUUUCUUUUUCUACAAGACAAGGGUUGAUGUAUAAUUACGUGUAUAUGUUUAUUGUACGGGCAAUUAGGACAAGUUUUGUAUAAAUUUCUUUUAUUUCAUGGUUGUUGUAUGGUUUCAUGUAUAUACAUUUAUUGUACUACUUGAGACAAUUUUUAAUUUAAUGUUUCUAUGGUUACAUGUGUGUAUAACUAAUUGUAUUAUUAGUUAAGAUGGGAGCCAAAGAGGAUGAAAGGUAUAUAAUGGAGCAGAUUAUUGCUGGCGGUAGUGGCUCAAACGUUGCAAGAACCUACAUCAAGGGUGAGGGUAGCUAGGUGGACAUGUACCUCAACAUGUCCAGUGAUGGCAAUGACGAUGAGGAGCACGAGCAUGACGUUUAUGAUAGUGCGGAACAAGACAUUGCAGAAUUGGAAGGUUCUAAUGAGGUGUGCUUCAUGUUGAUGAUCUGGUUGGCUUUUUUUCUUUGGUCACACCUUAGUUACCAUAGAACUUCGUCUCGGGAGAAGAUUGGAGGUGCUAUGGUGAUUGGAAUUUUAUUGCCUCCAAAUAUGAUUUCCAUCGAAUCAUAUCCCUUGUAUUUAUCUUCUUUUUAUUUGUGAGAGCAUCUUCUUUAUGCUUGCAAAACAAUUCAAGUGCACAUACUACACCUAGGGUGAUGAUUAGGAGUAGAAACAAUUGCCAACAAACGAACACCACAUCCUAAGAUUCUUAACUUGUGGUAUAAUUAGUCUAGUAAAAAGAAAGAUAAAAACCUAAUGGGUGUACGUGAGUGCAAUGCGUAUAUGCAUAUGAGUGGAAGGCAUAUAAGCAAAGAUAAUAUUUACACAUAGAUCUAAGCACCAUGUUUACAACUAAGUUGCUGAAUUUCUCCAUAGCUAUAGAGAUUAAUGAACCAAGGUCAAAACACCAUGUCUAUCCCAAGAUCAGUAAUUCUUUAUAGCACAAGAAAAAGAAAGCGCAUUGCAAAGUUUAUAAACCAACCAAUGCAGCAUGAAAACAAGAUGAAUAGCUAGCAAGGUUUAUUAAACUGAAUGAUGACGGUCUGCAAGCAAGUUUGAACACCAUCUUUACACAAGAUUGCAAAUGGAAAAUUCCCAUAUGAAGAACUAACAUGGAUAUGAAAUCAUUCAUCAUAAAGCGUAAAGAACAACCAAGCCAACCAUAUGCAAAGCAUGAAUGGAAUGCAAUGAAGGUGCAAGAGAACAUUUUUGGAUGAACCCAUUAUGAUGAUGGCAAAAUGCGCCGUGCCCCCCAGCCCCCGCGGUGAGAUCCCGCCGCUCGCUGCCGCCAGACCCUAUUAGGCCUCCACCGGCAGGUCCACCCACGGUCCCGCGCGACGUGGCAGCCUCUUGGCUCUCGGCGCUCGCGGCACGCCAGUGCUGGCGCAGCCCCACCAGGCGACUACCCUCCCCCCAUAAGGCCUCGGCCCCUCCCCAGCGCCGCCCCCCAACACCAGGACUGCCUGCUGCCCCCCACCGUGAGGUAAUCGAAAUCGACUGCUCAAUCUCUCAAUCUGUUGAUAUGAUGCACACGGUUGCAAAAAUAGAUGUGUCAAAAUAGAUGUUUUGCCAAUUGCUAUAGAUGCAUACGGUUGACAUGAAGUCAAAAAUGACAUUUGGUUCCUUGUAGGCAGUCAAAAAUGAAGAAGUCAAAAAAUAUUGAUCUGAAAUCAAUGUGGGAAAGGGCUAUGAAGACACGCAGGUAGAUUCCCUUGUGAACUUUUUAUGUCGUUCGUCUAAAUAAUUUUUUGCAAUGGGCAUACCCUACUCUGAAAUCCUGGGUCCGCCACUGAUGAUGAUGGUCUAAAAAUAAACCAAGCCUAGAUUAAUUAGCCACAACUGAAAUUAAGCAAAGGUUAAUGUCAUUGACCCUAGCUCUAUCCUAGCUUUUACCAAAGUUCCGGCACAUAUAGUGGUUGGGCCCACUCUCUCUGCUUCCCUCUCUGCUGCAUGCACGCACACGAGCAACGGGAGGCCCGACGAAGCCCAGAAGGGUUCGGCCGAACCAGUAUGAGCGCCGCUCCCUCCCAGCCUUCGCGCAGAUGCUCCUCCAACGUUCCUUGACCCCUCCCUCAGCGUCCCGUUGGGUUUAACAUUGCAGGAGAGGAGUCCCUUUUUUAAAAUCUCAACCACCUCCUCUCCCCAUUCACUCCACUCUCAUCUCCAUCAAACUCACCAAGAUCCGCACCGGAAAUCCCUGCUUACCACCAUGGCUGGCAAAGCCCUCAUCCCUUUCACCAACUUGGGCUUGACCACUGAUCUCGAUGGGGAAAUCACUCUGGCAAAUAUGCGUGUAACACUGCCCCCUUUGCCGAGGGUUAAAGCCAAAACACUCAGCAAAGUGGAUAGUACCCCCCUUUUUACCCGUUUUGUCAUGUAUAACGGACCCCUCUCAAUUCACAAUAGACAUCAUCAUAGGCAUUUAUAAUAAACAAUCACAGGCAUAAUUCACAAUCACCAUUACAAGCAUUAUUCAUAAAUAUCACAGACAUAAUCCAAAGUAAGCAUGAAACAAGCCAUAAAUCCAAGUUCAAGUCACAACUAAGUUUCAUCCAAGUUCAAGUCACAAAUGCAAUGUCUAAAUCCAUGGAGGCCAAGGAGACCACUGCGACAAAUCUUGGUCUUCAUUAUUCGAAGCCGCCGAUUGAUUCUGCACAUAGGAUAGGACAUUCUGAGCUAACAUCUAAAGUUGUCAAAAUUAAAGUAUUCAAUCUUAAGCACAAUGUGUCAAAUGACUCACAGGAGUAGUUGUGGGUGGCUGAGGCGGAGGGAACAGCAUCGAUGGCGGUGGCAAAGAUUGACCCAUGCUCGAAGCAAAAUUCUGCAUGUACUGGAACAUCUGGUCCAUCCUCAUCCGAUUUUCUUCCUCCAUCCUCUGCCGCUCGGCCUCUAACCUCCGCUGAACCAUCUGCUCCAUCCUCGCCGCCAUCUCCUCUUGUUGCUUCCUUGCUGCUUCCACCUGGGCCUACAAUAUUUCAUUGCAAUGUUACAAUGCAAAGCUAAAGUAUAGCAACCAACGAACAAUGAAUGGAAGAGAAAGAACCUGGAGAGCCUCCAUCUGGAACUGUCCAAUGGUUGGUCGUAGCCGUAUCGCCGGGCUCGAGUCCGUGCUCCUUGCUUGGAUCUGGGAGAGAGUGGCAGUAGAGGCCGUGUUGAUUACGCCGUCGCCAAUCCAAUAUCGGCCAUGCUUCUUGCCUCCUCCCACCCUCAUCACGAUUUCUCCAUCAAUAUCCUCAGAGCUUGAAUCGAAGUCUGGCCCGUGAACCUCCCUUGCCAUCACUGUAUAUUCCUUUGCCGAGUGCCCGAGAUAAAGCACUCGGCAAAUAGAAAACACUCGGCAACUUUACUGUUUCCCGUAGUGUCGCUAUUUUUGCAGGUUCUCGACCAGGCCAGUUCUUUGGGCCAACCUAUCAUUCACGACUUAAACAUACGGUGGCUGUAGAAAUGUUCUAUUCUUUUCAACAAUACCAGCUGGUUCCUCCGUUUUUAUUCCACCAAUACAAGCACCACCUUGUAACAUUUCCUAUGUUUUUUUUUCCUUUCGUCUGUUUUCUACAUGCGUUGCUCUUUCAUGCAUUUUUUUCCAUUCCUGUAUUCCAAAUAGGUCUACAUGAACACAAAAUGAACUAGGGGACAGAAAAAGCCAGUGAAGCCAAUUUUGAGCUUCACCAGCUACUUGCUACAUAAAGUGUGCUAUAGUGACGUGUUUUAGCAAAACAUGUUAUCAAUGACUUGACAUUGGUGACGUGUUAAAACGCGUUAUCUCAAUGGCAAAUCAUUGGUGACGUGUUUUAAAAAAACAUGUCACCGUGAGAGUCAUUGGUGAAGGGUAAUUAUAAUGCGUCACUAAUGUUGUAGCAUUAGUUAUGAUAAUUUAGUAACGCAAAAAUCUACCAUCAGUAUUGAGCUUUAGAGCCAUCGCUAAUGUGGGUUUCUUACAUAGUGAUGCAAGCUCUACAAGGUGCUGUUGCUGCCAUUUUAAAGCAUCCCAUGACUACAUGUUAAUAACAUAGUUUACCAUAUAUCAUAAAAAUAUUAGUUACAAUAAGCACAUACGCAUGUGGAAGAGUCCGAAUGCACCGGUUGAGGACUAAACACAUUGAAUUACUAGAACCAAAUGUGUGUUUAGAACAAAGACAGGGGUCAAGGUUUGGGUAACCGCAUUAAAAACAUUGGAUUUUACUGUACAUGAACACUUAGUUACCAUUACCAUGCCUUGAGCACCUAGUUACAACAAACAUUAAUUUAGCCACUUUAGAGCUUCCAGAAUCGCUAUAAAUAAUAUACCUACGCCGUACCAUGAAAACAUCAAGAAGAGAGACGGAUACAUGGACCACCAUCAAGCGAGUAGUGACAGCACGCACAAGAAUACCCGGAACCUGUUAGCUUGUCUGUAGUGAUCUGUUUUCUUCCCCAUAAAAUCCAUGAGUAUUGCCACAAAUAAUGAAAGAGGCUGACCAAGCUAGCAAGGAGGUAGAGCAAACGUGAUACACGGCCUGCCAAGAUUGCCCUGGAUACGCCAAUAAGAGCGACAGAUACAUGGAUCACACCAAUAUGGUGAAACGUAUAUUCAUCACACAAGCAAAGCUGGUCAGUUUAUCCAUGGUCAAAUUGUGGUCUUUGUUUUCACUUGAGAGCUAAUUGAGGCACUAUAAUAUGGGCAGGCCUAUCUUCAACAGACAUGACAGCUACAGGGAACUUGACAUAAUUUGCUGGGCCGCCUGUGCACAAUUAUUUGUUUUAUUGUCCUUGCAUAGAAUGCUAAAAUACUCUUUACAAAAUGUUGGAUCUAAUAUUUGAAAUAUAGAGUAGUAAUCAUAUAUUGAUCAACAACUUGAAAUUAUCUGUACAUUCUCGGUGAAGCUGUUGAACUAAUUUUUGCAAAUUAUUAAUUCAUCUCAUUACGUAAAGAAAAAAGUAAGUGGAUAAGAUAUUUCGUGGACCACAUCACUGCAAACAUGUCAUGGAGAGACAGACCAAGGAGGCAGGACGUGAUACACGACUUACCCUAGGUUGCCGUGGAACCGCCAAGAAGAGAUACAGAUACAUGGACCACACCAUCUUGGGAGUAGUGACAGCAUAUAUGCAGAAGAAUACCCCGUGCCUAUUUGCAUGCAUGUCUCAAGUGAUCUGUUUUCUUCAGAAAAUACAUGAGCAUUGCCAGAAAGAAUGGCAAGAGACAAACAUGUCAUAGAGACUUGCAUGUCUUGCCUUGGAUACGCCAAGAAGAGGGACACAUACAUGGAUAACACAAAUCUAGUGACACGUAUAUUCAUCACAAAGGCAAAUCUGAUAAUUUUAUCCAUGGAGCAGACCAAGGAGAAAUUGAUGACGGACAUGUGAUCUCUGUAUUCAGUUGAAAGCUAAUUGAGCUACACUAAUAUGAGCAGGACUAUAUUCAAGAGACUUGUUGAGAGCUACAGGGAACUUGUAAUAAUUUGCUGGGCGGCCUGCGCACAAUGAUUUGUUAUACAUAGUUGAAAUAUUUCAAGAAUUUAUCAACCUCAUACUCUGAAACCCUUGGUGCAAUGUACUCUGCUUUCCGAGGUAGACUGUUCACGUAAAAUGAGGUCAUGCGUAAGACGGAAUCGGAUUGGAUUCACAGGGAAUCAGAUUUGGAUAGCACCUUUUAGCAGGUUUUUAGUCAAAUGCAAAUUCGGAUCCACAUGUGGUUGAAUGCGAGUUCAAAAUUCUACUUGGAUAUCCAUUUAAUUUAGGUGAUAGCAAUUAGCACAAAAUGUUGGAUGAACAAAAUCAUAGUUAGACAUACAAUUACAUGUAUGGUUAAAGUAUAAUACAAUACACCAAGAUUAUUCCUUGAAAAUAUUUCUUAAAAAUAUUAUAAUAAAUGAAUAAAUAUAAUUGUGGCCACCAACAAAUAGUCGGUGGUCGCUAAGUUGGAGCCAUUUCUGGUUACUAAUGCGGCCUUCUCCUCGACCAGCGACGACAGCUGAGCUUGUUCCUUCUGACACUAAAUCAUCAGAGUCUUCCCUCCACUACUAUAGAAUGCACCUUUAGCACCAAUUGGGAAAUCCCCUUCAGUAUUGGAUGCUGCAACCAGUGCUAUAUAUCAAAAUGGAGACUAAAAGCCUCGGUCUUGGGUACCGGUUGCAUAACGCAUUACUAAAGGAGGCAAAAGAGAAAUGUAACAAAAAAAAUA
rnacentral:lncRNA from 1 species